rnacentral:lncRNA from 1 species
UGAGCAAACAGAAACUUAUAUGAAAAAUGAUAAUAGAAUUUUGUCCGGCACUCUGGCAAUGGCUAUCGAAAGUAGCACUGAUGGUGCAUCAAAAGUGUUGCUGGAUAAUUGUGGAGGAUAUAGCUGAGUAGAUUGGGUUACAUAGCAGGUCUUGAUAGUUUCUGCCCCCCUGAUAGUUUCUACCCCGUGUAGAGGGAAUUAUAUUUUUUUUUUUUCCUCCCAUCUGAUAUUCAAUAUACGCUUAAAGGAAAAACGAGAUGAAUUUUGACCUGAAUAUUCGUAUUUUGAUGCUUAAAGUAACCCAGGAAGAUAAAUGUUUGUCGUAAUCGAAAGAAUUGUAUUUGAACUCGAAUCCCUUAAUUGAUGAAGAGAAUUAAUUUGGUUCCUUUUUAUGUGCAAUGUGGUUGUUAUUUCUAUUCUUUUAAGAUUACAAGUUUAAUUUAUGAUUUAAGCCAUCUAUAUAGUUAUAAAAAGAGGCUUGAGUUGGUAUUUGAAGUUUGUUUAAUACGGGAGAAAGAAAUGGAUUGUGUUUGUAUUUAUUUUAUAAUUUCAACAUUCCAAAGGAUCCUCGGUAGAGAAAAUUUCAGUUUAUUUCUUUGUGAAGUGACAAUUUUUAAAUUGUCCUUAUUACUAUUGAAAAUAUAAAGUUAUCCCUCAAAAUUUGUUACUUUGUUAUUUUUAAUGGCUAAAAGGAUAAAGUAAUAUUUGCUCAUUUUUUUAACGUCAAUUAACCAAAAAAAGUGAAACUUAAGUAGAUCAAUUUUCAUGGGUCUAAAUUUUUUAGGUUUUUAAAAACACAUAAAUAUUUAUAAUAUUUAUAAUAUUCUCCUUAAUACUUUAAAAUAUUUUUAAUUUGUGCGUAUAUGACUAAUUUUUUUGAACGGAUUAAAUUUUACCUUUUCAUAUUUAAAAAUUUUAUUUUAAAAAAUAAAUAUAGAAAUUAAUUAAAAACUACUAAUAACUACAAAUAGAAAAAUAAUAAUAUUUUACCUUUUUAUUUUUUUAUUAUUAUCAUUAUUAUUCUUUUUUUCAUUUUGUAAAAGUACUUGAAGAAAAUAAAGAUAAAAAAAAAAUCAAAGAACAAAAGAAAAAUGCUAUUGGAGUUUCACCAAACAAAUGAAAGAAGUGAGGAUGAACCUAUUACUAAUUAGUAUAUCUACCCAUUAAUCAGCCUACUAAAUCAAUUUUUAUUAGGAAACUCAAGCUUCUAAGUUCUAUCUUACACCACCCCAACGCAAUGAUAUGCAGAGGUGGAAAAAUAAUAGGAGGCCCCUCUAGCAAACAUUUCAUCUCUUGGAAAAAUGAGGUUGUUAUGGCUGUUUGCCAUCCGCAGAAGACACACAAACAAAAAAGAAAAAGACAAAAGGGAUAACACAAGAAACGAUGUAAUGACCAAAGCCCACUGAUAAUAGAAAGGAAAUGUACUUCACAAGAAAAUUUAGUUACCAACACACGUUGUGCUUAUCUCAAUUCCUGACACAUCUGAAUAAAACUCCCGGAUGAUAGAUUUCCAUGGCAACAAUGUAAAAAUUACUGACAUACUAAAAAAUUAUAGUAAUCCAAUUAGGCAAAAUCCUAUCCUCAUCACUAUACAGUAGAGCUUCUUUCAGUAUGCUAAUAAUCUCUUUCAAACAUGGUGGGACACAUUGAAAGUUUUUCAUGAUAGUUUUCUAUAAUUCAAAAUUCCAUUAGGGAUUCUGUUGUGUGUGUGUGCAACGCUUUUUAUGAUUGGAUGAGCGGCCACCACAAACAAGGCAGUUAAUAUAUCUGAAUAACUUCCAAUGCAAAGUAUGUCAGCAAACCUUUUGGUGUUUUUGUUGGGUGGGGGGGGGGGGGAAGGGGGACAAGAAAAGGAAAGUACUUUAUCACAAAGAGCAGAGCCAAUGUUCUCUUCAAGAAGUAAUUAGCCUUUGGAUAAAUUACGCAUACUUUUUUUGAAUGAGUAUUUCAAUCUAAAAUGUCCUACAACAAAAUAAGCUUACACAAAUCCAAAUGGAACAUAACGAAAAAAGCACCAGUACGACUCCAAAUCACACAGUUUACCGAUGCACUAUAAUCCUUGAAAAAAGAGCCCUGUUACAUUAAUUGAAGAUUGAUUAUAAUUCCAGUAAUCCAAAAUAUUACAGUAUACAUAGUCCCACUAAUAUUCUGGCAAACAUGAGCCCUCACCAAUAAUUCAAAAGAAUGACCAGUUGGGUCCCAAAGCUCUAGUUCUCUAUCUAAAAGCCUCUUCUUGCCACAGAACUACCACAUUGUGAUGCCACCACAGCUUGUUACCACUAGAAUUGGAGGGAAAAAAAAUGAAGACAUCUCAGGUAAAACUUGAAUCACCAAAUAUCUAACCUUCAAGAACAGAAACCCCAAGAAACAGAAACAGAUGCUAUAAGCAGCAAGAGCUUACCAAAGAGCAGUGUUUGCUGAACUGGAUGAAAGUCCAUGCUCUUAACAGAAGAACACUGAUUUAGAUCUCCCAUUAUUUUCUUUGGCAAGUCAUUAUAAGAGGACAGCUGAUGAGCAUGACUGCAGCUUUUGCAUUCAACAGACAAAGUGUUAAGCAACUGAUUGUUAACCUGCAAUGAGAAAAAUGCAUGAUCUUCAACCAUGUAGCUACAGCAUCUGAUAUUAACAGGAAAAGGGGAAAAUAGUAUAAUUUGUAAUCAACGGAAGACACUAGAAAAAAGUCCAGUUCUAGUGUGCGGCCAUCACUUGUGCACAAGCAGUUUCUUCAGAGACAAUGAGACAUCACAUGCACAAUAACACUGAACAUUUCAGUAUUAACAAUUUGAGGUCCUAAUUUUUUUUUUCUUUUGAGAAAAAGAGGAUAAAUGAAUGACUAUAGCAUCAUCCAAAAGUCUAAAUCCCCAUGUAACAGAUAAAAGCAAUAUAGGAACUGGGUACUUACUAAAGUACCUCAUCCGAUAUUCCCAAAAGUCUUUCUCUCUUCUGCACAGUUUCAGAAUCUGCAGUUAAGGUGAUUGAUUGAUAGGUUUUUAGUAUCAUGCUGUAUGGGCUUAUAGGAAGAAAAACUUUCAACUAAAGAGUGUGAUCAGCACGUAAAAACAGAAGUAAGCAAAACAACCAAUGGCCUAAUGUUAUCCAACCACUUAUGCGCGAGUAAAACUAAACAGAGAACUUAACUUCAAUGUACAUCAGCAAAUUAAAGAAAGUGAACCUUGUCUCAUAAAGUUUCACCCAGAGAUAAGCAGCAAUAACAAUGGAAGCCAAGGGAGCUAGGUUAGUUUUUCUUGGCCCUUGUGACUUCUGUUCACUUUGUCAAUAUUUUUUUGCUUUAGUUCAAUUCAAUAUUCUACCUAAGACCAAUAAAAUUACAAAGGUAACCAAAUUCCUUUUAUUUACUAUAACCCUAUUAUCUCCACUAAAGAGUAUAUGUAGAAGAAAUCAGCCUUCUAGCAUUAAAAUGUAGACUCUAGAUUACUUCAGGCAGCUAACAUGUGCUUGUCUCCUUUUUAAUGAGCCAUGUGCAAGAGAAUUUUUUUUUUUUUUUGACAUUUUAGAAUCAUUGUUUGAGUUGUGGUGUAGAUUACUCGAAGCAGCUAAUCUUCCAAUUCUUGGCUUUCAGGGGAUUUCAUGCUUUUGUCAAAAACAAAAGCUGAAGUUCCAUGUAAACGUUCCAUAAUGGCUACUAUUUGGGAAAUUCGAAGGGGAAAAAAAAAACUAAAAGGAUCUUCAAAGAUUUUCGGGAGGAUAUCAUCUUUUCCUGGGAUAUGGUGUGAUUACUAGCCUAAUUAUCAGAAUUGGCCACUAUUUAGAAGUGUCAAUAAAAUAGAAUGUACAUGACACAUAAAGACAUAGAAAUGCAUAAAUCUGAUUCUAGGUUCUCUCCCUAUGCUUCUCUCCUUAUCAGUUAAGAGUGAGACAAAAAGGGGACAAAAACUAGAAGACAAAUAGACUGAGAAAUACAUAAUCUAAUUCUAACUUCUCAACUUAAUGCACUCAGACCAAACAAAAAAAUAUACAAAUCCUGCAAAAGAACCUAACUCUAAAAAGAGGGGGGUAUUAAUUGUUAUACAAAUCUGUAACGUUACAGAAAAUUUUAAAAAAAUCUAGCAGAGGUGCUAAAAACUUAACUUGAAAUAUCUAACAAAGAAAUCGAAGCUUGAAGUGUAUGGUAGCUAACCCUCAAAAAUAGAUGAGCUUCUUUGAGCAUCAACUAUGUCAGUUAAGGUUAACCAUAAUAAAUAGCUUUAGUGAAAAGUAUUCCCCUUAUUUCAUUAAUAAUGUUAUCACUUUUAAAGAAGGCUCAAAAGCCUAGGAUAUUCUAAGAACACUAAAGUAUCUCUUCCCAACCUAGAGAUGAUUUAAGUGCACUCCGUAAUUUUAGUUUUUUUUUUUUUCGGCUUUUUUUUGGGGGGGGGGGGGUGGGGUUUGGGGAUCAAAGAAGAGCAUCCCACAUUUCUUGUCCACUCCAGCUCUCUGUCAAGUAAAUAAGAUCAAAUGGGAGAUGUGUGAAAACACUGUUCUGUUCAAGGAUCAACGAUAAUCUUCUAGACUGUCAUGUGCUUCACUAAUUUUAAGGGGUCUUUAAAAUUUCCCCCGAUGUUAUUGGAAGUAGAGAAAACUCCACAAACUAUCAAGUUGGGAUGCAUACCCACUCACGUAUCAUUUUGAUAUAGAUGCAUGUUAGACAUCACUUUUUGUCAAAGAUAAUAACUUAAAAUGAGUUGUUCAUAAAUAUGUGAAUAACAACAAUAUCAUCUACAAAAAACAUUGAUGGCAAGUACAAAGGAAACAAUCAUUACCUGCUUUAGGGGAAGCAGCUAAAGCACUGGCAACGACUGGAGAAAAGAAACAAACAGCCAGUUUAAUUUCUCCGUAUAUAGAAAACAAAAUUCAAUUCUCUACAUAAGAGAGUACUAGUAUUUACUAAUACAGAAACAAACUCCCAAUACAAACUAUCCCAUCCAUAUUUCUUCCAUUCAAUUAAUCUCCGGUCAAAAGGUUGAUACGGGUAUCUUGUAUGAAGAACAUGCACAUAUAGUCAUAUAUUAUUUUUCUUACUGAUAUAGACUUACUCUGCCACAAGCACAAGCGGAGCAAAGAGAUCUGUUGUAUUAGGCUGGAGCCCAUUACAGGAUUAAAUACAAACGAAGAAUCAAGAGCACAAUUAGACAGCACAGCAACUAAGGGAUUCCUGCACAGUAGAAUUAAAAAAAAAAGACAAUUUGAUGUAAGGAUAAAUGAGUUCGGUAGGCAAUCCAACAUUCGAAAACAAAGAGAAGGCAAGUUAUUUCUUCCAAGCUGUACUGCUGUACGUUGAAAAACUAUAUCCAUAUUCAGAAUCAAAUAACAAAAUUCUAACUUUUUGGAUAAUUCAUCAACUAAACCUAGAAGAGUCACGUAGGGUUUGGUUGGUUGGGGAAAUUUUUCGCACUAAUCAAAAUAUUAAGCACGAAUUUCAAAUAAAAAUAAAUUAAGUUAGAACAACGAGUUUAACCCAAAAAAAAAAGUAAAUAAAAACCUUGGAGCGUUGGCGGGGGUUGCAGACUCUCCGGCGUAGGCAGCACAAAUUGGCGGGGCAUAGAAAUAAUUUUGAACCAAAAUUUGAACCAUGGAGUUUUUGUUUUAAAUGAGGGAAUUGGUUAUAUGUGAUGCAGAUCAUUUGAGAUACGAACACUUAAAAUGUAAUUUUAAAAAGUUAAAAAUUAAUUUUAGUAUUUAAUAAAUUUUUAAAAAAAUUAUUUUUAGAAAAAUCACUUUAUCUUAUGGUAUAUUUUGAAAAAGAGAGUAGGUGCAACUUUUAAAAAUCUAAUUUAAAAAAUUAAUUUUAUGUUUAAUAUAAUUCAUAUACAUCCUUAUACAUAUUACAAAUAUAAAAUUAUCUUUAUUAAUUAAGUAAUAAAAUCAUUAACUUAAAAUUCUUAUUAUCAAUUAUAAUGAGAUAAAAAAAAUUAAUAAUAUAAAAUAUUUUAUUUUAGUUGUCAAUUGUUAUAUGUACACAAUAAAAAAAUAUUUUAAAUAUAUGUUUAUAAAUGUUUAAAUAAAUUUUAUCAACAUUAUAUCCGAUUCAAUUAUUUACAUUCUUACCGAAAUUUAACAAUAAGAUUUAUUUAAUAAAUACAACUACUUUUAAAAAUAAAAUUUUAUCAAAUGUUUAACUGAUUUUCUUCACAACUGAUUAUAUUUAUAUCACAUAAUAAAAAUUAUUUUAAACGCUAAAGUAUUACCAAACUGGUCCUAAAUCUAUGAUUUGUCACUUAUUAUUAUUUACUUAAUAUUUUAUAUGUUUUAACUUUUUUAUUUUGAGUGGUAACUCAAGCAUUACUAUAUGUUAUAUAUAAUGUAAUGUAAUAUGACUUGAAUUGAUAAUACUCCUUCAAGAUUGAGCUUUUGAGAUUUUACAAGUCUAAAAAAAAUUGAUAUUUUCAAUAGAACAUAUAAUCUAUAUUUUUAACUUUAUAUUAAGAUAUUAUGACAAAUUGAAAAAAAAAACUAAAUUCGUUUUUGAGUGGUAACCAAAAUAAAAAAUUUGUUUAUUAUUAUAAGAUUCAUAUUUAAGUAAAAUUUCAAUAACAGUGUGCAUAAAAAAUUAAAUAAAAUUUUAAUUUCGUUUUAAUAUGCAUAAUUUAAAAAAUAUAUUAUAAAAAUUGAUUAAAAAGUUAUUUAAAUGAAUUAUGAUUUGAUGUGCGUCGUCGCGCAUCUUAUGGUGUGCGAUAGGACGUGAGUAAGAAUAUUAUUCGUGGAUGUAUUGUGCGCUCCAUAGUUUCACCAAUAAUAUCAUACUCAUCCCAUCUCGCAUGAUAAGAUAAGUGAUAACACGCAUAUCAUGAUCUUAUUUGUGGUUGUGUUAUGGGCUCCACAAUAUCACCAACGAGAUCAUGACAUGCAUCCCAUCACACAUCAUAAGCUGCACGAGGUGCACAUUAGAUCAGCCCUCUUUAUUUAAAUAUUUUUUAAAAAAAUUUCAUUAAAUCAGAAUCUAAAAAACUCAAGAUAACAACAUAGUUCCUGCAAAAAAUCUUCAAUUAAUACAAAAAAAAAAAACUAGUAAGACAAAGUGCAAACUUAACUAAAGCAUCCGCAACAAACCCAGAAACUUGAUGAGAAUUGGUUAAUUACAUAAAAAGGAUGCAGCAAAACUUACAAAAAUUGGCUAACAUAGAAAUUCAUGGGCUAAAUAUAUCAGCAAUAUUGUCAUAACUCAUAACCAAACCCAGAAACUUAAAUUGAAUUGCCAAACGAAUUGAUAUCGGUUGAUGAAAUAAUUACUGAAAAAGCUUGUAAAAAAUUGAGAAUAGUUACAAAGAUUACAAAUUCGAUUUGGAUUAGAAUUUUAAGCCGUAUCUUUUUUUAAAGUGGAGUUUCAGUUCGAGUCAAAUUAACUUUUCUAUAUAUAUAUAUUGAGUGUUUGUCUAAACUGAUUCAAAUUAGAAUAUAACUUGUUCUUUUCUGAAAUAAAAAUCAUUUUUCAUUUUGGAAUAAGAGUUCUAUUCUACUAAAGAUCCUACACUUUAAACUCAAGCACGAACACUCAAUCAGCCAGCAAUUGGAUUCAAAUCCAAUAAAUCAAAUCAGUUUCAUGUAUGUUUCACUUGCAUGCUUUUCUUAUAUAUGUACUAACUAUAACUUCUUUUCAUUUCAUAUUGGCAAUGCUGCUGAUGCACAAUCUUUUUCAUAUUCUUAAUUUUAAUUUCAUUCUAUCUAUGCUUUGUUAAUAUAUUCUCCAUAUAACUCACAAGCUUCUAUUUGAUUUGCGCAAGGUCCAUAAAGAUUCAAGACUACUAUAUACAUAUUUCAUUCAUUUAAUUUGAAAGAUCUAUAGCUUAGCCAUUUGUAUACACACAGCUCUAAGUUUGCAUCCCCAUUUUUUGUCUAUGUCUUCAUUCUCAUCAUCGUCGUCGUCAUCAUACGAUGUCUUCCUCAAUUUCAGAAGGGAGGAUACCGGCGAUAACUUUACCAGUCAUCUCCACCACGCGUUGCGCCGAAAUAAAAUCAAGAGCUUCACUUACGAUGAUCUUAACAAAGGACACGAUAUCAUGGCAUCACUGUUCGAAGCAAUCGAAGGAUCAAGGAUUUCGAUAGUAAUCUUUUCAAAGAAUUAUGCUUCUUCCGAAAGUUGUCUAGAUGAGCUUGUAAAGAUUAUUGAGUGCAAGAAAGUGAAGGGUCAAAUCGUUAUCCCGAUUUUCUACCACGUACGUCCGUCGGACGUACGGUGCCAGACGGGGAGUUUCGAGGAUGCUUUCGUUAAUCACGAACAGCAUUCCAAGCGUACGAAAGAAAAGUUGGAAAGAUGGAGGGGGGCUUUGAUGGAAGCAUCCGACCUAUGCGGAUGGGAUUCAUCCAUGAUUAGGUAAUUCAUACUAUUUCGCUUUAGUUAUUUUUCAUUCCGUAAAUACUCCGCCUAGUCUUAACAGCUUGAAACUCAAUUAGUUCUAUUUUUUCAAACAGUACAUAAGUAGACUUUAACCGAAACAGAUAUACGACACGACAGAGUCCAAAGGAGCAUUUUAAUCUUGUUAUAUUUGCUUUCACAUCUAACUCACUUUUGUUUUACUCUUCGCAAUUUGGAAAGGCCUGAAUCUAAACUUGUAGAAGAAAUUGUUGGUGACAUUUUAAACAAGUUGAAUGCUGCAUCACCCUCAAGCAAUUUCAGGGGCCGAAUUCAAACAAAUUCGAGCAUUGAUCAGCAGAUGGAUUCGACUGUUUCUAUCGGCAGGGGCAGAAGUAUUAGGAGACGGGGAGGUACCCUGUCACCCGUAAAACUUUUGAAAAAGGAAAAGAACGUAAAUGUUAGCAUAAUAUCUAGUUUCUGUUGGAUCAUAAACUUGAUCCAAUUUGAAAAAAUCCAAGCCCACUUCAUAGAAAUUUCUUGCGGUAGGUAAGGUAGGUGUGAUUGGUGUGGUUGGUGAAGUAGGUGAAAUGAAAUGAGUUAGGUUUAUAAUAGUAUGAUGGUUUAAAAUAAAAGAGUGGUUGUGAUUAAAUUUGUUUAGUUUAUAUGCAUAGUUAUAAUUAAGUUUUGGGUAUUAUAAAUACCCUUAUUAUUUGUGUUGUAUGUAUCAAGUGUAAGGAGAAGAAAGCAUAAGAAGCAAAAUAUCUUUUAAAAGUUAUUUGUGAGAGUGUGUGAAUUGUUCUUGUAAUAUUCUUGAGCUUUUUAUUAUAAAAUUAGUGUUUUGUUCUUCAAAUUCUCCAAAAGUUUCUUUCUUUAACUUUUCAACUAAUAUUUUAUCAUUAUUAUUAUUUUUAUGGUUUGAAUGGGGAUUUCAUCCUUUGAACACCAAUAGUUGUUCAUAUUAUAACUUAAACUCAAGUGAUAGGAGGUACAAUGUGAUGGUAAAUUGAUUGGGUGAAGCAAACUUACAAUUAAAGUAAAAUUGAGAAAUAAUAAUCACACAAGGACACUGAAAUUAAGUGGUUUGACUUUUAACCUACCUCCAGGGCGAACAUAAAAGUAUAAAACUUUACUAGUGAAAUGGAGAUUACAAAUAUUAAAAUAUUUUAACUCACUAUUCAAAACCUCAAUAUACCCAAUUUUUCACUCACUAAACCAAGAGGUUAAAACUCUCAAUACACUCUCAAUCUGCAGCUCUCAACUCUCUCAUUUCUCAAAUAAAUUGAGAAUUGAAGAAAAUUAGGAUAUUGAAGAGGCCCUCUUUCUCUAAUUUUUAUUAUCAUACAAAAGUUAAUAGACACCGAGAGUUAAAUUAGUGAUGUCCCCACGUGUCUCUCAUUAGCUCAUGUCUCCCACUUAGUCAACACAAUGCACUUCUAUAACCAGCUAAAUUACACCUAAAAGACAAAUAAAUAUCUUGUUUUAUUUUUUCAAAAGUCAAUAAUACAUCAUUUUUAUUCCUCCAUAAGAUUUUUCAGUAUGUAUCGAGGGCUUAUUCGAUUAGAUACUUUCAUAUAAUACGAAUAAACUUAUUGAAAAAUGAACAGAUUAACUUAUUUUCAUCUUUUGAAGUACGUGGCCCCUUCAACCAAAGUUUCUAGCUUCCGUCACUGUUUAUGGGUUUAUCAGAAUUUCAAGUUAGAAUUUGAUGUAAAGCUGAAGUUAUUUUUAACCAAUUAUCUUGAAGUUUUACACUUUGAAAGCAAAUGUUUCGGUGAAUGAGAAAAAUGAAAUUAGAUUUGUUCAUUGACAGUUCGAUGAACGGGAAGGCAAUGUACUUGGGCCCUAAAAGCUACUGUCCAAAGGCUAGAUAUGGGCCGUGUGGGUCUUCUUUUGCGGUUCAGCCCAACGUACAUCUUUAUUUGAGAGCAACUGUCCAAAGUCUAGACUAGGGCCGUGUGGGUCGUCUUUUGCUGUUCGGCCCAAGGGGCAUCGUUAUUUUAAGGGCAAAUUUCAGAUUAGCCCUUAUGAAUUAAUUAUCUUCUGUUAUUUUAAAAUUUUCAAAUUGCCUUAAAAAGUAAGAGAAAAAUGAGGAUCAGUUGAUGAAUUUCUUUUGGGUCUUCUAAAUAAAAAUAUGAAGUAAAUUGAGACUUUAAAAAAUAAGAGAGUAUUUGAAGAUAAUCAGUUCACAAAGAAAAUAAUUCGAAAUCAACCCUUAAAAUAAAUGUACGUGCUUGCAUAAUCCUCCAUUACUUUUAAAAUUAAUGGAAUAGCAUGAAGAGGCAUCGUAUCUUAAGUCAAGCUCAUUUAAUUCCAAUAAAAUUCUGAAUCAAUUUGUGUGCAUUUCACAUUAGCUUUGCAACCUUAGACCUUUUUUUUUUAUUAAAAAAAAAGGUAAAGAGGGUGGGCAAGCCCAAAUAUAUUUUUUUACCUCCUUUAUCACCCCCAAGAAUCAAACUCGGGUUUUGGUAGAGGCUACUGCUGCACUGCAAUCAACCCGACCACGCUCUUGGAGACUUGCAACAAUACUUGGUGGUGGGCACAAAAUAAUCUUUUGAUCGAAUAUAUACGGGUCACAAAUGUUAUAACUUGAUGAAUGGCGACACAAUUCUCAAUCCAUCAAUAUUUGCGAGAGGGUGGAGCCGUAAAUUUUUUGCCUUUAUAUAUAAAAAAAGUUAUAAUUAUCGUACUCUUAAUUGGCGGAUGCUACUCCUCGAUGUAGGAGAAUAGAUUAUAUUGACAUAAGUUACUAGUAUUGAAAUUAGAUUUGGGGGAAUAAUAACUUAUUUUAAGCAACUAUAUUAUUAAUAAAAGAAAUCAAAUUACAAUAGAUACGGAGAAGAAUUAUGAUUCUUUUUUUUUUUUUUUUUUUAACCUCUUCUAGAUCUUCUGAGAAACAAAGUGAGCACAUUUGCUUGCAAGCGCUAGGAAGAAACACAUGAGAAGGCAUAAAGUGAAUACAAACAAAAUAUGGACAGACAAGUCCUCUUUUUAUUUUAUUUUUAAAUUCAAACCAUUAAAUGACCAGGGCUCAUAAUACUUAGAUCGCUUUGUGAAAUUCAAUAACCCAAUAGCAAUAGGCAUGUCAUAUAACUUUAAUAUCUACAAAUCCAACUCUUGUUGCCAAGGCCUUGAAUUCUCUCCUUUGCUCCAGGAAAUAAGAUUGGAGAGAUGUACGUCAAGCCUUGAAAUGUUCUUGCUUAAAAUAUCACUCUCAUGGGAUUCUAGCACUAUACGUUCUACCAAAAUAACCUUUCCGAAUUUUGGUAUUGCAUGGUAGCAAUUCUUCAAUAACUAACCAUUGUAGAAAAUAUAAAGUAGUCAAUAAAAUGCAAAGUGUUGCCCCCAUAAAAUAUGCUCCCCAAGAAUGGGGAGCAGAGAUUCCACCUCCAGGAAUGGGUCCUAGAAAAUAUGCUCCCCUAGAAUGGGGAACGUGGAUUCUAUCCCAGGAAUGGGGCCCCAGCAAGUGUGCUCUCUCAUUCUUGAGAGUAGAGAUUCUACCCUCCGGAAUGAGGCCCCAUAAAAUAUGCUCCCCCAAGAAUGGGGAGUAGAGAUUCCACCUCUAGGAAUGGGCCCUAGAAAGUGUGCUCCCCCAAGAAUGAUGAGCAUGAAUUCUACCUUAAGGAUGGACAUCAGAAAAUAUGCUCCCUCAGAAUAGGAACAUGAAUUAUACCCUUAAGGAUGAGCCCCAGAAACCAUGUUCCCCAAGAAUAGGGAGCAGGAAUCAUGUUCCCCCAGGAACAUGGAGCAAGAAUUAGGCUCCUUAGGAAUGGGAAGCAGGAGUGGAGGAUGAUAGAAAUCAUGGUUUCAAACAGCCCUUGACCCAGUUCUAGAUUAUUGAUCUCACAAGAAAGGUCAAGUCCAAGUAGAGGAGCUAUCGUUGGAAGACAAUAGAAGGGCAUUGCUUGGCCUAAAAGCAAAUUAAGUAGAGUUUGACUCAGAUACAAUUUAUGAAAAGGUAGAAAUAUUUUGUAAUUAAAAUCCUAGAGGAUAGAGGAGAGUUAGAUAAAGUUCAAGUUAGAAAAGGACUUUAUCUAUAGAAGGCUAUAAAAGUAGAGGUCUCUCAUAGUAUAAGGGAUAAAAAAAAAUAGAAAAGAGAGAGAGGGAGUCAAGUUGUAAGUGCAAUCUUAAUAAAAUAUUUGUCUUUCUCUGCUCAUGGACGUAGACUAAAGGCCGAAUUACAUUAAUUCUCUUUGUCUUUCUGUUAUAUCGCCUUCGCAUAAAUUAAUUUUCUAAGUUGACCAGAAAUCUACGUCAACAAUUUGGCGCCGUCUGUGGGGACGAUGUAAAAUACUAUUAUUAAGAUUGAAACAAACCCUCGGUAAUCAUGAGUUAGUAUAGUCAUAGCCACAAUAGCAGGUUGUCCCUAGUUCCUAGUCCACCAAGAAGGCAACGUAGCAAUGCUGGGUCACAUCCACCACUUGCGCAGUUAGGGGUGGGCAAUUUCGAAUUCGGAUAAAUCCGAUCGGAUUUCGGAUAAUUUGGAUUAGAAAAAAAUCCAUCUGAUUCCAAUAUGAAUAUCAAAUCUGAUCCAUUCCGAUCCGAAAUAGUUCGGAUCGGAUGAAAUUUUGGAUAAAUUCAGAUUUGGAUCGAUUUGGAUUGAGUUCGGAUUUGAGUGAGUUUGACUAGUUUGGAUGAUGCUUUUGGAUCCUUCUUCUGAAACCCAUCGGCGCUGGCGGCUCCACCGUUACUUCCAUCAACAAAAGCAUGGCACAUCAACAAGAAAGUGCAACCACAACUCAUUCCAAGAAAAAGAUCAAAUUAAAGAGAAUACAAGUGAGUUUGAGAAUGACAGUGCCGUUAGGAAAGCAUCGUGACAGAGAUGGAGCUUUGGAAGAUGCCGGUGAGGAUAGUGGUGACCAUGUCAGUGGCGUAGUGCUUGUUGGAGGAGAUAUAACGACUGAGAGGGAGGGAACAACGAUGAGGAUGGAGAGGACGUGGAGGAGAAUGAGAGAGAAGCAUACGAGGGAGGGAAAGAGGCUAAGGGAGAGGGUGAGGAAGAUGAGGCUUGACGGUGAUGGUUGAUGUUGAAGGAGACGGCCAUUGUGGCUAUUAUUAUUGAGAGGUGUUAGAUCUUGAAAUUGUUGAUGAUUUGAAGAAAUAUUGAUGAUGAAGAUGAGUAGAAAUAUCUAAAGAAAUAUUGGAUUCUGCUUUUAUAUUUAAUUAUUUAAUUUAUUUUUUUAAUAAGUAUAAUCCAAUCGGAUUGUUCGGAUCGAUCCGAAUCCGAUCUGAUCCGAAUCAAAUUCGAUCGGAUUAUAUUCGAUCGGAUUAUAUUCGAUCGGAUUAUUAGCUAAAUCUGAAUCCGAUCCGAUGCCCACCCCUACGCGCAACAAGUAGCUGAUCUAACGUAGAAUAUGGCCAGGGUUCUCCAGUAUAUAGAGAACUAGGAACAUAGAACAAACCUAAAUAUGCCUCCAUGGAAGGAAGAAGGGCUGUAGAAUGCAUGCAAGAUACUCUACAAGAUAACACUAAUGGCUUACAACGGGUUCGUCAGAAAAGCAACCUUACUAGAUUAACCAGAAGAGCUGAGACUCAUGCAAGUCAUAUUGAUCACCUAAGGGACCUCCGACAUGUGCUGGAGAUCAAGCAGGAUUUGCGCCACAAGUUGAAUUCAGAACGUCCAUAUAAGAAACGUGAGUCAGAGGGCUCUAAUGCUAGUACUGGGUCGGCAAGUCUUGAAGUAGAAUUAAAAAAACUUAAGAAACAUGUGGAUGGGAUGGAGAAAAGUCCUGCAAAACUGACACAACUUAAAAGUAAUUUUUUAACUCCUAAGUAUAAGAGUGUCUUAUUGUAUUAUAACUCGGUGAGGCCGAGGUCGAUCCACAUAGAAAAGAUUUAAUUUGUUUAUUUUAUUUUAACUAAACAUUGAAAUUAAAACUUAAAUAUAAACAACUUAAUUUAAAUGAAACUAUGAAAUUGAGCUAGUUAGAGUUAUGGAUCCACUCUUAGAAGUAAAUAAAAUUUAAUAAAUUCUUUUUACCCUUUUUUUUAGAUUUAUUGCCCAAAAUAUUAAUUAUAUAAAUUAUUAUUAUUUUCCCUUUAAUUUUAUGAUGGAUUAAGUAUUUAUUGUGCCAAAAUUUAAUUUGUCUACAAUAAGUCAAAAUACCAUUUCACCAUACCUUAUAUUAAGAUCUUAAGAAUUUAUUGUGCCAAAUUCAUUUGUUUGUCUACAAUAAAUCAAAAUUUCAAAUUAUAAAAUAUGUAUAAAAUUAAAUAGAAAAUAAUUUAAUUUAUAAAAUUAAAAAUAGAAUUUGCUUAAAUCAUAUUUAUUUCUUAAGAGUUUCACCUUCCCCUAACUAAUAUUAUUUAGUUAAGCAUAAUUGAAAUAAAAAGUAGUAAAAUUGAAUUACUUAUAAUUAAAGUAAUAAAAACAACUAAAAUUGGAAAUAAAACUAAUUUUAUUUAUAAAAAUAAUUAUACAAAAUAUUAAAAACACACCUGGAAAUCAAGAUUACAAGGAGAUUGAGAGAAUUUGAGAAGAAGAGAGUUGUAAAGAGAUGAUUAAAAACAUAAAAUGAGGCUCUAUUUAUAGAAAAUAAAUUCAUAAUCCAGUGUGUUGCGGUCCAUCAUAAGCUUCAUGCAUGUGCUCCUCACAACUUUGAGAUCAAGAUCCAAUGGCUGGUCAAACUUCAAAAGUUAACAUCACACGUGAUAUCGUUUGACUCAUCCGAUUUGCCCGAAGAAGGUUGAGAUUUAGUGGGUUAAUGGGUGGAUCAGGUCGACCCGAAAACAAAGAUUCAGAUCCUACAACUUGCUUCACCAACCAUUGCCACGUGGCACAAUCAUGGCCAUAGAAUCAUGAACGGUUGAGAUUUAGUCAAAAUUGCCAGCUAUCUCAUGCACUCAUAUCUAUUGUAAGCUCAUUUCAUCAUCUAAUCAGUGUUCGGUCAACAGGAAAAGUCAACUCUUUUUACACAAGACCAAUUUUAAGCCGAUCUUGACUGAUCUUAAGGUUUUUCGGACCUUCAGAAUCUAAAUUUGACCUCCGUUUAUCUGUUUGGAGCCUUGAAUUACGUGAAAUUAAUAUUUUACUCAAUAAACACACAAAAAUACACAAAAUUAGAUAUAUUUAAAACAUAAUUAAUAAUUCUUAAUAUAUUGCAUAAACACAAAUAUAAAUUAUAAUAUAAGCACAAAAUAAUAUUAUUAUUGCUUGUUAAUUAGAUAAUUUUUAAUAUUAAUCAAGAACCACUCUUAGAGGAGGUAGAACCACCAUUCACCAAAGAUAUACUAGAGGCCCCAUUGCUAGCAAAAUUUAAAAUGCCUCAAAUCAAGUUAUAUGGAGGUGAAGGAGAUCCAACUGAGUAACUAGAGACAUUCAGGUUGUGGAUGAAGUUGCGAGGGGCGAUAUGAGCAGCCAUGUGCAGGGCUUCUCCUUGACGCUUACAAGAGCAGCACGUAAGUGGUACAGAAAGUUGAAGCCUGGGUCUAUCUCUUCAUUUACCCAGCUUAGUCAGAUAUUUAUUGGUCAGUUUGUAGGAGCAAAAGACUAUCAGGUUCCCCCAACUCACUUGUUAUCAGUGAAGUAAGGGAAUGAUGAGUCAUUGAAGGACCAUAUUGUUUGUUUUAACAAAGAGGCAGUAAGAGUAGAAAAUUGUAUAGAUGCAAUGGCAUUAAUAGCAAUAAUGGUAGGCAUGCGAUCAGAAAGAUUCCAUUACUUGAUGGCUAAGAAUGCAUUAAGGACCUUUACUGAGUUACUAUCAAGAGCUCAGAAAUACUCUAAUGCCGACAAGCUGACCAAUGCAAAGAGAGGAGUAGAUCCGGAUCCUCAGAGGACUAAAAAAAAGAAAAAGGAAUAAUGAACAGGUUAAAAAUCGAGACAAAAGAAAUAGACCAGGAGACAACAGGGGACCAAGAGUCCCACAAAGCAGGUACUUUGGGUACACGCCACUUAGCGUACCAAGAGAACAGCUGCUUAUGCAGAUACGAGACUUAGAUUUGUUGCAGAAGCCCAAAGAAAUAAGGAUCGCACCAAAUCGAAGAGAUAGAAGCAAAUACUGUAGGUAUCGAAAAGAUCAUGGUCAUAAUACUAACGGUUGCUUUGAUCUUAAAGAGGAAAUAAAGUCUUUAAUACAGCGAGGGUAUUUGAAAGACUUUGUAAAAAGAAAAGAGCACAUAGAUAUUCAAAAUGAAGCCUUGGCUGAUGUACCGCAAAAAUAUUGCUAAGAUAUUCAAAAUAAAGCCUUGGUUGAUGUGCCGCAAAAUAUUGCUACAGUAGCAUCCAAACAUAUAGAAAACCAAGAGGUUGCAGGUGGAGCUCCUAUAAGAACUAUAUUUGGUGGACUUACAGGAGGAGGGGACUCCAACAGGGCAUGAAAAGCUCAUGCACGGGUGAUUAGAGCAGCACCAGGGGCUUUACUGGUAAACUUAGUGGGUAAACCCCAAAAGAGGCUAGGAUGAAACAUAACACCAUCACUUUCACAUAAGAAGAAGCUAGAGGUUUACAUCAAUCGCACGAUGAUGCUCUGGUUUUUUCUAUAACUAUAGCAAACACAAAAGUCUUCAGAGUUUUAAUGGACAACGAGAGUUCAGCAGAUAUCUUAUAUGCAGCAGUAUUUGAUAAGAUGAAUAUAGGAAGGGAAAAAUUGAAGCAAAUUUAUACUCCAUUGAUCGGUUUUAGUGGAGAAUGCUUAAUUCCUUUGGGCAGUAUAGAUCUACUAGUUACUAUUGAAGAACCACCUCACCAAUCUACUAAGAUGGUAGGCUUCUUAGUAAUGGGAGCACCCUUCGGUCUACAAUGUUAUCUUAGGUAGACCUGCCUUAAAAUCUUUUUCCGGUAAUAACCUCAACUUACCACUUAAUGAUAAAAUUUUCUAUAGAACUGGGGCUGGAAUCUUAAAGGCAGAUCAAGAAGAAUCCAGCCACAGCCUUGAAAGACAAAAUGGACAAACGAGAAUGUUUUCAAGUCACGCUUGAUCUUAGAGAGGAGAGAAACAAAUAAAGAGGAUCACCAGUAGAAGAGCUAGACACCAUCCAAGUACGGCACAAUAAUCAAAGCAAGACAAUUCGUAUUGGGUCAUUAUUAACCCCAAAAAUAUGAAAACAACUGGAAGAUUUUCUCAGAUCACAGUCUAAUGUAUUUGCAUGGUCCCAUGAAGACAUGCCUGAUAUAGACCCAUAAGUGAUAGUCCAUUGAUUAAAUGUAGAUCCUAAUCAUAAGCCAAUACGACAAAAGAAGAGAUCCUUCAAUCCAGAAAGAUACAAAGCAAUAGAAGAAGAGGUCGAAAAACUCCUAAAAGCAGGCUUCAUUAGAGAGGUCUACUAUCCAAAUUGGUUGGCCAAUGUAGUGAUGGUUAAAAAGCCAAAUGGAAAGUGAAGGAUCUGUAUAGACUUCACUGAUUUAAAUAAAGCAUGUCCCAAAGAUAGUUUUCCUUUACCUAGAAUUGAUUAGUUGGUUGAUGCUACUGCAAGGCAUGAGCUGUUUAUUUUUAUGGAUGCAUAUUCUGGGUAUAACCAAAUUCAAAUGUACCCACCAGAUAGGAAAAGACAUCUUUCAUUACGAAUACGGGCCUGUAUUACUAUAACGUUAUGCCCUUUGGGUUAAAAAAUACAAGAGCAACCUAUCAGAGUUGGUCAAUAAAAUGUUUCAUAGCCAGAUUAGAAGAAAUAUGGAGGUUUACGUAGAUGAUAUGCUUAUGAAAAGCAAGAGAAUGGAAGAUCAUAUCACAGACUUAGAUGAGCGUUCAAGAUUUUGAAGCAGUACAACAUGAAGUUAAACCCAAGCAAAUGCGCAUUUGGAGUCUUUUCAAGAAAGUUUUUAGGGUUCAUGGUAAGCCAGCGAGGAACAGAAGCUAACCCAGAAAAAAUUCAAGCCCUUCUAAAUAUGGAGUCUCCAAAAUCAAUUAGAGAAGUUCAAGGUUAACAGGAAGAGUUGUGGCCUUGAAUCCGUUUAUUUUACGAGCGACAGAUAAAUGUUUACCAUUCUUGAAGACCCCAGAGGGAGGAAAGAGAUAGUAUGCGCAGAGGAAUGCGAGAAAGCCUUCCAGGAGUUGAAAAGGUAUCUGGAAGUCCUCCAAUCUCUAAGCUAAUAUUGGGAGAAGAUCUUUACUUAUACCUGGCCGUUUUAGACUCAGCAAUCAGUUCAGUAUUGAUAAAAGAGGAUAAUAAAAUACAAAAGCCAGUUUAUUAUGUGAGUCAUACUCUGUUAGAUGCGGAGACAAGGUAUCCAGCUAUAGAAAAUAUGGCUUUAGCACUAGCAGUAUCCGCUAGGAAAACUAAGGCCUUACUUUCAGGCUCACACCAUAGUGACGCUGACAAAACCAACCCUUGACGUAGAUAAGCAACGACCAUAAGUAUCAGGAAGGUUGUAUAGUGGGCCGUAGAGCUAGAAGAGUAUGAUAUUAGGUAUAGACCUAGAACAACAAUUAAAGGACAGGCAGCCGCAGACUUUAUAGUUGAGUUACUGGUAACUAGUUCAAUGAGUUCAGGAUUAGUGAAACAAUAAUAUCAACCUGGAGAUUGUAUGUGGAUGGAUUGUCAAACCAACAGGAGAGUGGAGCAGGAUUGAUUUUAGUCUCCCCAGAGCAUACAAAAAUAAGCUUUGCCCUCAGGUUUGGGUUGAAGGCCUCCAACAAUGAAGCUGAGUACGAGGUCUUACUUCCUGGUCUCAGUUAGCAAAAGAAAUGAGGGCAGAAAAGCUAGAAAUUUUUAGUGAUUCAUAAUUGAUUGGAAUCAAGUUAUAUCCGAGUACUAAGCAAAGGGAAGUAUGAUGUUAGCAUAUUUACAAAAGGUCAGGGAAUUAUUAAUGAAUUUUAUAGAAUACACUAUCACUUAAGUUUCAAGAGAGGAAGCCAACAAAGCUGUUGCCCUUGCAAGGCUAGCAUCAACCACAACUGCAGGAUUAAACAGAUUAAUCGCUGUUGAGUUCUUGCAAAAUCCGAGUAUUAAUCACGAGGAGAAAAAAGAGAUUAAUCUUAUGAAUACAAUUGGAGCUAGAUGGAUAGCAUAAUAUCACUAAAUACUAUAGUCACAUAAAUCACUAACAGUAAUUUGUAUAAUUAAAUACUAACAUUAUAGUGUCAUUAUUUUGUUGAUACNAUCUACGUCAACAAUUUGGCGCCGUCUGUGGGGACGAUGUAAAAUACUUAUUAAGAUUGAAACAAACCCUCGGUAAUCAUGAGUUAGUAUAGUCAUAGCCACAAUAGCAGGUUGUCCCUAGUUCCUAGUCCACCAAGAAGGCAACGUAGCAAUGCUGGGUCACAUCCACCACUUGCGCAGUUAGGGGUGGGCAAUUUCGAAUUCGGAUAAAUCCGAUCGGAUUUCGGAUAAUUUGGAUUAAAAAAAAUCCAUCUGAUUCCAAUAUGAAUAUCAAAUCUGAUCCAUUCCGAUCCGAAAUAGUUCGGAUCGGAUGAAAUUUUGGAUAAAUUCAGAUUUGGAUCGAUUUGGAUUGAGUUCGGAUUUGAGUGAGUUUGACUAGUUUGGAUGAUGCUUUUGGAUCCUUCUUCUGAAACCCAUCGGCGCUGGCGGCUCCACCGUUACUUCCAUCAACAAAAGCAUGGCACAUCAACAAGAAAGUGCAACCACAACUCAUUCCAAGAAAAAGAUCAAAUUAAAGAGAAUACAAGUGAGUUUGAGAAUGACAGUGCCGUUAGGAAAGCAUCGUGACAGAGAUGGAGCUUUGGAAGAUGCCGGUGAGGAUAGUGGUGACCAUGUCAGUGGCGUAGUGCUUGUUGGAGGAGAUAUAACGACUGAGAGGAGGGAACAACGAUGAGGAUGGAGAGGACGUGGAGGAGAAUGAGAGAGAAGCAUACGAGGGAGGGAAAGAGGCUAAGGGAGAGGGUGAGGAAGAUGAGGCUUGACGGUGAUGGUUGAUGUUGAAGGAGACGGCCAUUGUGGCUAUUAUUAUUGAGAGGUGUUAGAUCUUGAAAUUGUUGAUGAUUUGAAGAAAUAUUGAUGAUGAAGAUGAGUAGAAAUAUCUAAAGAAAUAUUGGAUUCUGCUUUUAUAUUUAAUUAUUUAAUUUAUUUUUUUAAUAAGUAUAAUCCAAUCGGAUUGUUCGGAUCGAUCCGAAUCCGAUCUGAUCCGAAUCAAAUUCGAUCGGAUUACGGAUUAUAUUCGAUCGGAUUAUUAGCUAAAUCUGAAUCCGAUCCGAUGCCCACCCCUACGCGCAACAAGUAGCUGAUCUAACGUAGAAUAUGGCCAGGGUUCUCCAGUAUAUAGAGAACUAGGAACAUAGAACAAACCUAAAUAUGCCUCCAUGGAAGGAAGAAGGGCUGUAGAAUGCAUGCAAGAUACUCUACAAGAUAACACUAAUGGCUUACAACGGGUUCGUCAGAAAAGCAACCUUACUAGAUUAACCAGAAGAGCUGAGACUCAUGCAAGUCAUAUUGAUCACCUAAGGGACCUCCGACAUGUGCUGGAGAUCAAGCAGGAUUUGCGCCACAAGUUGAAUUCAGAACGUCCAUAUAAGAAACGUGAGUCAGAGGGCUCUAAUGCUAGUACUGGGUCGGCAAGUCUUGAAGUAGAAUUAAAAAAACUUAAGAAACAUGUGGAUGGGAUGGAGAAAAGUCCUGCAAAACUGACACAACUUAAAAGUAAUUUUUUAACUCCUAAGUAUAAGAGUGUCUUAUUGUAUUAUAACUCGGUGAGGCCGAGGUCGAUCCACAUAGAAAAGAUUUAAUUUGUUUAUUUUAUUUUAACUAAACAUUGAAAUUAAAACUUAAAUAUAAACAACUUAAUUAAAUGAAACUAUGAAAUUGAGCUAGUUAGAGUUAUGGAUCCACUCUUAGAAGUAAAUAAAAUUUAAUAAAUUCUUUUUACCCUUUUUUUUAGAUUUAUUGCCCAAAAUAUUAAUUAUAUAAAUUAUUAUUAUUUUCCCUUUAAUUUUAUGAUGGAUUAAGUAUUUAUUGUGCCAAAAUUUAAUUUGUCUACAAUAAGUCAAAAUACCAUUUCACCAUUACUUAUAUUAAGAUCUUAAGAAUUUAUUUGUGCCAAAUUCAUUUGUUUUGUCUACAAUAAAUCAAAAUUUCAAAUUAUAAAAUAUGUAUAAAAAUUAAAUAGAAAAUAAUUUAAUUUAUAAAAUUAAAAAUAUGAAUUUGCUUAAAUCAUAUUUAUUUCUUAAGAGUUUCCACCUUCCCCUAACUAAUAUUAUUUAGUUAAGCAUAAUUGAAAUAAAAAAGUAGUAAAAUUGAAUUACUUAUAAUUAAAGUAAUAAAAACAACUAAAAUUGGAAAUAAAACUAAUUUUAUUUAUAAAAAUAAUUAUACAAAAUAUUAAAAACACACCUGGAAAUCAGAUUACAAGGAGAUUGAGAGAAUUUGAGAAGAAGAGAGUUGUAAAGAGAUGAUUAAAAACAUAAAAUGAGGCUCUAUUUAUAGAAAAUAAAUUCAUAAUCCAGUGUGUUGCGGUCCAUCAUAAGCUUCAUGCAUGUGCUCCUCACAACUUUGAGAUCAAGAUCCAAUGGCUGGUCAAACUUCAAAAGUUAACAUCACACGUGAUAUCGUUUGACUCAUCCGAUUUGCCCGAAGAAGGUUGAGAUUUAGUGGGUUAAUGGGUGGAUCAGGUCGACCCCGAAAACAAAGAUUCAGAUCCUACAACUUGCUUCACCAACCAUUGCCACGUGGCACAAUCAUGGCCAUAGAAUCAUGAACGGUUGAGAUUUAGUCAAAAUUGCCAGCUAUCUCAUGCACUCAUAUCUAUUGUAAGCUCAUUUCAUCAUCUAAUCAGUGUUCGGUCAACAGGAAAAGUCAACUCUUUUUACACCAAGACCAAUUUUAAGCCGAUCUUGACUGAUCUUAAGGUUUUUCGGACCUUCAGAAUCUAAAUUUGACCUCCGUUUAUCUGUUUGGAGCCUUGAAUUACGUGAAAUUAAUAUUUUACUCAAUAAACACACAAAAAUACACAAAAUUAGAUAUAUUUAAAACAUAAUUAAUAAUUCUUAAUAUAUUGCAUAAACACAAAUAUAAAUUAUAAUAUAAGCACAAAAUAAUAUUAUUAUUGCUUGUUAAUUAGAUAAUUUUUAAUAUUAAUCAAGAACCACUCUUAGAGGAGGUAGAACCACCAUUCACCAAAGAUAUACUAGAGGCCCCAUUGCUAGCAAAAUUUAAAAUGCCUCAAAUCAAGUUAUAUGGAGGUGAAGGAGAUCCAACUGAGUAACUAGAGACAUUCAGGUUGUGGAUGAAGUUGCGAGGGCGAUAUGAGCAGCCAUGUGCAGGGCUUCUCCUUGGACGCUUACAAGAGCAGCACGUAAGUGGUACAGAAAGUUGAAGCCUGGGUCUAUCUCUUCAUUUACCCAGCUUAGUCAGAUAUUUAUUGGUCAGUUUGUAGGAGCAAAAGACUAUCAGGUUCCCCCAACUCACUUGUUAUCAGUGAAGUAAGGGAAUGAUGAGUCAUUGAAGGACCAUAUUGUUUGUUUUAACAAAGAGGCAGUAAGAGUAGAAAAAUUGUAUAGAUGCAAUGGCAUUAAUAGCAAUAAUGGUAGGCAUGCGAUCAGAAAGAUUCCAUUACUUGAUGGCUAAGAAUGCAUUAAGGACCUUUACUGAGUUACUAUCAAGAGCUCAGAAAUACUCUAAUGCCGACAAGCUGACCAAUGCAAAGAGAGGAGUAGAUCCGGAUCCUCAGAGGACUAAAAAAAAGAAAAAGGAAUAAUGAACAGGUUAAAAAUCGAGACAAAAGAAAUAGACCAGGAGACAACAGGGACCAAGAGUCCCACAAAGCAGGUACUUUGGGUACACGCCACUUAGCGUACCAAGAGAACAGCUGCUUAUGCAGAUACGAGACUUAGAUUUGUUGCAGAAGCCCAAAGAAAUAAGGAUCGCACCAAAUCGAAGAGAUAGAAGCAAAUACUGUAGGUAUCGAAAAGAUCAUGGUCAUAAUACUAACGGUUGCUUUGAUCUUAAAGAGGAAAUAAAGUCUUUAAUACAGCGAGGGUAUUUGAAAGACUUUGUAAAAAGAAAAGAGCACAUAGAUAUUCAAAAUGAAGCCUUGGCUGAUGUACCGCAAAAUAUUGCUAAGAUAUUCAAAAUAAAGCCUUGGUUGAUGUGCCGCAAAAUAUUGCUACAGUAGCAUCCAAACAUAUAGAAAACCAAGAGGUUGCAGGUGGAGCUCCUAUAAGAACUAUAUUUGGUGGACUUACAGGAGGAGGGGACUCCAACAGGGCAUGAAAAGCUCAUGCACGGGUGAUUAGAGCAGCACCAGGGGCUUUACUGGUAAACUUAGUGGGUAAACCCCCAAAAGAGGCUAGGAUGAAACAUAACACCAUCACUUUCACAUAAGAAGAAGCUAGAGGUUUACAUCAAUCGCACGAUGAUGCUCUGGUUUUUUCUAUAACUAUAGCAAACACAAAAGUCUUCAGAGUUUUAAUGGACAACGAGAGUUCAGCAGAUAUCUUAUAUGCAGCAGUAUUUGAUAAGAUGAAUAUAGGAAGGGAAAAAUUGAAGCAAAUUUAUACUCCAUUGAUCGGUUUUAGUGGAGAAUGCUUAAUUCCUUUGGGCAGUAUAGAUCUACUAGUUACUAUUGAAGAACCACCUCACCAAUCUACUAAGAUGGUAGGCUUCUUAGUAAUGGAGCACCCUUCGGUCUACAAUGUUAUCUUAGGUAGACCUGCCUUAAAUCUUUUUCCGGUAAUAACCUCAACUUACCACUUAAUGAUAAAAUUUUCUAUAGAAACUGGGGCUGGAAUCUUAAAGGCAGAUCAAGAAGAAUCCAGCCACAGCCUUGAAAGACAAAAUGGACAAACGAGAAUGUUUUCAAGUCACGCUUGAUCUUAGAGAGGAGAGAAACAAAUAAAGAGGAUCACCAGUAGAAGAGCUAGACACCAUCCAAGUACGGCACAAUAAUCAAAGCAAGACAAUUCGUAUUGGGUCAUUAUUAACCCCAAAAAUAUGAAAACAACUGGAAGAUUUUCUCAGAUCACAGUCUAAUGUAUUUGCAUGGUCCCAUGAAGACAUGCCUGAUAUAGACCCAUAAGUGAUAGUCCAUUGAUUAAAUGUAGAUCCUAAUCAUAAGCCAAUACGACAAAAGAAGAGAUCCUUCAAUCCAGAAAGAUACAAAGCAAUAGAAGAAGAGGUCGAAAAACUCCUAAAAGCAGGCUUCAUUAGAGAGGUCUACUAUCCAAAUUGGUUGGCCAAUGUAGUGAUGGUUAAAAAGCCAAAUGGAAAGUGAAGGAUCUGUAUAGACUUCACUGAUUUAAAUAAAGCAUGUCCCAAAGAUAGUUUUCCUUUACCUAGAAUUGAUUAGUUGGUUGAUGCUACUGCAAGGCAUGAGCUGUUUAUUUUUAUGGAUGCAUAUUCUGGGUAUAACCAAAUUCAAAUGUACCCACCAGAUAGGGAAAAGACAUCUUUCAUUACGAAUACGGGCCUGUAUUACUAUAACGUUAUGCCCUUUGGGUUAAAAAAUACAAGAGCAACCUAUCAGAGGUUGGUCAAUAAAAUGUUUCAUAGCCAGAUUAGAAGAAAUAUGGAGGUUUACGUAGAUGAUAUGCUUAUGAAAAGCAAGAGAAUGGAAGAUCAUAUCACAGACUUAGAUGAAGCGUUCAAGAUUUUGAAGCAGUACAACAUGAAGUUAAACCCAAGCAAAUGCGCAUUUGGAGUCUUUUCAGGAAAGUUUUUAGGGUUCAUGGUAAGCCAGCGAGGAACAGAAGCUAACCCAGAAAAAAUUCAAGCCCUUCUAAAUAUGGAGUCUCCAAAAUCAAUUAGAGAAGUUCAAAGGUUAACAGGAAGAGUUGUGGCCUUGAAUCCGUUUAUUUUACGAGCGACAGAUAAAUGUUUACCAUUCUUGAAGACCCCAGAGGGAGGAAAGAGAUAGUAUGCGCAGAGGAAUGCGAGAAAGCCUUCCAGGAGUUGAAAAGGUAUCUGGGAAGUCCUCCAAUCUCUAAGCUAAUAUUGGGAGAAGAUCUUUACUUAUACCUGGCCGUUUUAGACUCAGCAAUCAGUUCAGUAUUGAUAAAAGAGGAUAAUAAAAUACAAAAGCCAGUUUAUUAUGUGAGUCAUACUCUGUUAGAUGCGGAGACAAGGUAUCCAGCUAUAGAAAAUAUGGCUUUAGCACUAGCAGUAUCCGCUAGGAAACUAAGGCCUUACUUUCAGGCUCACACCAUAGUGACGCUGACAAACCAACCCUUGACGUAGAUAAUGCAACGACCAUAAGUAUCAGGAAGGUUGGUAUAGUGGGCCGUAGAGCUAGGAGAGUAUGAUAUUAGGUAUAGACCUAGAACAACAAUUAAAGGACAGGCAGCCGCAGACUUUAUAGUUGAGUUACUGGUAACUAGUUCAAUGAGUUCAGGAUUAGUGAAACAAUAAUAUCAACCUGGAGAUUGUAUGUGGAUGGAUUGUCAAACCAACAGGAGAGUGGAGCAGGAUUGAUUUUAGUCUCCCCAGAGCAUACAAAAAUAAGCUUUGCCCUCAGGUUUGGGUUGAAGGCCUCCAACAAUGAAGCUGAGUACGAGGUCUUACUUCCUGGUCUCAGGUUAGCAAAAGAAAUGAGGGCAGAAAAGCUAGAAAUUUUUAGUGAUUCAUAAUUGAUUGGGAAUCAAGUUAUAUCCGAGUACUAAGCAAAGGGAAGUAUGAUGUUAGCAUAUUUACAAAAGGUCAGGGAAUUAUUAAUGAAUUUUAUAGAAUACACUAUCACUUAAGUUUCAAGAGAGGAAGCCAACAAAGCUGUUGCCCUUGCAAGGCUAGCAUCAACCACAACUGCAGGAUUAAACAGAUUAAUCGCUGUUGAGUUCUUGCAAAAUCCGAGUAUUAAUCACGAGGAGAAAAAAGAGAUUAAUCUUAUGAAUACAAUUGGGAGCUAGAUGGAUAGCAUAAUAUCACUAAAUACUAUAGUCACAUAAAUCACUAACAGUAAUUUGUAUAAUUAAAUACUAACAUUAUAGUGUCAUUAUUUUGUUGAUACUAUGUGAUACGAAUUACUGACAUUAUAUAUUAUCAUGAAAUACUAACACCAUAGUGUCAUUAUUUUGGUGAUACUAUAGUGACAUGAAUUAUUAAAACAAAAACCACUGAUACAAUUAAUAAGUGUUAGCAAAAGUAAUUACUGACACUAAAUUGGUGUCAACAAAACUCAUUUUUCUAGUAGUGCCAAUUUGUAUAACUUUGAUCAAUUCCAAAGAUAAUCAAGUGAGUUUCUAUCUCUAAAGGAGUCUGGUACUUCACAUUCCCACACUUUGAGCAAGGGCAACGUAAAUGAUCUAGAUUUGCAGUGUGAUGGACAACAUAAUUAAAAAAGCUCUUAACACUAUCUCUAUAUUCUUCUAAUCUUCUAUCCAAUGAAAUCUAAGACUUAUCCAUUGUAGAUUCGACAAUAAUAAAUUGAGGCCUGAAGUUUCAAUUACUACCUCGUAGCUAAAUGUGCUUGGACGUUCUAGUGCAAAAACUAAACCUUUUUAUUACCAAGAAAAAAUAAAAGGGAAUUAGUUUGGACAUAAGAGCAAAUAAGAAAACAAAUAAACAAAAAAGAAAAAGACAGCACUUGGAAUUUUCUAGGUGUUGUCUACCUACUUAAUUAUGUUAAAACAAAACCUAAAACUCUCAAACAGCAAACAACAGCAUGGCAACACCUAAAAAUUUUUUUGGGUGUUGUCUAACUAUUGUAAUUAUGUUAAAACAACAUGUAAUUGUGUUAAGAUAGCAUCUAAAAGUUUCAUGUGUUGUUUUUAACAUCAAACAGUAGCAUGAUAGAAACAAAAAAAAUUCUUUGGGUGUUGUCUAGCUAUUAAAAAAGCAUGGGAACUUCUAGGUGCUAUUUUUAACAGCAAACAGUACUCAAAUUUUUUUUGGGUGCUGUCUAGCUAUUAAAAACAGUACCUAGUACUUCUAGGUGUUGUUUCUAAUAGCAUGACAGUACUAAGAAAAAUUUUUGGGUGCUGUCUAGCAACUGUAAUUGUGUUGUUUUUAACAUCAAACAGCAGCAUGGUAGCAUCUAAAAAUUUUUUUGAGUGCUAUCUAACUAUUAAAAACAACACUUGAAAGUCCCAGGUACUGUUUUUAGUAGCAAACAACAACAUGACAACAAUCAUGAAAUCUUUUUAGGUGCUGUCAAGGUGUUAAAAACAACACUUCAAACUUCCAAGUGCUGUUUUUUUAUAGCAAACAGCAGUAUGACAACAAUCAACAGUAGAUUUUUUGCACCCAAUGAUAGAAUUUGGUAGGGAUAUCAAAAUUCAUAAUCACCUACCUACUCCGUUUAACGUUCCCCUAAGGCACAACUAGCUAGCUAGACCAUCUUCAUCAAUAUAAUCUAAAGUAAUGUUGCCAAACUACCAAAAACGAAGUAUUGGAUCCAUCCAUGUUUUAUUUCUCAAACACACAUUAAAUGGGAAAAUAUGAAUAAUGGGUCAUUGAUUUUAACUUUAAUCUAGGGGAUACAAUCAAAUGAAACUAUAAAAAUUGCAAAAUCACAAGUCUAAGGCCUUCAGAUAUACAUAAUUAGCAAAUAUAUGAACUUAAUAUGUUUUCUAUUUACCAAAUUACUUAACUUAAAGAACAAAAUACAUGCACUUAUUCACAAUUUAGAAUAGAGAUGACCAUAUCUAUUAUGGUAUAACAUUCAAAGAUAUUAACAAUUUUCCCCACUUACCUUUACUACUUCUGUACCACCAUUCUAGAUAUGAUUUGUCAAAGUAGUCAAUUUAUUUAAGGGUGAAAGAGCAUGAUUGUUUAACCCAUAAUUUGGGAAACAAAUUAUCAAUACCCAACGUAAAUAAAAGUUGGUUAGAAUAUAAAUUCAAAAAAGGAUAAAUGCAUGAAUAAAAACACUUUGAAUGUAUGGAAACACUUUCUCUUUCUCAAAACUGAGAUAGAAGUUUUAAAAUUGUAGCCCCUGCAUGCUAAAAAGCACAACUGGAGCGUCAGUUUCUCUGGGGUGAAGACCCAAGACCUUUGUCUGCAACGAAGCCAACAAAAAACGAACAUAGAGGCAUCUCUACCAAGACGACAGCAGCUGACAGUGAACGAACAAGGUGGCAGCGUGGGCUUUUGCUUAGGCAAGGUUAUGAAGAAAAAGAGAACGAGAUUGUGCAAAGAGGAGAAAGAAAGUGCGUGAAGAUUGAAGAAGAAGAGAAAGAGUGUUGUGUGCUUAGGGAUAUUGCAAGUAUUUCCUUUUUCUUUGAAUCGUUUUUUUUUUUUUUAAGGCAAAUGAUACACAAUGACUUAUUAAAAACAAUCAUAAAAUGUAUCAAUUACAGCCAUUUUUACUAUUUAUAUUCAACGACUGUCAUUAAAUUAAAAGUUCUAAAGGAUUAAACAUACAAUGACCAUUAUAUUAAAUAACCAUCAUCAAAUACUUUUAAUAAUGGUUCAAUUACAUAAUUGUCAUUAAAUGUACAAUCAAAAUUUAACGACAGUUAUAUAAUAGAACUAUCAUUAAUAUUGAACUUUCAAUGACCCUUUUUUAUGGAUGGAGUAGCUUUUCAAAUAUGAUUUUAAGAAUCACUUUUAUACUUAUUAAAAUUCCUUAUAUAUUCCCAUAUAUAUUAUAAAAAUUCAAAAUUAUCCUUAUUAAUUAGGAAAUAAAAUUAUCAACUUCAAAGAGAUGAUGAUGAUGAUGAUGAUGAUGAUUAUUAUUAUUAUUAUUAUUAUUAUUAUUAUUAUUAUUAUUACCAAUUAUAUUGAGCUAACAAAAUAAAAAAAUUCAUAAUUAUAAAAUAUUUAUGUUAGUUAUUAAUUAUCAUAUAAACACAAUUAAAAAUAUUUUAUAUACAUAUUUAUAAAUGUGUUAAUAAAUUUUGUCCACCAUUAUGUCUAAUUCAGUCAUUUAUAUUCUUAACGCAGUUUAACAAUAAUAUUUACUAAAUAUAUACGACUGCUUUUAAAACUCAUAUCACUUUUAAGAACAAAUUUUACCAAAUAUUUAACUAAUUCUCUUUACAGUUGAUUAUUUUACAGUAUAACUAACAACAAUUAUUUUAAAAGUUACAGUAGUACUAAACUAGCCCUUACAAGCUAUUACAAUAAUAAGAAUAAUUAGAACACAUAUUGUAAAUGUAAUAUUAUUGUACCUAAUUUAUUAUUUAAUGACAACAUAGUUUUACACCCAAUGUUAUGGAUUCUAGACAAGUUGUUGGACCCAUUGAUUGUAUUUCAACACUUGGGAUUUUGGAUUUAUUUUUUAAUUUCGACCUUGAUAUGUAUGAAUGUUUCUAUUUUCUUUAAAUGCUGCUAUGUGUAUAUAUAUAUUACAAUUAGAAAUUUAUAUAUAUAAAGAAAUUUAUUGGAACCACUUUAGAUCAAGUCUAUUAUAGCAGAAUUAUGAUUCCUACUCUCACAAAGAUUAGAAGGAUACCUACUCCAUUCAUAUUAGUAGGGAAUAUAUACACCUCUAUCAAAUUUUUAAUUGAAAAAUUACUUUAUAAAAUGGUUGAAUUUGAAAGGAUGAUGCAUAUCAUAUAUUCUAAUUUCAUAAUUGAUAUAUAUUUUUUAAUUUUUUCCCCUUUAAAGACGUAUUUGGUAUUGCACAAAUUGCAUUGCUAUUAAAACAAAUUUAAAGUUGACGAUAUUUAUAAUUACAACUAUCAAAAUUUAUCAAAUAAUUUGAUAUUUGUAAAAUGUUUAUUUAAAUAAAUUAAAUUUAUUAAAAAGAAAGUUGGGCGAACUUUCAAAACCUAGGGCCAAGUAGUCUAGAAGACGGGUAAGUUAAAAAUUUAGAGUGGUGACAUUUGACUCCUCAAUAUAUCUCACUAGCCUCACUUCUCAAAUAACCCCACUAAAAAAUUGAAAAUAGUUUUCCUCUCUCAAUAUGCCCUAUCUAAUCCCUAGUUUAUCUUAUUACAAUUUUUAUACUUUUUUGGCAUGCUACCCUAUAAAACUUAAAAAUAUGCACAUACUAAAGCUUUUUCAUUUUUCUUUUCUUUUUUUUUUACUGAUAAAUUAUUAAAAAAUAAACUCAUUUAAUAUUCGGACUUCCUGUGAUCAACUAAACUACAUUUUAUUGAUUGCUGAAGUAAUGUUAAUCUGUAAUAAAUUAAAUUGAGUUUAUGAAGAAUUUUUUUUAAAACUAACUAAAGGGGCCAUAAUGGUGACGUUUGAUUAAAAUGCAGAGUUUGUUUUUGUUUGUCGAAAUUAAAAUCCAUUUUUAUUCCCUCUUAAACAGGUUGAAAUGCAAGUAAAACGGCGCCCGAUUACUUUUUUGUAAGAAUUUUCUGUAACUAUUUUAUAUUAAAGUAGCAUUGUUGAUUAGUAAGGGUUAUAUAUGCAAAUAGGUGUAUUUAAAAGGUAUUUAUCUUUUUUAGUAACUUCAUAUAAGAACAAAAUGGUCAUUAGCAUAAAAGUGAUUAUUGGAGAUUAGUAAAAUAUAUUGAGAGGAUCUAAUAUCACUACCCAAAAUUUAAUAACAUAAUUUACACAAAUGAACUCAUUCUCAAACCCUUGUUUUCGUAUUUAGUUUUUGAAAUAAUACUAUAGCACAACUUCUCUUUAUUGGUUGACCCUCUGUUGUUGUCCUCUUAAUUACAAUGCAAGACACAUAACCUAACGAGGUUACAUAUGAAAUAACUAUUUAUGUCCUUCAUCAAAAUGCGGCAAAUUAGAGCCAGAGAGUAGCGGAAGAGAGAAAUAAAAAAGUAAAUGGAUUAGCAGUUCUAGUAAAAAUCACUGAAGUUCGUAUAGUAUAAAGAAGUUGAUAAAUGACUAAUGAAGUUUGUUUAGCAUUUAUCCAAGCAUAUAUUUAAGAGGGCAAAAGUUCGUUUAGCAUAAAGAAGAGAGGCUGGUUGAUAGAAAUCUCUAUAUUGUAAAGAUUACUGAAGAAGUUUUAUUAAGCAUACUGAUAUGAGAUAAGGAGCCCUUAUUAGGAGCCCUUAUUUGCCACGGACACUCGGAUAUUUUUUCGUACAGAUUUGCUAAAACAUGUAGCAUCCUUGAAAUUGAAUGAGGUUUUAGGUUUGGUUUUAAACUCUUUCCUUUUAGAGAAACUAUGUUUCUUAUAAGGCCUCGAAGGUUUCUUAUAAGGAAGUUUUCUAAAAUCAUGAAAGGAAAAAGAUGUUCAAAACAUUGCAUCCAAACAGAUUUUUGCACGAUGGCAAGCUAUUUUGAACUCGUAAAGCAUAUUUCUGAUCCAAAUCUUCUUUUGUUUGGAAUAAUGAAAUUUUUGAACUAGAGAGGGCUAACCCAGCCUUUCUAGUAGCAAGAGAUCUGGUCUCUUUGCCUCAGAGGAAUGUACAAUUUAUAUGGCAGAUCUGAUAGAGAUCAGUCUGCAAGCAUGCUUUUAGUUUUGAAUUAUUUGCAGCAGAAAGUCUUUCAUUUGUCUUUUCAUGAAAUCUUUUUGGAACAAUGUCUUCACGAAUGCAAUUUACACUUUGUGACGUAUGCAUAUUUAUUCUAAUUAACUAUUACACCAUUGGUUUGAAAUUUUAACAUUCUGUUGUUGUUGUUGUUAUUUUAAUUACCAAAGAGAACAAAAAGAGCAAGCACAUUGAUUAAUGACAUAUCAAAAUAUUGGAACUUCCUAUGGUGUGAUUUAAUUAAUAAAUUACACUCCUAAUUUAGAUUCAUUAAAAAAAAAAAAAGUUGGUCCAAGUGAUCAAUACUCGGUAUAAUAUGCUUAGUCAAUAAAAGAGUUUAAAUAUGUAAGUGCUUUUCUAAUAAGGACUCCUGCACUUUGAUUCGUUACCUAAUAAUUUCCACUUGGUAUAAUAUAUGAAUCAAUCAAAUAAAAGAGUUUAAAUAGAUACUUGGGUGAAAUAUAUUAAAAGACUAAGUUUAAUUGACUAAUACUUGAAUUAUGUCUUUUAAGCUAACUUUCUUCUCAUGUUUGUGAACAAAAUCCAAGUGGGUUACUGCUUGACAAUUUGUUUAUUACCCAAAAAAAAAAAGGCUGAGUAUUCCCUUUUAUUUCUCCUCGCUAGCCCUCCCACAAUACAAGAUAUAUAGCCUCAUGAGCUAGCUUGCAGUGAAAAAAAACUAUAAUCCGAAACCACGUAUAACGGCAACCUUGGACGAAUCUCCAGUUGAUGAUAGGGUCAGUCUCCAGUUGUCAAAGUCAGAAAAACGUAACAAUCUUUCAAAGACUCAACAGGAAUGAAAUUCUCUUAUAAUCUGAAUUAGUCCUAAGUAAAAAUUUAAAUAGUGAUUAAUGGUAACAAAUAAAAAAAUAAAAAAAUUAAAUUUUAUCCAUACACUAUCAUUAAAAUACACAUGAUAUAAGAUUAUUAAAAAUUUAUCAGUGCUGAUAUGAGUGGAAGUCCUAAUCCGACUCAACAACCCCACAACUUACCUUUGUCUACCACGCUUGAGGAGAUCCAUAAUUCUGCUGUAGUCGUAUGGCUCACAACCAAGAAAAGAAGAUACUGUGCAAAGAAGUAGAGACAAGACAAUAACCAUAACAGAAAUCAACAAUCACACUCACCUUUGUCAAGCCAUGAAGAUAAGAAGCAAAGAACUUGUCGCGAUCAGAUUAUUCUUCACCAUUCUCCAAGACGCCAUGCACGUGAAUAAUUUCUCUUUUGUCCAUCAAAGUGCAUUAAAUAUCAAUUACAGUUUAGUCGUGGAUUUAACACAGUUUUCACCUCUUCAAAGGAGGAACUCUCCAGUGCAUCAGAAAUUCUACGUUACAAUCAAGUGUUGGCUUAUUGAGCUGUUUUCUUGUCUUUUUAUUUCAAUAAAGUUUCCCCUCUCGUUCCAUCAAAGUCAAUUUAAAAAAAAAAAAAAAAACUAAAAUUCGCUUAAGAAUACGCUUAUAUACACGAAACUUAUGAAGCCAUCUACUGUGCAAAGCCGUGCAAUGCUUAAGAACUAUGGCACGUAACUUUUGUUCCAAUAUUUGAUCGUACACGAAAGUUUUAAAACUAUUGAUCAUCAGUCAUCCCAUAGCGCCUCAGGGGUCUGGAAUGGUCCCUGAGGAGAUACCCAGAAAUCACUAGGUAUCAAUCUACGCUGCGGGAUCUGAUUAAUCUUUUUAUAAUCGUCAUCAACUAAUUCCCAGUCAAAAGUCCCCAUGUUCUGCUUCAUUCUCUCCUUAUUGAGGCUUCUAACAACAACAGUGGCUCCUUGCUCAACUAUCCAUCGUAGAGAAACCUGAGCCACGGUCUUGCCAUGAGCUUUUGCAAUCUGCUUUAACAUUUCAUUCUCCAGGACUUGAUUGCUGCCCCACAUUCUCCCUAAUGCUCCCAAAGGAGAGUAGGCAUUGACAAUUAUACCCUUGGCCUUGCAAAAUUCUCUGAGCUUCUUCUGCUGCCACAGAGGAUGCAUCUCUAUUUGAUUGAUUGACGGAGGGAUGAUAGCGAAGGUGAGUAUGGUCUCAAUCUUCUUGCAGGAGAAGAGACCAAUGGACUUAGUGAGGCCAAGCGUUUGAGAAUCUUCCAUGGCUUCCCACACACCCUUGCAGUCCAUAGGUAAAAGGUCCUCUUUAGGUACAGGUGCAAAUCCCAUCUCUACCGGCUUAGAACUGAUGGGCCAGUGAAUGAGAUAGAGGUCUAAAUAUUCUAUUUGAAGAGCACUAAGAGACUUCUUUAGAGCUGGGAUAACGUGGUCACGAUGGGCGUCCUGGCACCAGAGCUUGGAAGUAAUGAAGAGUUGUUCCCGAGAACUGACAAGACCAAGUCGAAGUGCUUCAGCUAUUGCUUCUCCUAGAGCCUUUUCUGUUCCGUAAAUUGCAGCCGUGUCAAAAUGUCUGUAACCCAGCUCGAUGGCUUCCAGGACCACCAGCUUCAAUGCGUCUAUGUCUGAUUUUUCAACUGAACAGCCCAGGCCGAUCACUGGCAUACUCGGAUGGCCGGAGGAGGAGCUCAAUUUGAGUUCGGAGAUAUUGAACAACGUCGACUGUGUAGAGUUCUCCAUUCUUUUCAAAACCUUAUUAGGAAAGUACUGUCGAUUUUUUGUGCCACAAUCCAGCACUCCAAACACAAAUUGAGGCUAUAAUAUCUUGUUUUGCAAAUAUUUUAUAAUACAUAAAAGCGAACAUGCAUAUAACAAAUAAAUAAUGUUAUGAUGCGUGUGUAUUUAUCUUGAAAAGUCAUGAUAUAAAUUGUAAUUAUAUCAAAUUUAAUUAUAUAUAUAUAUAUAUAUAUAUAUAUAUAUAUAUAUAUAUAUAUAUAUAUAUAUUAAUUGAUUGUAUUACCAACUUAAUCCGAAACAAUAAUAAAUUCAAAAUUUAAUAAUCAUGCCAUCUAGAAAUUUAAUACAAAUUGUCAACAUCUUACCUACCUUGAACAAAUUUUUAACACGAAUUUUCAACAUUUUACCAAGCAACCAAACAAGACCCCAAUGGUUACUGCUUGACAAGAUUAUUAUUAGUUGAAAAAAUUGAUACUUGAGAAACGUCUUUUAAGCUAUCUUUCUUAUCACGUUUGCAAAGAAAAACCUAGUGGUUAAUUACUGCUUGACGAGUUGGUUUUACAAUAAAAAGGCACAAUAUUUUUAUUCUAUUUCUCCUCACAAGCCCUCUUUGUUUUCCUCCUACAAUUCAAGAUACAUAGCCUCAUUAGCUAACAGUGAAAAGACUACAAUACAAAAAAUUGUUGGUCACAUACUAAAGAAGUUGAUUAGUCUCAUGCAAUAUCGAAGGUCGAGUUGAAAUAAAUUAUGGUAUUGAGAAAAAGAAUUAAACACUACUUAUUGGAUUGUCAGAUUUUCUAAUUAUAGGAAUUUUGUGCAUGAACGGUAUUGGUAAAAUAACUACUACGGAAGCUAUUUUUAACCAAUGAAUUUAAGGUUAAAUUUCACUUAAUUAACCUAUGUACUAAAUAAUAUUAUGAUAGAAAUAAAAUAAAAUAAAAUAAAUUAUGAAUAUCGUGGAAUAAAUAUAGAAUUUAUGGUUAAACAUCAAUUCAAUAAAACUAUUCUAAUUGUUUUUAAUAAAUUUUUUUAUUUCAACUGAUAAGUGAUUUUUUCUUUAUUUAAUUAAAUUAAAUGAAUAAAGUAUUUUUUGUUCAAUGAAAGUUGAACAAUAUUGAUUUACAAGUUUUAUACUAUUUUAACAAGUGUUUCUUUUGUUGCAAUUUUAAAACACCAAUUUAGAGCCAAUUUGGUAAUUCUGUAGCUUUUAAAAUAAUUAUUGUUAGUUGUGCUAUUGAACAAUUAGUUGUGAAGAGAAUCAGUUAAAUAUUUGAUAAAAUUUGGUUUUGAAAGUGUGUCAUGAGUUUUAAAAGCAAUCGUAUGUGUUUGGAAAAUCUUACUGUUAAACUGCUGUAAAAAUAUAAAAGAUUGAGUUUCACAUAAUGUUGAAUAAAAUUUAUUAACGUAUUUAUAAAUAUGAGUAUAAAAUAUUUUUCAUUAUAUGUAUAAAAUAUUUUUCAUUAUAUGUAUAAUAAUUGAUAACUAAAAUAAAUAUAUUGUGCUAUUAAUUUUUUUUUAUCUCAAUAUAAUUGGUAACUGUAGCAAUUUCUUUGAAGUUAAUAAUUUUAUUUCCUAUUUAAUAAGGAUAAUUUUGAAUUUUUAUAAUAUAUAUGAGGGGUAUAGGGCCUCUAUAAAUUAAUACUCGAUACAUGAAUAAUUUCUAUUAUAUAAUAAAUUUUCACAGUCCCAGAUUGGGCCAAUGGACUUAAUUAAUAAUUUCUAUAAAAUAAUGAGAUAAUACUUUUCUUAAAAAAUCUUAUAUAAUUCUAUGGUCCCCUUCAAAUCAUAAAUUAAUAAUAUGCUGAAAUUAUAAAUUUAGUUGACUGUGAUAUUAUAAUUGUAUAAAAUAUGGCUCUAAUGUUGUUUGUUAGUUAGAUCUUAUUAGGGAUGACAAAAUCCUCCACGGAUUUAGAGCCUCACGGAGCCUCAUUCCAAAUUCGGUGAAUUUUAAAUAAUUUUUGGGGAGUGGAGUGAGGAAUGGGGAAAAAAUAAUCCUCAAAUUUUUAAUGAGGUGGAGUUUGGUUUUGUCCUACCCACCCCAAUCCCCAUUAUAAAUAAUUUUUUUAAUUUUUAUUCAAUAAUUUUUGUUUUAUCAACUACAAUGUUAGUUGAUAAUUUUUUUAUUCUUAUCUAAUAUAAAUAGGCAAUGACUAAAUGAAAAUCCUACAUUGUAAUUCUUAUUCAACCCUAAAGUAUUGUUAUGUUUUCUUUUCCAUCUCAAGGUACUACUCUCUUUAAGUAUUUUUUAGAUUUGAUAUUAUUUCAAGAUAUUAUUUCAAACUUUUGGAGAUUUUUUAAAAUAAUUUAAAUAUUUUAUAUAUGGUGACAAUUUUAUUUGAAUCUCUAAUUUUUAAUUUACUGAAUUCGUUUAUCUAUAUCCAUUAUAAAAUAAAUAAAUGGGGAAGAGGGUGGGGAUAGGGAAUUCAUUCCCCAUAUAAGGAUUCCCCAUCCUCACCCCACAAAAUUUAUUGAGGGAUGGGAUGGGGAAUCGAGGCGAAAUUUUUAUGGGGUGAAGAAUGAGGUAGACCCCCUCCCCCAACCCCACCCCACCCCACCCCAUUGCUAUCCAUGGAUCUUAUGUCUUAUUUUUCUUAUUGUAUCUAGAAGUUUUGAGGUUGACUUCUCGAAUUGUAAUAAGAAAUCGAGAAGUAUUGUUGAUACUUUUAGUGCUUCCUUGCAUGUAACAGGUUUCAAAGCCAUUGUAUUAUCCUCAGCUUCUUCUUCAACGAGAUUUUACAUAAAUAUUAUUUUUAAUCAAAUUCAUUGAACACAUUUAAUUAAGUUAAUUAAUAUGAAUACUAUUUAAUUAAGCACAUAAAUAAGUAAAAUAUAUUUAUUUUCUUGACUAAAUGAUUAGUUAAAUACAUUGAGUAUAACAUGAAUUAAAUAAUUUUUAAUCUAAUUCAUUUACUACGUUUAAUUAAGUUAACGUAACAUGAAUGUUAUCUAAUUAAGUAGACAUGUACAAUGUAUGUAUUUAUUAUUUUGGUUAAUUGAAUGUAUAGUUUAAUUCAUAUUCAAUAUUGGUAAAAUACAUUCAAUGUUCACUUGUUAGAUGUAUGUUAACUAAAUUGUUAUAAAUUAAUAAAUUUAUCGAUUAUUUAAUAUAUUUUUCAAUUAAUAGAUUUUAUAUGGUCCCAGGUCUAUUAAUUUAUAGAUGUUCUACUUAUAUAAUUAUAUUAAGUAUAAAAGUAAUUCUCAAAAUUUACUAUAAGAUGAGGUGGUUUUACCAAAAGUGAUUUUUAAAAAAAUUUAUCAAAUAUGAAAAUUAACUUUUAAUUUUUUAAAAUUACUUGUCUUAUUUUGUAUUUACUAAUUAUAUGUAUAAUUUAUAAAAUUUAUAUUAAUUAUGGCGUAAUAGAAUUUUUCUUCAUUUAAUAAUAAGAAUAAUUGGAGCAUAAUUAGAGCAUUGGACGUUUUAAUAUUCAUUGUACUUAAUUUACGAUUUAACGAUAACCGAGUUUUACUUUUACCAUUUUACCCAAUGAUAUGGAUCCUAGAUAGGGGUGGGUAUCUAGUUGGUUUGGAUCGGUUUCGGUAUGAACCGAAGCUUGUGGAUUGGUUCAGCGCCAAUUUUUUUUUAAAAAACCAAAAAAACCAAAUAAAAGAUAGGGAAAUUAUCAUUGCACCACCUCGUUUUUUCCAUAUGUUCAUCCAACUACCAAAACAUUCUAACAUAUUUUCUGCACCACUUUUUUUUUUUUUUAAUUUGUAUCAACUAGCCACUUUUUAACUAACAUCAUUAAAUAAUUUAAAUGAUAUGACAAUUUUACCCCUAAAUAAAUUAAAAGACUAUUUUAUUUUACAAAAAAAUUGAAAAAUAAAAAAAUUAUAAUUAUAAAAAUACUCAUAAAUUUAAUAAAAAAUAAAUCCCAAACAAAGGUGCUCAGCUGAUUUUUAUUUAAUUUAGAUUUUACAAAAUUUUAAUAAUUAUUUUUAUUAAAAAUUAUAAAAUUGCAAAAUUUUAAUAAAAUGACUGAAUUUAUUUAUUAAAAAUUAUAAUUUUGAAAAAUUUUAUUAAAAUAACUGAAUUUAUUUAUUAAAAAAUAAAAUCCCAAAAUUUUAAUAAUUUAGGGGAUUUUUAUUAAAUCCCAAAAUUUUGUAAUUAUUUUUAUAAUUAUAAUUUUAUUUAGAUUUUUAUUAAAAAUAAAAAUUCUAAUUUUUGGGAUUUUUUUUAUUAAACUUAGGGGUAUUUUUAUAAUUAUAAUUUUCUUAUUUUUCAAAGUUUUUAUAAAAUAAAAUGGUCUUUUAAUUUAUUUAGGGGUAAAAUUAUCAUUUCAUUUAAAUUAUUUAACGAUGUUAGUUAAAAAGUGGUUAUUUGAUACAAAUUUAAAAAAAAAGUGGUGCAGAAAACAUGUUAGAAUUUUUUGGUGGUUGGAUGAAUAUGAAGGAAAAAAAGAGGUGGUGAAGUGAUAAUUUUCUUAAAAGAUAAUACCGAAUCAAAAUCUACGGAUUCGGUUCUUAUUCGAUCUUUGGUUCUGAACCUUAUUAGAAAUAAAAUAAAAUAAAAUAAUCACUACAAUAAUCUUAUCAAUAAUCACUACAAUAAUCUUAUCUCUUUCAGAUUUUUUUUUUUUAAUUGAACUGGGGCUCUAAAAAGAGCUAAAGAAAAACAGAACGGGGGUAAGAAACCCCGUAAAAGUCAUGAAGCAAAAGAGACCGAACACCCAAAAGGGGGGGUAGGGUACACAAGAAAGCCAAGAGGAAGAGAAAAAGCGAGGUUCGCCAUAUAAUCUGCAGCGAAAUUGGCUUCUCUGUAAAUAUGGGAGAUGGAAACAUGUCAAUCCAAUUUAAGAUAGUCCUUAAUAGCCUGGACCAAGGGAGCAUACUCAUUAGUCAUCACCGAUGGUCUAGCCACCAAUUGUGUAACGCAUAGGCUAUCCGUUUCAACUUUCAAUCUACGGAUGCCUGAGUUCCAAGCAAGCUGAAGCCCCUGAUACAAGCCCCAAAGUUCCGCCACCGUAAUAGAGCAAGAGCCAAUCAUCAUCCCAAAGCCAGAUAUCCAACGCCUUAAAUGAUCCCGAAUUAGGCCCCCUGUAGUAGAAAUCCCAUCAGACUUGUGAGCACCAUCCGUAUUCAAGGUACACCAUGGCCACUCAGGAGGAUGCCAAGAAAUCCACUUGUUCGCUCUAAUAUUCCUUGUGACCAACGGGCUGUUAUGAAGCUUAUGCGUCUCCUCAGCUCUUGAAUGAACAUCCACUAACGAAGCUGCAUAGUCCAUCAUCGUUUGGUUAAAUAGAAACUGGUUCCUCCAAUACCCAAUCCUCCAUAAGGCAAAACCAAAGAAAACAGCCCAAUUUGAAACAUCUCCCAUCCUACUAUCAUCAACCUAAUUCGAGCGCAACCAAUGGUGGAACCGAGCAUUAAAAAAUCCUUAUCGUUUACUUAUGGGGAUGAUGUUGAGCCAAAAUUGCUUAACCAAAGGACAAUCACGUAGAGCAUGCAUGGCAUCUUCACACAAAGCCCCACACCGGUCGCAACAAGUCGAGAUGAGUAGAUGUCGUUUAGCCAGCUCAGCUUUAGUCUUCAACCCCGCAUGAAAAGCCUGCCAUAAGAAAACCCGCACGCUCUGAGGGCCUUUCCACGUCCAGAUCAACCUCUAAAUUCGAUCUUCAGCAGCUGAGUUAUAACCAGAGAGAGCCAAAUAAGCAGAGCUUGUAGUAAACUCACCAUGUUUCGAAUGAGCCCAAAAAAUGGUAUCCAUGCCCUUCGCAUGAGAAGGGGGAUGAAGAGCUGCUAUUUGAAGGACAAUAUUGUUAGGAAGAUGCUGCUCAAAAUUGGACCAACACUAACUCCCAUUCACAUCAACGAAGUCAGCCACCUUGCAUUCCAAAAUUUCCACGGGGAUAGUAUCAGUUGCGUAGGCUAUUAAGGGAACAUUAUAAGUGACCCAAAGAUCCCACCAAAAGAGAAUAGAUAAACCAUCGCCCAAACACCAAUGCCUGCUCGCAAGAAUCUCGCUCCAAACGUGCCCAAGAGACUUCCACAAGUGAGAGCCAUAGUGGGUAGGAAGCUCAUGAGGUAAAUUGAGAGGAUCAAUUCUGUAUUUGGUAGUGAGGACCCUGACCCAUAAACUAUUUGGAGAAGAAAUUAUACCCCAUACGAGCUUCAUGUGUAAAGCUCGAUUCAUCAAUGUCAAAGACUUAAAGCUAAGACCGCCAAUAGCUUUAGGCUUACACACAUUAUGCAAACUAACCAUGCUAAGCUUCUGCUGAGAAGAAGCACCGCUCCAAAUAAACCUCCUGCAAGCCCUAUCAAUUCUCUCACGAACAAUACUAGGAAAGGAAACGGUUUGCAUAAUAUAAACUGGAAUUGCCUGGAGAACUGACUGAGCUAGAGUGAUCUAACUAGCCAAGGACAAGUGUGAAGCAUUCCAGCCCGAUAGCCGCUUUUCCACCUUAUCUAUGAUCUCAUGAAACAUGUUAGUAGAGACUCUAGAAUGAUGCAGAAGGACCCUGAGGUAUUUACCAAGAUUGGAUGUAACCGAGAAGCUAAGAAGAUUCGAAAUGGAGGACAUAUCUCUAACACCCAUAUUCUUGGAAAAAUAAAGUAAAGUUUUGCUUGUAUUCACUUUAGCAUUAGAGCAAAAAUAAAAAUCUGCUAACACUGCCGAAAUAACUCUAGCUUGCUCAACAAUAGCCUCUGUAAGCAAAAGAAGGUCAUCAGCGAAAAAGAGAUGGGAUAAAGGAGUACCAAUACGAGAUAGCAUGAUCGGACGCCACUUCCCAACAUUAACGGCAUUGUGAAUCCCAUGACUAAGGCAUUUGAUGCAGAGAACAAAGAGGUAAGGAGAUAGAGGGCAACCCUGAUGAAUUCCUCUAGAAGGAACAAAUUCAUCAGUAGCUUCCCCAUUCCACAAAAUCCUCAUAGUAACCGAAGUAAUGCACGCCAUAAUAACUUGGAUAAGAUCGGGAGGAAUUCGAGCUUCUCGCAAAGUAUCACUAAUGAAUUCCCAACUGAAACGAUCAUAGGCCUUCUCUAAAUCAACCUUAAUAGCCAUGAAACCUGUAGCACCCGUCUUCUUGUGCAUAGAGUGCACAAAUUCUUGAGCAAUUACAAUAUUUUUUAUGAUGUGGCGACCAGGGACAAAACUGGUUUGAUGAGGGCCAACCAAGUGAGGUAAAAUAGAAUGAAGCCGGUUUGCAAUCAUCUUGGUGAUAGUCUUGUAAGCUAUAUUACAAAGGGAGAUAAGACGGUACAUCUUCAAAGAGGAAUGGUUUUCUGUCUUGGGAAUAAGAGCAAGAGCGUAGAGUUGAGCCCCUCAGGGAGAAUUUUAUACUGAAAAACAUCUUUCACCAAUCGACAAAGAGAUGAACCAAUAAUAUAUCCAUUGCGUCUGAUAAAAAAUGGCAUGGAGUCCAUCUGGACCCGGGGCUUUCAGAGGGUGCAUUCCGAAAAUGGUCUUUUGAACCUCCUCAUUUUCCACGCCCAUAAUUAAGGAUUAAAGCAAGUCGUCCUCAAUUAGAGAAAAGCAAUGAGGAUGGGGGUACUGUCGAAAGUCGGAAGACUCACAAGAGUACAAGGUUGAAUAAAACUGAAUAGCAUGGGCUUUUAUCUCAUCCUUAUCAUAAAGCCAGACGCCUACCUUAUUUUGGAUAGCAGCUAUAUUAUUUCGUCUCCUUUUAGAAAGGGUUUUAUGAUGGUAAUAAGAAGUAUUAUGGUCCCCGAGAAGAAGCCAAUCUCGACGAGCCUUCUAAUGCCAGAUAAUUUCUUCUUGAGUAAGCACCUUUUCAAGGUUAGCUUUUAAUUGUUUUUCCAAAUUCAAAAGCCCCGAGAAUAAUAGCUCUCCAAAGCCUUAUGAAUCCCUCCUAAUCGGGCCAAUAAACGUUUCUUCCGCCAAAAAAUAUUCCCAAAACACUGUUUGUUCUAUUCGAUAACCUUGAGACGAAAUUGGUUAGCUGUAUCUAAAUAAUGGAGAUUUCGAUUCCAAGAUUCAGCCACAAAAUCCUUAAACCCCUCAUUAGUGAGCCAAGCUACUUGAAACCGAAACGGACGAGAGUUUGAAACCCUUGAAAACAAACCAUUACUUCUCACCAAGAGAGGCCUAUGAUCAGAGCUCAAUUUUGGAAGAUGAAGUACAGUGGAGUUAGAAAAGAUACGAGCCCAUUCACUAUUGCAAAUGACUCAGUCAAUGCGUUUGAAAAGGCUUCCACGGGACCAAGUAAAACGAGGCCCGUGGAAUUGAAGAUCAUGCAUGCAAUGAAGAUGGAACCAAGAGUGGAAAAGAUUGCAAGUGCCCAUGCCUGUAGGGGAACCUCCUUUUUUUUUCGAAUCAUAUAGAAUAGUGUUAAAGUCCCCACCCAUAAUCCAAGGACCAUACACUGUUUGAGCUAAUUUAUCUAGCUCACCCCAAAGAUGUUUUCUAAUAUUCGGGUGAGGGCUAGCAUAAAUGGCUGUCAACCAAGAGAGAAAGCUAUGAUUAUUAAAAAUUUGAAGAUGAACAUACUGAGAGUGACUAGCAACAGUCUUGAUCUGAAGAAAAUCUUUCCAGAGGACCCAUAUACCACUAGAAAAACCCUCUGCUUCUACCCGAUAAGAUUUGUCAAAACCAAUUCUCUUAAUAAAAUUGUCAACCUUGUAACCACUAAUGUGGUGCUCCAAUAACACAACCAGCGAAGGCUUAUAAUUCUGAACCAUCGUAAAAAAAGAACGUCAAAAAGAUGGUGACGCUGCACCUUGAGUAUUCUAGAACAUGGUCGUAAUAAACAUAAGGAAAAUAGCCAAAAAAAACAAGGGAAGCUACUUAGCCAUUGUUGAACGUUUCUGAUUGGGACCUAUCAUUGGUAUCAGAACAUAGGAUCAACAAUGACAAUGAACAAGGAGCGAAUUGAACGUGUUGAAGCAGAGCUAGGAAGUAUGCAAGAUAGCAUGCAGUGGAUGGAGAUGGGCAUUAACGAUAAAUUGUAUCACUUGGAAGAAGUGAUCAGCAAAUUGGCCGACUCAAUUAGUGCAUCUAAGGAAGUAUCGAGUCAUCAUGAGCAUGCAGCAUCAUCACGGCCUAGAAGAGAAGAGAGUGGCAGGGAACGACAACAGUUCCCAUCAAGAUUAGCCAAGCUUGAAUUUCCAUGUUACUCAGGUGAUGAUCCCACUGAGUGGUUUAAUCGUGUAACCCAAUUUUUUGAUUACCAGGAAACAAUCGAUGAUCAAAGAGUGGUGUUAGCAUCCUUUCACCUCGAGGGUGAAGCCAACCAGUGGUGGCAGUGGUUGCGUAGGGCAUACUAGGAAGACGGACAAUUAGUAACUUGGAAAGCCUUUGUUGAAGAACUAUGGGCUCGCUUUGGACCGACGGAAUGUGAAGAUUUUGAUGAGGCGCUCUCACGAGUUAAACAGACCAGUUCACUCUGAGACUAUCAAAAGGAAUUUGAAAGAUUGGGCAACCGGGUGCAUGGAUGGACACAGAGAGCGUUGGUGGGGACUUUUAUGGGUGGACUCAAGCCUGAAAUCUCAGAAGCAAUACGCAUGUUUAGGCCAAAGACAUUGAAGGAAGCAAUCAGCCUAGCUCGGAUGAAAGAUGAACAACUCACACGCCAAAAGAAACUGAUACGACCAACCUUCAACAGCCGUGCACCAAUAACACCGCCGGUCACCAACCGAAACUCACCAGCCGUACCUUACAAGAGAUUGUCAUGGGAGGAAAUGCAGCGUCGGCGUGCACAGGGCCUUUGUUUUAACUGCAAUGAUAACUUUACAGCAGGCCAUAAGUGUACAAGGGCUCAACUCUUGAUCUUGGAAAGUGAAGCUACACCAGGAGAAACUACUGAGGAGAUUAGUGAAAUCAUUCGAGGCACUAAACAAGAAGAAACCGAUGAUCCCGAAAUUACCUUUUAUGCCUUAACAGGAUGGACAACACCACAAACGAUGCGAGUGAUGGCAAGGAUCGGGCCCUAUGAGAUUGUGGUGUUAAUUGACAGUGGCUCUACACAUAAUUUCAUUAGUACACGCCUAGCCAACUUUCUUCAAUUACCGAUUGAACCCACGGCAACGUUUUCAGUCCGCGUUGCAAAUGGGGAAAAAUUAACGUGUCAAGGGAAGUUUGAAAAGGUACAAAUUCUAAUCCAAGAAAUUCCUUUCUCGCUAACUAUCUACACAUUGCCAAUAACAGGAUUAGACAUGGUGUUGGGAAUACAAUAGCUUGAACAAUUGGGAACUGUGGAGUGCAACUGGAAGUCCCUUACUAUGGCUUUCAAUCGGGAGAAUAAACAAUGACAUUUACAAGGGAUCAAUCCUCAGUCAUUACAAAUAGCUUCUGUGACAGAGAUCAGUAAAGAGAUUCGGCAGGGACAUGAGAUCUUUGCAAUAUGUUUGCACAUGGAAUCAGAAGAACCUACAGCACCCGCAAGUAUGCAAACGUUAUUGACAGAUUAUGCUGAGUUAUUCCAAGAACCAACAUAGCUACCUCCUAAACGAGACAUCGACCACUGUAUCACACUUAAGGAAGGAACCGAACCCGUCAAUGUCAGGCCAUACCGCUACGCUUACUUCCAAAAGGCGGAAAUUGAGAAACAGGUACAAGAGAUGUUAGAUUCGGGAUUAAUAAGGCCAAGCACUAGCCCUUUUUCCUCACCGGUAUUAUUGGUUAAAAAGAAAGAUGGAAGCUGGAGGUUUUGCACGGACUAUCGAGCCCUCAACGAAGUCACCAUUAAAGAUCGGUUUCCCAUCCCCAUCGUGGAUGACAUGCUCGACGAAUUAUAUGGGGCUGCCUAUUUUACCAAGCUGGAUCUACGGGCCGGUUACCACCAGGUUCGAGUCAAUCCUCCAGACAUUCACAAGACGACAUUUCGCACUCACAACGGACACUACGAGUAUUUGGUGAUGCCGUUUGGGUUAUGCAACGCGCCGUCGACUUUCCAAGCCAUAAUGAAUUCCAUAUUCCGGCCUUAUCUCAGGAAGUUCAUUCUUGUUUUUUUUAUGACAUAUUAAUUUACAGCCCUUCUUGGAGUUGUCAUCUGGAACAUGUCAAACAGGCUAUGGAGAUUCUAAAGCAACAGAAGUUCUUUGUCAAAGUCAGCAAAUGCAUAUUCGGUCAACAGGAGUUAGAGUACCUUAGGCAUAUCAUAACUUGUCAUGGAGUCAAGGUAGAUGAAAAGAAGAUCGCUGCCAUGAUGUCUUGGCCUAAACCACAAACCAUAACGGAGUUGCGAGGGUUCUUUGGCCUAACCGGGUACUACCGCAAGUUCGUACAAGGCUAUGGCGUGAUAGCUCGACCCCUUACCAAUUUACUCAAGAAGGGACAGUUUGGUUGGAAUGAGGAGGCAGAGGAAGCAUUCAACAAAUUGAAACAAGCCAUGACUAGCACACCAACGUUAACGAUGCCGGAUUUUAGUGACACAUUUAUUAUCGAAACAGAUGCCUCUGGGGAAGGAAUCGGUGCCGUCCUGCAACAAAAGGGGAAACCCAUUGCUUUUAUGAGUCGAGCCCUUGGAGUAACAAAAAAAUCAUGGUCUACUUACGCCAAGGAGAUGCUUGCAAUUAUUGAAGCAAUUCGGAUGUGGAGGCCAUACUGAAAUACUAACUAGGCAAUCCAAGAGGGGGGGUGAAUUGGGAUUUUAAAAAUUAUCCUAGGCAAACCACACAACAAUUUAAUCUAAUGCCUUAAUAAAUUCGAAAACAAUAAAUUCAAUAAAAGCACAAUAAUAAAUGAGUAAGGGAAGAGAAAGCAAACUCAAGGAUUUUUACGUGGUUCGGCAAUCCCCACCUACGUCCACGCCUCCAAGCACACCGGGCUUGAGGAUUUCACUAUCCAAGCCUUUCCAAGGCAUCAAACGUUUACAAUUGACUUCAAGGUGUCAAUGAACCUUUACAACAAGAGAUUAUCUCUCCAAUCUCUUCACUCCAAGUGUUUCUCACACUUGUACUCUCACAAUUUGAUGAGAAAUAAAAAUUACAACAAAAACUCCCUUUAAGAGUGGAUAUACAAAUGAUAGCUCAAUGAAGAUUUAAUCUAUGAUGAUUUUUGAAUUUGAAGCUCAAUAUAAGUUGUGUGCACUUGUUUAUGCUUGCUUGGAUUUCCAAAAAUGAAUUGGUUUUGAGUUUAUAUAGUAUGAACUCAAAAACUAGCCGUUAUGCACAUUCUGGGCGUAUCCGGUUUGCCGUUUAUGGAAUCCGGUAAGCCGAAUUUAUGUUACCGUUAAGGCAAAAAUUUGAAUUUUGCCUAACCGGCUUGCCGGUUACGAAAUUCGGUAAGCCGUUUGCGUUCCGGAUGCUUACUGCCCCGUAUCCAGUUUUCUGGUUUUUAUAUCCGGUAAGCCGGAUUCUACAGUAACCUGCACAGUGCACUAUUUUUAGAAAUUACAGUUUGACCCCAAAACUUUAUAAAACUUUAUUACGGCCCAAAACGUUAUGAAACUUUACAAAUAGGUCCAAUUUUAGAAUUUCUAAGUAAUGCUUUGUUAAUCCCAAAACUUUUUGAAAUUAUGAUAUAGCCAAAAAUGCUAUGACACUUUUCAAAUAAGUCCUUCACCAAAAUUUCAAGCAAUACUUGUUUAUUUCAAAGUUUUCAAAAUUCUUUCAAUUAAACCAUAAACUUUGAAAAACAAUCAAUUUCAUAAAAUCAUUUUUCAUUAAAUAUGAAACAUUUAUAAUGUGAAAAUAAUGAUUUAUUUAAAAAGAAUAUUAAAUAAUUUGAGCUUAAAAGAUUAAUCAUUCGUAAUCUUGUUUGUUAUCAUCAAAAUCAAUAUUAUGGAAACAUAUAUGUUAACAAUCUCCCCCUUUUUGAUGAUGACAAACAUUUCAUAUAUUUAAACAACCAUUUUUCAUAAAAUCAUUUUUCCAUUAAAUAUAAAACAUUUAUAAUGUGAAAAUAAUGAUUCAUUUAAAACAUAUAAAAAAUAAUUUGAGCUUAAAAGAUUAAUCAUUCUUAAUCUUGUUUGUUAUCAUCAAAAUCAAUAUUAUGGAAACAUAUAUGUUAACACAUACAUACUGGGACAGAAAUUCAUAAUCAAAACUGAUCAGCGAAGUUUGAAAUAUUUUUUGGAACAAAAAGUAGCUACACCUGAGCAACAGAAAUGGCUGGCAAAAUUGAUGGGGUACGAGUAUGAGAUUCAAUACCGUCUAGGCUCUGACAACGCCGCUGCAGAUGCUUUUUCACGACGUCCAGAUAGUCCUACACUUAACUACUUGUUUGUGCCGCAGGUGACUCUUUGGGAAGAAAUUAAAACGGCUGCCAAGGAAGAUGAGUACAUGAGAAGGAUUGCUAAGCUUGCCCAAAAUCAAACAGCAGGACCAUAUUCCUCACGGAACGGUUUAAUGUUUUUUAAAGGAAAAGUGGUGAUUCCAUGUAAGUUACGUGAAGCACUAUUAUUUAAGGCACACAACACAAGAGUAAGAAGUCAUUCGGGAGUCUUACGAACAUAUAAACGAUUGGCACAACAGUUUUAUUGGCCUUCGAUGUUUCACUCGGUUCAGGAAUAUGUCACUAAGUGUGAGACUUGCCAACGCACCAAAUCCACAACUCUCAAGCCAGCAGGACUCCUUCAGCCGCUACACAUUCCUUGUUAAGUAUAGGAUGACAUCACAUUAGACUUUAUUUAGGGCUUGCCGUGUUCACAGGGCAAAAAUACAAUCUUGGUGGUGGUCGAUAUUAAGCUUGCAUGGUACUUGACGUCGUAUUGCUAUAGUGUCACAAUAUAUACACGUUACAGCUAGCGAAAAUAACGAAGGAGAUAAUAAGUAAUACACUCCUUAACAUGAUGAACUACUGCACUUCUAAACAUAAUGAAAUACAACCAACUAAGAACGUGAAGAUCACGUUCAACUAUUACGCCCCCGCAAGAGAGGUGUACCGUCGAGAACACCGAGCUUGGACCGUGCAUGCUCAAGGGGAAGCCGGGGAAGCGGCUUGGUUAAGAUAUCAGCGAGCUGAUGCUCCGAAGGAACAUGAGCAAUAGACAGCAAACCUUGCGCAAUCUUAUCACGAACAAAGUAAAAGUCAAUUUCCACAUGCUUCAUACGAGAGUGAUAUCUAGGAUUUGUGCAAACAUGAGUGGCACCAAGAUUGUCACAGAGCAGCUUGGGCAUAGGGGUCCGAAUACCAAGUUCGGAGAACAAGUGUCGAAGCCAACAAAGCUCAGAAACGGUAGCAGCAAUGGCGCGAAACUCGGCUUCAGUAGAGGAACGUGCCACAGACUUUUGCUUCUUCGAAGACCAGGAAAUGAGAUUGCCACCAAGGAAGAUAGCGUAAGCACUCGUAGAGCUGCGAUCAUCAAGAUUGCCCCCCCAGUCAGAAUCACUGUAAGCAGCAAGUAUAGAGGAUGAAGACUGACGAAGAAAAAGGCCAUGAAAAAUUGUAGCUUUCAAGUAGCGGAGAAUGCGCUUGGCAGCCUGCCAAUGCAACUGAGAGGGACUUUGCAUGAACUGAGAUAGUUUGUUGACCGCAAAGCAGAUGUCAGGACGAGUGAGAGUGAGAUAUUGCAAGGCACCAAGAAGCUGACGAUAAGACGUACCAUCAGCAGAGACAGAACCAUCGGUUUGUUGAAGACCAACGGUGGCAGACAGAGGAGUGGCAGUAGGUUUAGCAUCAGUCAUGCCAAACCGGUCCAAGAGAGAACAAACAUAGUGAUGCUGAGAGAGAAACACACCAGAAGGAGUGCGAAGCAACUCAAGCCCGAGAAAAUGAUGCAGAGAGCCAAGGUCCUUGAGAGCAAAAGUGGAAGCAAGACGAUGAAUGAAGUGCUGAAUAUCCCGGCCAUGAGAACCAGUAAUAAUUAAGUCAUCCACAUAGACAAGGAAAUAAAUACGAUGACCAUCACGGUGAUAAAGAAAAAGAGAAGCAUCAGUCCUGCUUUGGUGGAAUCCAUAGGACAGCAAAAAUUUGUACAGAGUAAUAAACCAUGCCCGAGGCGCCUGCUUAAGGCCAUACAGGGACUUACGUAGCCUGCAGACAAAGGAAGGCUGGUUAGAGUCAAUAAAACCAGGCGGCUGCUUCAUGUAAACCUCCUCAUCAAGAGAACCAUUGAGGAAGGCGUUAUUGAUAUCCAACUGACGAAUCGGCCAACCAAAUUGCAAGGCUAAACAAAGAAUAACACGAACAGUAGUGGUCUUGACAACAGGGCUGAAAGUAUCGUGGUAGUCGAGACCAGGACGCUGAGUAAAGCCCUUAGCAACCAGCCGCGCUUUAUACCUGUCAACAGAACCAUUGGGGUGGCGUUUGACACGAAACACCCACUUACAACCAACCAAAUUUUGAGAAGGUACAGGAGGAACAAGAUCCCAAGUAUGAUUAGACAUAAGAGCAUUAUAUUCAAUACGCAUGGCCUGAAGCCAUUGCGGGUCGGCAAGGGCAGCCUUAAUACUAGUUGGUUCAACAGUAGAGGGCAGCGGAUGUGUGGAAAUAAUAGGAGCGAGGGUAGUGUGGUCAAGCUGUUUUGGUUUAUAAAUGUUAUUGCGUGACCGGGUUAUCAUUGGAUGGGUUCGGGUCGGCAGUGGAGGUGGAGGUGUUGGUGGUGAUGGUGAUGGGGCUGUUGGUGACAACGGGAAAGUAGAUGGGGCCGGUGAUGAAAGAUUAGAAAUGGGAGAUGAGGGAGUUAGUACUGGUGCAUGGACAUGGGGAGGUAAAGAGUCAUAAGUAUGAGGGUUAUGAAUAAUACCCGAAGUAGAGGUGGAAGAGGCCGGUGAAGAAUCGGAGCUAGCAGGAAGCGAAUCCGAAGUUGCAAGACGGGAACCACCAGGAGAAGAGGAGUGAGCCGACAGAACCGGGACCGAAAAAAUGGAUGGAAACCAGGAGGUGAGUGAAACAGAGGAGGGAGAGGCAGUGGAUGUGAGAGAUUGAUAGGGAAAUUGAGACUCAAUAAAUUGAACAUCACGGGAAACAUAAAUCUUACCAGACUGAACAUCUAAACACUUGUAUGCACUUUGUUGUAGGCAAUAACCGAGAAACACACAAGGCUUGGACUUGGGCUCUAGUUUGUUGCGCGUAUAUGGGCGUAACCAUGGGAAACAGAGACACCCAAAUACACGUAGUUUGUCAUAAUUAGGAUGGGCAUCAAAUAAGAGCUGGAAAGGACAGGUCAUGGAUGUAGUUUUGGAUGGUAGACGAUUAAUUAAGUAGGUGGCGGUUUGAAACGCAAACGUCCAAAAGCUAGGAGGUAGUGAGGCUUGAUGCAGUAACGCCAACCCCGUCUCAACAAUAUGUCGAUGACGACGUUCGGCGACUCCAUUAUGUUGUGGUGUGUAGGGUGGUGUAAGCAAGUGAUUAAUGCCCGUCUGUUGAAAAAAUGAAGUGAGUUUGAGGAACUCACCACCACCGUCGGUGUAAAUAUUACGAAUAGUAGUACGAAAAUAAUUUUCAACAAGUGUUUUAAAACGAACAAAUGUAGAGAAAACAUCAGAUUUUAGUCGUAACGGAAAAAACCAGACAUACUUAGUAAAAUGAUCAACGAAAAUCACGUAGUACUUAUAAUUAUCAAAGGAAGUAACAGGGGCAGGACCCCAAACAUCAGAAUAUAUUAAAUCCAAGGGACGAGUACUACAUAAAGAAGAUUUGCCAAAAGGGAGCCGAUGGCUCUUAUUGCAUAAACAAGACUCACAAGACUCAAAAUCCAAGUGCGAAGACAAAUUGAAAGUACGAAGAACAAAUUUCAAAAUAUCCCUAGACGGAUGGCCUAGACGUUGAUGCCAAUGAGCGGCAUUAGUUUUUAUUGUAGCAUUUGAAGUGGGCAAGGCUGGUACGGGGAAAGAAGAAGCUGCCGGCCACUCAUAAACACCCUGAUUAUUCCGGCCUUGCAAGAGGACCGCCCCCGUGGUCAAAUCCUUCACCUGAAAAUGAUCAUGAAAGAAUUCAAUGGAGGCUUUAUUAACAUUGCAAAAUUGAGACACAGAGAUUAAAUUUCUGUUGAUAGUCGGAACAUAAAGAAUAUUUUGCAAAUAAAAUUUUGAGCUAGAGGUACAUAAGGAAGUUGAGCCAGUGUGAGAUAUACCAAGACCCAUGCCAUUACCAACAAUGACGGAAUCAGAACCAUGGUAAGGACUAUGAGUGCUCAAAUUUCGGAGAUCUCCUGUAACAUGAUGUGAGGCGGCACUGUCGACUAACCAAUUGGGGUUGGAUGUGCCUGUGGUUGCUGUGUGGUUCAUAGUCGGACUGUUUUUGUGGGAGGUAAAUCUGGACAAUCUCGUGCUGUAUGGCCCUUGGUACCGCAAAGUUGACAGUAGCCCUGGUACCCGGUGGGCUGCUUCUUUUGAUAUCCUCCAUUGUUGCGAUACUGGCCUUGUGGGUUGCGAUUCUGAGACUGGUAAUUUCUGUUGGUGUUGCCAUUUUGAUUUGGAUACCCACGGUUAGAACCAUUAUUAAAUCCCGGAUUGCUGUCUCUUCUCUGGUUCUGAUAAGGGCCACGGUUUGUUGUUUGCUGUUUGACUGCGGCAUUGACAGUGAUAGCCGUGUCUAUGGAUUUUUCCUCUCGCUUCAACAUAUCUUCGUAAUCUACAAGCUUUUCAUACAGCUCAUCAAAGGAAAGUGGUGUCUCACGGAUCCGAACACCAGCAAUAAUUUCUUUGAAAUCUUUUCCUACGCCAUUAAUAAUUUGUAUAACGAGAUCAUCAUCUGUAACAGGAACAUCAAUCAAAGUAAUUUCAUCAGAAAUAGAACGUAAAUUAUUUAAAUAUUCGGCAACAGGUUGUCCAUCACGACGAGGUCGUGCAAGUCGUUCUCUAAGAGAGAUGACGCGACUACGGCUACGAUUGGAGUAUAGCCGUGCAAGCUUAUCCCACGCUUGUUUGGAUGUUGUGGAACUAGCUAUGAGUGGGGCAACUCUUUCGGUGCAGGAGGCUAGGAUGGAAUGAAAGAUCAACUGAUCUUGGCGUUUCCAUAAGGUAUAGGCUGUGUUGAUGGUAGGCGGACCAUUACUGCUGCCAGUUUCAUACGGAGAAGGGCACUCAGAUGUGCCAUCAAUGUAACAUGUCAGAUUGUAGCCAAAAGCUAAAGAGAGGAAUUGCGCUCUCCAUGUAAAAUAAUUUUCAGGUGUAAGCCGUAUAGGCAAUUGGGCAGCGGCGUUGAUUGAAACACAAUCAUUAGCUUGGUUAUUUGAUGAGUGGGGACUUUGGUUGGCUGGUGAGGUAGAGGAGAUGGCUGACGGUUCGGCAGCCAUGGUGAAAGAAAAGAAAAAAGAAGGAUCGAUUUACUCUUGUUAGAGAGAGAAAGAGGGCUCUGAUACCAUAUUAAGCUUGCAUGGUACUUGACGUCGUAUUGCUAUAGUGUCACAAUAUAUACACGUUACAGCUAGCGAAAAUAACGAAGGAGAUAAUAAGUAAUACACUCCUUAACAUGAUGAACUACUGCACUUCUAAACAUAAUGAAAUACAACCAACUAAGAACGUGAAGAUCACGUUCAGCUAUUAGUCGAUAGGCUCAACAAAUUAGCCCACUUUAUGUCUUUAUCCCAUCCAUUCUCAGCAAAAACUGUAGCGGAAAAAUUCAUUAAUGGAGUUGUGAAAUUGCAUGGUAUGCCUAAGUCUAUAAUUAGUGAUCGGGAUCCAAUCUUCAUAAGCAAGUUUUGGCAGGAAUUUUUUAAGAUGUCAGGCACACAACUGAAGAUGAGUUCAGCCUAUCAUCCCCAAACCGACUGUCAAACAGAAGUGAUCAACCGCUGCCUCGAGCAAUAUUUACGGUGUUUUGUUCAUCAAUGGCCACGUAAGUGGCAUGAGUAUCUUCCAUGGGCCGAAUUCUGGUAUAACACCACCUAUCACGUGUCCACAGGCAUGACGCCCUUUCAAGCAUUAUAUGGCAGAGAACCACCAACCGUGCCGAUAUACCAUGUGGGCACUUCACCUGUGCAUGAGGUUGAUAAAGCCUUAUUAGCAAGAGAUGAAUUGCUAGCAAAACUUAAAAAGAAUUUGGCAGUGGCAGCAAAUCGAAUGAAACAAGUAGCGGACAAGCACCGGCGAGAUGUUGAAUUCCAAAGAAAUGAUUUGGUAUUCUUGAAACUUCAGCCAUACCGCCAAAACUCUGUCUUUAAACAGGCACACCGGAAGUUGGCCAGCAAAUCUUUUGGACCUUAUCGGGUACUUGAGAAAAUCGGUUCCGUCGCUUAUAAGUUACAGUUACCAGAGGGAGCACGAAUUCAUCCUGUAUUCCAUGUCUCUUUGCUCAAGAAGGUGGUCGGUGAAUUCCCUCAUAACAGCGACGAGCUGCCUCCGAUUGAUGAUGAUGGUGUGAUUAUCCUUGAACCUGACUCUAUAGUUGACACACGAUGGCUUAAGAGAGAGGGUAAAUUCAUUGAGCAAAGUCUAGUUCGAUGGAAGAGGUUACCAUCUGAGGAGGCUACUUGGGAAGAUACGGCGUUAAUUAAACAUCAAUUCCCGUCUCUAACCCUUGAGGACAAGGGUCAUCUUCCAGAAGGGGGUAUUGAUAGAGAACUAAGGAGGUCAGCAAGGGUCCAUAAGCCUAACUCCAGAUAUGAGGGGUUUGUUUGAACAUUCGUAAGAGUCUCAUGCAGCCAUGCAUGUGGUCAUGCAUGUUGCAUGCAAUACCAUGCAAGACUUAUUUACGUAUGGAAUAAAGAGUAGUUGUUUGUUGGAGCAAGGCAAGGAAAUUACCACGUCAAGCCACGUUGCGGAUCGUGUGGAGAAUCAAAUCAAGUGGGAUUCUAUUUAUGUUUAUAGUUUGUUAUUUAAGAUUGUUUAAAUUGAUUUUAACUGUGAGUUGUGGCUACAAAUCAUUAGUAGUGUUUGUAUUAACUACUAUAAAUAAGUUCCAGCAAUUAAUAAAAGGAUUAUCCAGAAAAUUAUCUCAACUUACUAUUCGUGGUCGUUCUCACCAUAAGAAGAACAACGUAUACUUAGCCAUUGUUGAACGUUUCUGAUUGGGACCUAUCAUUAAUCUUCAUACCCUGCGGCAUUUUUCAAUCAAAUUUGUAAAGAAGAUUGGCUAGUGCAAGCUGCACACUAGGCACUGCCAUGUGUAUCCCUGGACAAAUUCUUCUGCCGGAACCAAAUGGUAUAAAUUCAAAGUUUUGUCCUCCCAUAUCAAUGUUAGAGCCCACAAAUCUCUCAGGAAUAAAUUUGUCCGGCUUAUCCCAAACUUGAGGUCCCUUCCUAUUGCCCACACGUUAACUAAAACCAUUGUCUUGGCUGGUAUGUGAUAACCAUCGAUAACGCAGCUUUCUAUUGUUGCCUUUGGGAUGAAUUGAGCCGCUGGUUGAAUCCUCAUUGUCUCUUUGAUUACAGCAUUAAGUACUCUAAUCUUGGAAUAUCAUCUUCAUCUACAAACCCUUUAUCUUUAACCACACUUCGAACUUCUUCUUGAGCCUUCUUCAUUGCUUCAGGAUUCUUCAUUAGGAGGGUCAUAGCCAUUGCAAUAGUGACUUUACUCGUGUCCGUGGUACCUAUAAAUAUUUCCUGCAUAAAUGCAAAUUAAAGCACAUACAUUUAAGCAAGUGCAUUAUAGGAGAGAUGGCAAACCAAAAUUGAUGAAUCGAAUUGGGUGGCCAGGUAUUCUUGAAAAGCAAACCACUAGGCCAUGUACGUCAAUGGGAACAGCAGGCUGAGAAAUAAAAUUAAUUUUUAGUGAAAGGAAUAGAUUAUGUACGUACCAUGAUCGUUGCUUUGACAUCAUCCAAUGUUAGAUAACCGGCUUUAGUAAGACUAAGUAAAUCGUCGAUUAAGUCCCCUUGCUGACCAGCAUCUUUCGGUCGCUUUGGAUCCAAAUGGUCAUCGGUGAGUUGUUAAUAAUAUUGAUCACAAUCUUUGAAAUGCUUUUGGAGACGAUGAUGCAUUCCUGUGAGUCCAUCGAGGCAAUUACCGAUGAAAGAGUAAGAGCAAUCCGAGAAAAAAAUGGUCCCAGACAAGAGCUGAGUUUCCGCAAGAAGAAAAUCCAAUCUAUUGACAGCUGCUGUGCCGUCAACUUCAAACCUCUUCCUAAAAGUGACUCUAAAAAUAAUGUUAUGUACACAAGUCAUUGCUAUCUCGCUUACGUUGAUAAGCGCUUUGGAUGAAGCAUCUUCAUCGGCAACAUCUCCUAAUUUUGAUAUUUUUUCAACCAUGCGGAAAAUCUCCACUCAUUGUAAUGAGGGGCAAAAGUGACAGCUAAGUUGUUUAGGGAAUGAAAUAGGGUGACCAACAUAAAGGUGUUUGCUCAUACAUUAUCGUGCUCUCCUCAAAGUAAAAGUGAGCAAAUGGUUGAGCAGAUCACCUCGACCAGGAUGUUGUUUGGUGACCUUAAGCACAUCACCUCGACCAGGAUGUUAUUGUUCACCUUGACCAGAAUAAUAUGUGGUGACCUCGAGCACAUCACCUCGACGAGGAUAUCAUUGGUCACCUCGACCAGAGUAAUAUGCGGUGACCUCGAGCACAUCACCUCGACCAGGAGGUUAUUGGUCACCUCAAACAGAUCAUCUCGACCAGGAUGUUAUUGGUCACCUCGACCAGAAUAAUAUGUGGUGACCUCGAGCACAUCACCUUGACCAGGAGGUUAUUGGUCACCUCGAGCAGGUCAUCUCGACCAGGAUGUUAUUGGUCACCUCGAGCAUAUCACCUCGACCAGGAGGUUACCAGGAAGCACGACUCAGUCAAAAUAUUUUCUCCGAAAUAUUAGGGACCAUAUUCUUAGUGGCCUGAAAAUUAGUAGUUUUCUUGAGAAUUCUUGGGGAGAGGAUAAAAACCGCUAUAAUUUCUUAUAAAAACCUGGGAAGAGGAAGGAAAGGGGGUUCGAUUCUUUUCUCUCUCUCUCUCUGUGGGUGACUGAACCCAUUGGAUCUUUUUCUCUCUCUACCACUGAGAAAUUUCUCUUUCGCUUAUGAUUUCUUUAAGAUUAAUUAUUCUCAAUUAUUUUCCUUUAAAUUUACUUAAAAGCUUUUUGUUUAAAGCAAUCAUAAUUAAGCCACAUGAACUAUGGUAUUGGUUUUUUCAAGUAAGACCCAAAUCGCUGACUUGAGCGUCGAAGGGUUCUCGCCGGAAAAACUUCCGGCGCCUCCUGACUAUUGGCUGUGCUCACAGGCUCACAGGUUAUCUGCUCAUGGAUCGUCUGCUCAUGGAUUGUCUGCUCAUAGAAAAUCUGCUCAUGGUGCUAACUAAUCAGCGGCUUUCCACCAAACAAAUUUAAUGUUGAUGCAGGGAUCUGAGAUUUAACCAACUCAUCCGGAUUUUGGCAUCAACACAAGUAAUUGUAGGAUACGUUUGCGAGCCAAGCAGAACUGGCCUCCUGGCAAAUUGAAGAUCGUGAGUUUUGAAGGCCUCUUUAGCCAAUUUUGCUGAGGAAAUUACUAUGGCCGGUCUAAAACCAAGACGCAAGGAAAAGACUGGACCAUAUUGUGUAGAAAUUUUCCAUAAAUAAAAUGCAAGCUUUUGGUAUCGAACUGGUGCAGGUUGCCAAUUAUGGGGAGACGAGGAGGGCCAGGUGGAAAUUUGGCACUUGUACAACAGAAAGAUGGGAAGACAAAAAAGGAUCGCAAGAACAAGUAGAUCCAUUCUUUUUUCCUUUUUUUCUUCUUUUCCUCUCUCUCUCUCUUAAUUUUUGAGCUCUUAAUUUUUGAGCAACAAUAUUAACUAGCUAGUUCAGUGCUGUACAAGAACACACCUCUGCCUAUUUAUAAGACGUUGAUACCUGCGCGAACUAAAGCCAUUAUAGGAUGAAACGGGCAGGUGCCUCAUUUUGGGUUUUCAAAUUUUUUUAUUCUUCAUAACAGUCCAGUGACGAUUAGACUUCUUUUUAUUUAUAUUUUUUAAGCAAACCUCGUGACAACCAGUGAGCCUACCUGGGCUAGGGAUGGCAAAAUUCUCCAUGGAUUUGGAGUCUUAUGGGGCUCCAUCUCAAAUGGGGUGAAUUUUGAAUAAUUUUUGAGAAUUAGGUAGGGAAUGGACGAAAAAUAAUCCUCAAAUUCUUAAUGGGGUGGGGUUUUGUUUUGUAUUUCUCACCCCACCCCCACCCCAAUCCCCAUUAUAUAUAAAUAUUUUUUAAUUUUUUAUUUAAUAAUUUUUAUUUCAUCAAUUACAAUGUUAAUUAUAAAUUUUCUUUUUAUUUUUACUUGACAUAAAUAGGUUAUAACUAAAAAAAAACCCUACAAUAUAAUUUUUAUUCAGCCUAAAACAUUGUUAUAUUUUCUUCUCUAUUAAAAUACUAUUCUCUUCAAAUAUUUUUUAAUUUUGAUAUCAUUUAAAGAUAUUAUUUCAAACAUUUGGAGAUUUUUUUAAAAUAAUUUAAAUACUUUAUAAUAUGAUAAUGAUUUUAUGUAAGUCUUUAAUUUUUAAUUUAUUGAAAUCAAGUAUUUAUCUUUACUAUAAAAUAAAUAAAUGGGGAUUGUGGUGGGGAUGGAAAAAUCAUUCCCCACAUGAGGAUUCCCCAUCCUCACCCCACUAAAUUUAUUGGGAAAUAGGGUGGGAAAUGGAGGCCAAAAUUCCUCAUCCCCACCCUAUUGCCAUCCCUGACUGCCCCUUAAUAAUAAUAAAAAAAUUGCAUCAUCACGUGAAAAGCACCAUCUUUAUAUACAUACGAACAUUGAUAAAAGUAGCAUGAUAUUAAUUAGUUAAUAUUCUAUAUAGUUACGUUUCUCGUGCGCACCAAUAUCUGGAAGGGUCAAAAUGGGAGAGCAAUAAUUUCUCACGUUUAAUUUAUUGAUCCCGCGAAUGAUGCGGUUACAAAGAAAAAUAAUGUAUGUGACAUAUACACAUUAUACACCCAAUCAGACAUCUGCAGUCAAGUUAUAACUUCCGGAAUGUACCCAACUCACCUUACACAACCAUCUUACAUCAAUGUUGUUAAUUCCAUAGAGUGAUAACUUAUUUAAUUGGAACAUUAUUGAAGAUUUGUUAUCUUACCUUAUUUUGCUAGCACUGAUGCCUUUCAAGCAUGUAACCUACAUAAUUUGAACAUGUGUUGAUUUUUGUUUGAUAGGGUUGGUGAUGCUCGAUCGAAAUUUCUUUAAUAGCUGAGAUAGCCCUCCCACAUUAACCCUUUGAGAUAUGCUUGGACAUAUGUCAAAAAAAUGGAAUAUUAAUUAAUAAUAGGCUAUUAACAAAAUAUGUAGGUGAUAUCCUCAAGAAAGCAAAGAUGAUUGAGAGCAAAGGUUGUUCAACUCCCAUGAGUUUUACAGAGAAGCUAGUCAAAGAUAAGGGUGCUGCUUUUGAAAAUCCCUCUCUCUAUAGAAGUAUAGUUGGCUCAUUACAGUAUCUUACUCUUACUAGACCUGAGAUUGCCUUCACAGUGAAAGGGUUCUGAGAUAUUUACAAUGCACAGCUGAUCUUGGUUUACAGUUUUAUGGCUCUGGUUCACUCACAAUUCCAGCCUUCUCAGAUGCUGAUUGGGGCCCAGAUUUGGAUGAUAGAAAGUCGGUUGGGGGAUAUUGCAUAUAUCUGGGGAAUAAUCUGAUCUCAUGGUCAUCUAAGAAACAACCUAUAGUUUCAAGAAGCACAACUGAGUCAGAAUAUAGAGCAUUAGCAUUGGCAGCCUCUGAAACUUUGUGGAUCACUUACUUGCUGAUAGAGUUGAAAGUAACUCUAUUACAAACUCCAGUUAUCUAUUGUGAUAACAAGAGUGUAGAAGCUUUAGCAAGUAAUCCCAAGUAUCACUCCAGAACCAAACAUAUUGAGUUAGAUUUACACUUAUUCGGGAUCAUAUAGCUCAGAAAGAACUACAGAUCAGUCAUGUUCCCAGUUAUGAUCAAGUGGCAGAUAUCUUUACAAAACCUUUAGCUUUUGAUCAAUUUAAUUAUCUAAGGUCCAAGCUCAAUGUGCUUUCACGACCUUGAGCUUGAGGGAGGCUGUUAAGAUAAUUAAAUUGAUUAAUCACAUGUUGAUUAAUAUUGUUAGUUAAACAGAAUCUGGUAUACAUGCUGACGUGGCUGCUUAUGUGGCAAAUUAGUUUAGUUACAAGCUCAGCUGAUUUUGCAUGUGUAAACAGAAUGAAGAAGAUUCCAGAUCAUAGUAUAUAAACGUGUGUAACUAAUCAAAUCACAUGAUGAAUAAAAUACAAGCUUUCUCUUCUCUGUUUCUUUGAUUUUUCCUUUUCAUUUUCUUAGUAAACAAACAAACUCAUCAUUGUUAAUUACUAUCAUUAAAAUACACAUGAUAUAAGAUUAUUAAAAAUUCAUCAGUGCUGAUAUGAGUAGAAGUCCUAAUCCGACUCAACAACCCCACAACUCACCUUUGUCUACCACGCUUGAGGAGAUCCAUAAUUCUCCUGUAGUCGUAUGGCUCACAAGCAAGAAAAGAAGAUAUUGUGCAAAGAAGUAGAGACAAGACAAUAACCUUAUCAGAAAUCAACAAUCACACUCACCUUUGUCAAGCCAUGAAGAUAAGAAGCAAAGAACUUGUCGGGAUCAGAUUAUUCUUCACCAUUCUCCAAGACGCCAUGCACGUGAAUAAUUUCUCUUUUGUCCAUCAAAGUGCAUUAAAUAUCAAUUACAGUUUAGUCGUGGAUUUAACACAGUUUCCACCUCUUCAAAGGAGGAACUCUCCAGUGCAUCAGAAAUUCUACGUUACAAUCUAGUGUUUGCUUAUUGAGCUGUUUUCUUGUCUUUUUAUUUCAAUAAAGUUUCCCCUCUCGUUCCAUCAAAGUCAAUUUAAAAAAAAAAAACUAAAAUUCGCUUAAGAAUACGUUUAUAUACACGAAACUUAUGAAGCCAUCUACUGUGCAAAGCCGUGCAAUGCUUAAGAACUAUGGUGCCUAACUUUUGUUCCAAUAUUUGAUCGUACACGAAAGUUUUAAAACUAUUGAUCAUCAGUCAUCCCAUAGCUCCUCAGGGGUCUGGAAUGGUCCCUGAGGAGAUACCCAGAAAUCACUAGGUAUCAAUCUACGCUGCGGGAUCUGAUUAAUCUUUUUAUAAUCGUCAUCAACUAAUUCCCAGUCAAAAAUCCCCAUGUUCUGCUUCAUUCUCUCCUUAUUGAAGCUUCUAACAACAGCAGUGGCUCCUUGCUCAACUAUCCAUCGUAGAGAAACCUGAGCCACGGUCUUGCCAUGAGCUUUUGCAAUCUGCUUUAACAUUUCAUUCUCCAGGACUUGAUUGCUGCCCCACAUUCUCCCUAAUGCUCCCAAAGGAGAGUAGGCAUUGACAAUUAUACCCUUGGCCUUGCAAAAUUCUCUGAGCUUCUUCUGCUGCCACAGAGGAUGCAUCUCUAUUUGAUUGAUUGACGGAGGGAUGAUAGCGAAGGUGAGUAUGGUCUUAAUCUUCUUGCAGGAGAAGUUACUGAGACCAAUGGACUUAGUGAGGCCAAGCGUUUGAGAAUCCAUGGCUUCCCACACACCCUUGUAGUCCAUAGGUAAAAGGUCCUCUUUAGGUACAGGUGCAAAUCCCAUCUCUACCGGCUUAGAACUGAUGGGCCAGUGAAUGAGAUAGAGGUCUAAAUAUUCUAUUUGAAGAGCACUAAGAGACUUCUUUAGAGCUGGGAUAACGUGGUCACGAUGGGCGUCCUGGCACCAGAGCUUGGAAGUAAUGAAGAGUUGUUCCCGAGAACUGACAAGACCAAGUCGAAGUGCUUCAGCUAUUGCUUCUCCUAGAGCCUUUUCUGUUCCGUAAAUUGCAGCCGUGUCAAAAUGUCUGUAACCCAGCUCGAUGGCUUCCAGGACCACCAGCUUCAAUGCGUCUAUGUCUGAUUUUUCAACUGAACAGCCCAGGCCGAUCACUGGCAUACUCGGAUGGCCGGAGGAGGAGCUCAAUUUGAGUUCGGAGAUAUUGAACAACGUCGACUGUGUAGAGUUCUCCAUUCUUCUCAAAACCUUAUUAGGAAAGUACUGUCGAUUUUUUGUGCCACAAUCCAGCACUCCAAACACAAAUUGAGGCUAUAAUAUCUUGUUUUGCAAAUAUUUUAUAAUACAUAAAAGGUAACAUGCACAUAACAAAUAAAUAAUGUUAUGAUGCGUGUGUAUUUAUCUUGAAAAGUAAUGAUAUAAAUUGUAAUUAUAUCAAAUUUAAUUAUAUAUAUAUAUUAAUUGAUUGUAUUACCAACUUAAUCCAAAACAAUAAUAAGUUCAAAAUUUAAUAAUCAUGUCAUCUAGAAAUUUAAUACAAAUUAUCAACAUCUUACCUACCUUGAACAAAUUUUUAAGACGAAUUUUCAACAUUUUACCAACUAAGCAACCAAACAAGACCCCAAUGGUUACUGCUUGACAAGAUUAUUAUUAGUUGAAAGAAUUGGUACUUGAGAAACCUCUUUUAAGCUAUCUUUCUUAUCACGUUUGCAAAGAAAAACCUAGUGGUUAAUUAUUGCUUGACGAGUUGGUUAUUAGAAUAAAAAGGCACAAUAUUUUUAUUCUAUUUCUCCUCGCAAGCCCUCUUUUGUUUUCCUCCUACAAUUCAAGAUACAUAGCCUCAUUAGCUUACAGUGAAAAGACUACAAUACAAGAAAUUGUUGGUCACAUACUAAAGAAGUUGAAUGCUACAUUAGUCUCAUGCAAUAUCGAAGGUCGAGUUGAAAUAAAUUAUGGUAUUGAGAAAAAGAAUUAAACACUGCUUAUUGGUUUGUCAGAUUUUCUAAUUAUAGGAAUUUAGUGCAUGAACGGUAUUGGUAAAAUAACUACUACGGAAGCUAUUUUUAACCAAUGAAUUUAAGGUUAAAUUUCACUUAAUUAACCUAUGUACUAAAUAAUAUUAUGAUAGAAAUAAAAUAAAAGAAAAUAAAUUAUGAAUAUCCUGGAAUAAAUAUAGAAUUUAUGGCUAAACAUCAAUUCAAUAAAACUAUUCUAAUUGUUUUUAAUAGAUUUUUUUUUAUUUCAAUUGAUAAGUGAUUUUUUCUUUAUUUAACUAAAUUAAAUGAAUAAAGUAUUUUUUGUUCCAUGAAAGUUGAACAAUAUUGAUUUACAAGUUUUAUACUAUUUUAACAAGUGUUUCUUUUGUUGCAAUUUUAAAACACCAAUUUAGAGCCAAUUUGGUAAUUCUGUAGCUUUUAAAAUAAUUAUUGUUAGCUGUGCUAUUGAAACAAUUAGCUGUGAAGAGAAUCAGUUAAACAUUUGAUAAAAUUUGGUUUUAAAAGUGUGUCAUGAGUUUUAAAAGCAAUCGUAUGUGUUUGGAAAAUCUUACUGUUAAACUGCUGUAAAAAUAUAAAAGAUUGAGUUUCACAUAAUGUUGAAUAAAAUUUAUUGAUAUAUUUAUAAAUAUGUGUAUAAAAUAUUUUUCAUUAUAUGUAUAAUAAUUAAUAACUAAAAUAAAUAUAUUGUGCUAUUAAAUUUUUUUUAUCUCAAUAUAAUUGGUAACAAUAAUAAUUUCUUUGAAGUUAAUAAUUUUAUUUCCUAAUUAAUAAGGAUAAUUUUGAAUUUUUAUAAUAUAUAUGAGGGGUAUAGGGCCUCUAUAAAUUAAUACUCGAUAAAUGAAUAAUUUCUAUUAUAUAAUAAAUUUUCACAGUCCCAACUUGGGCCAAUGGACUUAAUUAAUAAUUUCUAUAAAAUAAUGAGAUAAUACUUUUCUUAAAAAAUCUUAUAUAAUUCUAUGGUCCCAUUCAAAUCAUAAAUUAAUAAUAUGCUGAAAUUAUAAAUAUAGUUGACUGUGAUAUUAUAAUUAUAUAAAAUAUGACUCUAAUGUUGUUUGUUAGUUAGAUCUUAUUAGGGAUGACAAAAUCCUCCAUGGAUUUAGAGUCUCACGGAGCCUCAUUCCAAAUUCGGUGAAUUUUAAAUAAUUUUUGGGGAAUGAAGUGAGGAAUGGGGAAAAAAUAAUCCACAAAUUCUUAAUGAGGUGGAGUUUGGUUUUGUACUCCCCACCACAAUCCCCAUUAUAAAUAAUUUUUUUAAUUUUUGUUCAAUAAUUUUUGUUUUAUCAACUACAAUGUUAGUUAAUAAUUUUUUUUAUUCUUAUCUAAUAUAAAUAGGCUAUGACUCAAAGAAAAUCCUACAUUGUAAUUCUUAUUCAACCCUAAAGUAUUGUUAUGUUUUCUUUUCCAUCUCAAGGUACUACUUUCUUUAAGUAUUUUUUAGAUUUGAUAUUAUUUCAAGAUAUUAUUUCAAACUUUUGGAGAUUUUUUAAAAUAAUUUAAAUAUUUUAUAUAUGAUAACGAUUUUAUUUGAAUCUCUAAUUUUUAAUUUGCUGAAAUCGUUUAUCUAUAUCCAUUAUAAAAUAAAUAAAUUGGGAAGAAGGUGGAGAUGGGGAAAUCAUUCCUCAUAUAAGGAUUCCCCAUCCUCACCCCAAAAAAUUUAUCAGGGGAUGGGAUGGAGAAUCGAGGCGAAAUUUUUAUGGGAUGAAGAAUGAGAUAGAAACCCCACCCCCCCCCCCCCAACCGCACCCCACCCCACCCCACCCCAUUGCUAUCCAUGGAUCUUAUGUCUUAUUUUUCUUAUUGUAUCUAAAAGUUCUGAGGUUGACUUCUCGAAUUGUAAUAAGAAAUUGAGAAGUAUUGUUGAUACUUUUAGUGCUUCCUUGCAUGUAACAGGUUUCAAAGCUAUUGUAUUAUCCUCAGCUUCUUCUUCAACUGGAUUUUACAUAAAGAUUAUUUUUAAUCAAAUUCAUUGAACACAUUUAAUUAAGUUAAUUAAUAUAAAUACUAUUUAAUUAAGCACAUAAAUAAGUAAAAUAUAUUUAAUUUAGAAUUAAUGGUAUAGAUUUUUUAUUCAAAUCUAACGGCCCACGUCCAUUAUGGCAUCAAUGCCGUAAACUUAAUUACGGCAUUAUAGAAUGACCCAUUUAAAAAACUAUCUAUUAUUAUUUAAUAUGAGAAACAACUCAACUUAAAUUACAAAAUCAAUGGAAUAUCAAAGGAAAUUGGCUUGCAUGAUGAUAUUUUGACCUCCGUUUUCGAUGAUGAAUCUGAAAAUCAUGAUCUUCCUCAGCAAGAUGCUACCAAAGGCUGCGGUGACUCACAUCUGAAACCACAUAUCACGGCAACCAGGAUGAAUCUCAAGUUGAUGAUAGGAUCAAUUUCCAGUUGUCAAAAUCCGAAAAUUAUAUACUUAUGUUAUCUAAUUUAAAAAUUCUUUAAUAUGCAUCCCACCAUAGAAAUUUGGAAGAUCUACAUUAAUCUUGUAAUCUAAAUUUCGUCCGCACCUUGUUUUCUAAUUGAUCAACCCAAUGCAUUCCUUGUUUUCUAAGCUCUAACACCGAAAUUUCUUGAAAAGAUUUUCGGAUUAGUGUCUUGCAAGUAAGAAAUUCUUGAGAGACGUGCUGCUUCAAGGUCGAAGCUUUGGUUGGGAACUCAAGCAUGCAAAUGCAAUUGUUGAAACAUGCACAUUAUCCUAACAAUCUUUCGGUCAGCUGGAGGCGAAAGACGUUGGUCUAAAACGUCAAUUAACAUCCUUUUUGAAUUAAAUGAUGGUGAUGACGACGAUGAAAGAUCUCCUAAACGCCUUCCCAAUAAUACUUCUAGUGCCACCACUCUGAAGCUGUAAAUGUCACAUUUCUCUGUAAAAAUCAUGGUGUAGUCGAUUUCUACAAGAAAAAGAAUAAGGGUAUGAUAGAUGUCAUAUGAUCAUAUAAAAACUUUUCAAUCUGAGAACUCCGAAUUGCGUUAAAGUUCAGGACAUAUUUAUACCGUUAUAAAACGGUGAAAAAUACAGUUUAUAACGAUGUAAAUGUUGGGAUUAUAUGCUCUUUUAAAGCAUAUUAAUUUAUUUUCUGAUUAAUAAAAUAUUUAAGAUAUUUUCAAUUGCAUAAAUAUAUAUUGAAUAAGGUCCGUUUAAUCAUAUUAUAUGUAUUUAUGUGAUCAUCAUAUGGAUUCACAGAAGACAUAAAUACAAGUUAUCUUAUGAUUAAAUAAAUUUAGUUCGCAGUUGAUAAAUAGAGUUGGGCGCUCUAUUUAUGUUUAGACUGUAGUAAAUUCAUUGAAUGAUUUGUCUUAAUCAUAUAUGAAUUUUCUGAUGUAGUUUGACUACAUUAAGCUGAAUCACAUAUGAGAUUUAAUUAACCUUGAAAUGACUAUCAGACUUAUUAAAUCUCAUAGGCAUUGAUUUUACUGUAAUCUUAAUCUUGAGUUAGUUAUGAUUUCAUGAUUGUAAUUGUUAUUCCAUUUGAGUUACCAAUUGGCACAACACACAAUUGUGAUCAAAAUUACCCGGUAUCUUGGUGGGAGCAAUUAUGAGUAUUUGAGUUAUAGACUAACAAUAUAGAAUUUGUACGAAGCAUCUCUUGAUGGGUUUUCGGAACUUGAUCAUAGAAUUCUCUGGCCAUAGUGUGUCAACAUAUUUAGUAUGUUGAAAAUGAUCAUUAGAGAAAACCAGUAAGUAUCAAGGAACAAGAUGUAAUUAAAUUGAUUAGACAGUUGAGAUAUCGAUUUAAUUAACGAUGUGGUACAAAGGAUUGAGCAGUAAAGAAAUCAGUGUGGCUUGAGAUGAAUUAUUAUUUGAACAUACAAUUAUGGAGGUAAGUUCCAAUCUUAUAGUGGAGUAGAGUUGGAAUUAAAUUAUUAGGCUUGUUUAAUUACAAGCUUAAUUGUUGUAGCCAAUAUUGUAUGUUCCCAAAUGAUCCCCGAAUUAGCUCAUUUAAUUGACUGCGCCACUACUGAAUUAAUAAGUAUGAUAACUAGCCAUUUGAGUUAAAAGCCUAAAUACAUUAUUUAGUGGGAGGCUCCAUGUAAUGUACUUGUAUCUAAGGGGCCUUGUGUUAUUUUACAAGGUGGGUCCCUAAAACACAAGAACAAGUAACGUGACUUUUGUUUUAAUUAUUUUUUUUAAUUUAAAUCAAAAGGGAUUUAAUAGAAUUAAUAAAUAAAUAAAUAUGGAGCCUAGGGUUUCCACUAAAUAAAAAUAUAAAAGGGCUUAUUUUCUCCCAAAAGAAAGAGGCAGCCACUUUAUACAGAUCAGAAAAAGAUUUUUCUCUCUGUUGUUAAGAGAAAAAUUUUCUUGUGCUAGUUGCUUUGGCAGUGAUAAAGGUGUCCACACGUCAAGUGCAGAUCAAACUUGAGUCAUAACCUAGAAAAUCAUUGGUGACAGUUCAUGAUCUAACAAGCGUGGUGAUGACGGAUCGUGAUCUCGGAGCCUAAAUCACUUCAGCGAAAAAAGCCAAAUCGAAUUUUCAAGUUACGAUUUCUAGAUUACGUAUUCAUAUAUAUUAUAUGAGAUCUGUCCUAAAAAGUUUUAUAAAAAUUUUAAAAAAAAAUGUUUCUCCAACAAUUGGUAUCAGAGUCAUCUCAUAUAAAUAUAUAAGAAUUUCGUAUGAAAUCAAUCUUGAAAUUUAUAUAUUAGAGUGUCACAAUUUAUUCAGAUAUAUAUUAUUUGUUUAAUAUAUGAAUAAAGCAAGUUUUGAUUUUUCUUAAUUCAUGCUUAGAUUCUCUGCCGAAUUUUUCCUUUAGAUCUGUAACAAAAGGGGUGGUUUAUUAUCACCAUGUUUCCCUCUUGAUUUAUUUUAUUGUUAUAGAAAUUUUGUAAGCCAAAAUUGGCCUAGGAAAUUUGUAAAUCGCUAGAGAUUAAUCACGCGUCGACAGAUCAAAGGGACAUGAAAGAAACGAAGGCUGGAUUUUUCAGCGGCAGCCACCAACCAGCAACACAAGCACGCACGCAGUAACAACGCGAAAUAGCCAGCGCGCGUGGGAAGCGUGGCCUGUGCGCGCAGCUCGAGCUGGCACACUUUGCUCGCGCAGCAAACAGCGCGCGCUACACGCGCGACCAACGUGGCCAGCAGCAAGUUGCGCGCGCGAGUUUGGUGCAUUUCCGGCGACGCAGCGGCGGGUGGCUCGGCAUCAGAGGUCGGUUGGCGUCUGAACAAUGGCAAAGGUUUUUGGAGAUGGCGGAUAGGGAAGAAGGAAAAGAAAAAUAUGGAUUUUAGGGUUUCAUGAUUUUUAUCAUUGAGGUCCCUAUAGUUCCAUAAUUGUUUCCUUUGGGUAGUCAAGUUUUAAUUUUUUACAUUUAAGUCUAAAAAUAGUUUUGGGCUUAAAGAAUCCUAGUUUUAGGUUCAAUUUCAAUUGGGCUUAAUGGAUUAAAAUAUAUAGAUAAAAUUGAGCACAUUAAAUUUAUUUUUGGUCCAAAAGUUUUAUUUUAAUAAAAAAUUAUUAUUUAUUUCCUUUCAAAAUUAAAAUUGGACCAAUUAUAAAUUUAAAAGCCCAAUUUCCCCUAGUCUAUUAACAAAGACAAGCUUAUGGAAGAUGGACAUUCACAAGAAGCCCAAUAAAGAUUAAGCUUAGGGUUAAUGUAUUUUUCAUUUUAGGAAAGCUAUGAAUUAAGAUUAUUUAAUUGUUUUUCGAUAUGUUAUGUUUUGGAUGAUAACAUGACAUGAUAACAUGUCAUAUAGAAUAGGUAGUACCACUCUAUGCAUAAUGAUACAUGUCAUUCAUUAAUAAUUAAUCUCAUUAUAUUGUUUGAAAUUUGCACAUGCUUAAUAAUAUUUGAUAUCAUCUAAAUAAUAUUAUAGGAAGCAUGCAAUUAACAAUAUGUAUAUGUUUUAAAAAAGGAAAAACUAAUUUUAAAAUAUUGAGUGGGAGAGGGAAAAUUCAAGAUAAUUUUUCCCACGGGCUCUAUUGUUAGUUCAAUAAUAAAAUUAUAUAUAUACCUCGACUUCAUGAUAUGGUGAUGUUCCCUACUGAGGGUAUAUAUAUUAGAUAUUUUAUUUGAUGAACUUCUUCAAAGAUAAAAUUGAAAUAUUUUUCAAUCAAUUGUUCACCCCAACGGUGACUAUUGAUAUGAAAAAUACGUAGAUUGAAAUAAUAGUUAUACACUCAACUAAAAUUUGUUAUUAACCUUCCCAACAAAGCUCUGUUAACAAAUUUAGGCCCAAAUGGAUAACGAUAAUUAUUUAUCAUGUCUCUACAUGAAAGUAAAUAAUCCAAUGGAUAAUUGCGUUUAGUAAGUGUAGACAUGACUUUCCCAACGGAUAGCUUGUCAAAGCGGUACUAGAUUAUCGUUACAAUAAAUUAAAAUGCAUUUAUGUUUUUUGCAUUUUUGUCAUUUAUUGUGAAUAUUGUUUCAAAGUAUUUAUGCAUGUCUACUUUGUUUUUUCAGAAAAUGUCUUCCAUCAACCCAUUAUUAAUUAUCCUUGUUAAAAAUGAAUUCACUGGCAAAAAUUAUUUAGAUUGGAAACCCAAUCUAUUUAAUAUUCUUACUGCUAAAGGCUGCAAAUAUGUGUUGACCCAGCCAUGCCCUCCAGAACCAAUGUUAUACGAUUAUAGAAAUCAGAAGGAGCCGUAUGAGAAAUGGUGCGAAGCUAACAAAAUGGCUAAGCGCUAUAUAUUGGCUUCGAUUUCUGUGGAACUGCAUAAGAAACAUCGGAGCAUGGAAACAGCCACUGAAAUAAUGGCUAGUCUUCAUCAGAUGUUUGGGCAAAAUACUCAUUUUGCCAGAGAAACAACAUUAAAACAUAUUAUGGAUACUAAGAUGGAAGAGGGCACAAGAGUUUGUGAUCAUGUCCUCAAAAUGAUGGACUAUUUGAAUGAGGUAGAGAUUCAUGGUGUUCAAAUCAAUGAUAAAUCAAAGAUUAACAUGGUGAUUGAAUCUUUACCUGAUAUAUUCAAAGAGUUUAAGGUCAGCUAUAUCUUAAAUAAUAAAUAUAUGCUUAAUUGAAUUAAUGCACGAACUACAUGCUAUAGAAGAAUUUUAUCAUAGCAGAAAACUUCCUGAAAAAUGAUUCUCUUCAAGGCUUAAGUCGAAAGAUAAGAAUGAGCAAUAAAGAGUUGGGAUCGGCAAACUGUCCACUUAAAGAAGUGGCAAGCCAAAAGGCAAGUGCUACAAAUGUGGACAGAAGGGUCACUGGAAGAAAGAUUGUCCUAAAAUUAUUAAAAUCGGGUAUAGGAAAUCUUUAAGCUUCCUAAUUAGUUCAGAUAUCUAUUGAUUCAUGCAAUAGUGAAUUCAUAGAUAACUAAUCUUAUUUGUAAUUCAUUUAUUUAGUUUUUAGGAAACCAAGAGAUUAAGUGAAGAAAGCUUCAAACAACAGUUGAGGACAUGCUAGUUUAUAUCAAUUGAAAGGCUAGAUCAAUUUUACAAGACUUUAGUUUUGAUAUUUGUCUUUAUUUUUCCAAAUAUGAGAGGAAAUUAAUUUCGGUGGCUUGUUUUAAUAAACAGGAGUACAUUGUUAUUUUUGGAUCCUCUGUUUAUUACUUAUUUUGGUUAUUUAUAAAGACAAUUUAUAUCAUAUAAGUUCAUUAAUCUAUUCAAAGCAAGAUAUAAUGAUAAAGAGUAUAUGCAUUUAUCUAAGAAAAGAAAUGUUUCUUCAAACCAAAAUCACCUAUGAUAUUUAUGCUUAAAUCAUAUAAACUAUAAUAAGAUUUUAAGAAAAUGAUUAAUGAUAGACUUGUUGGCCUAUCGAGAUUGAUUAGUGUAAUUCUAUAAAUCUUAUUUAGAAAAGUAAUAUGAUGAGGAUGCUCUUUUUGAGCUAAAAGCAUAACAUUGUAUUGGAUGAUUUAGCGCAUACAUUUACAAAUGUAUACGGACUAAUCAGUUUACAUGUUAUAAGAGGUUAUGAGUAUUCUAUCAAUCUUGUUGAUGAAUAUUCAUUUUAUUUAUGUUUGUCUAAAUGCGUCAUGAUUCCAUUGCUUUUGAAAUUCAAAAGAGUACGUAGAUAAGACAAAUGCAAUUAGACAUGAACAUAAAAGAAUUUCGAUAUGAUCGAAAUAAAGAAUAUCUCUAUGGAGAAUUCAAGCUCUAUUUGGUUGUCAAAUGGGACAAACUCCCUCAUAUAAUGAACAUUAUGAUACAAUAGUGUAAUUAAAUGGAGAAACAAGAUUCUUUUGGAUAAGACAAGAUAUAUACUAAGUGGUUUAUCAUUUACCUUUUUGAUUCCAGAUACUAGUAGUUAAAAUUUCAAAGUUUAUUGAACUUAGUUUCAUCUAUUUCGGUGUCUACUACUCCAAGAAAUUAUGAAAAAUUCACAAACAUGGUUUGAGACACAUUCGUAUUUGGAGUUUACUAGUAUUUCUACUAGAAUCAGAGGUAGAGAAGAUGGAUUCGUGUUCAGAAGCUUGCAUGUUUAAGGUAUCUUAAUGGAAUAAGGGAAAGUCUUAAUUAUAGUCCUCAAGAUAGGAAUGUAUUUAUGGACAUAUUCUUUACCUUCUUUGAGGAAGACUAUAUAAUGACUUGUUACCUAAGAGUAAGGUAAAACUAGAGAAAUAAAAAGGAGAUCAGGUUGAUGCUCAGCUUUCAACACCUGUUAUUGAACAGGAAGAACAACAACAGCCAGCUGAUCAACACAUGAUUAUCCUUGAACAACCAUCACUUUUAGAACCUCGUCGUAGUGGGAGGGUAACUAGGUUACCUGCAAGAUACAUGUUAUUGAGAGAAACCUAUAUGGCGAUCUCAGUUGAACAUGUACAAGAUCCCACUGGCUACAACGAAGCUCUAAUAGACAGAGAUGCUGAAUUUUAGAAAAAGGUCAUGAAUCAAGAAAUGGAAUCUAUAUAUUCCAAAAAAAUCUAAGAACUUGUAGAGGCACCAAAUGGGAUAAAACUUAUAAGGUGCAAGUGAAUCUACAAGAGAAAAAAAAAGGAGUAAACGGAAGGGUGGAAACAUUUAAAGCAAGAUUAGUAGCCAAAGGGUUUUACUCAGAAAGAGAAAUCGAUUAUGAGGAAACCUUUUCUUCGGUUGCUAUGCUUAAAUCCAUCAGGAUUCUAUUCUCCAUUGCUACAGUUCUAGAUUAUGAAAUUUGGCAAAUGGAUGUCAAGGUAGCCUUUCUUAACGGGUAUCUUGAAGAAGACAUCUACAUGCAGCAACCAGAUGGAUUCGUACAAAAGGCCAAGAACACAUGGUAUGUAAGUUGUAGAGAUCCACAUAUGGAUUAAAGCAAGCAUCCCGGUCAUGGAACAUCAGAUUUGAUCAAACGAUUAAAUCGCUUGGAUUCAUUCAAAACAUUGAUGAACCAUAUGUGUACAAGAAGAUUUAGGAAAAAUUUAUAGCCUUCCUAGUUCUUUGUGUAGACGAUAUUCUUCUGAUUGGAAACGAUAAAUGAGUAUUGACUACAAUAAAGAUUUGGUUGGCAAAGUAAUUUGAUAUGAAAGACCUUGGAGAGGCAAGUUAUAUUUUUGGUAUUAAAUUACUACGAGACCAGAAGAAUAAAACUUUAGCCUUGUAUCAAGCGGUUUAUAUCGACAAGAUAUUGACUAGAUUUAGCAUGAAAAAUUCCAAGACUGGUUUAUUACCACUCAGACAUGGAAUUGUAUUUUCUAAGGAUCAAUCACCUAAAACAUUUGAAGAGAUCGAGAAAAUGAGACGAGUUCCCUAUGUAAAGCUGUGGGAAGUCUCAUGUAUGUCAUGCUUUGUACUAGGCCAGACGUCUGUUUUGCAGUUGGGAUGGUUAUCAGAUAUCAAUCUAAUCCUGAACCUAAACACUGGACUGCGGUCAAGUAUAUAAUGAAGUAUCUGAAAAGAACUAAAAAUUAUAUGCUUGUGUAUUCCGGUGAUGAACUUAUUCCAGUGGGUUAUAUUAAUUCUGACUUUAUGUCAGAUAAGGAUUCUAAAAAAUCAACUUCUGGCUAUGUGUUUACAUUAGGAAGUGGAGCUAUUAGUUGGAGGAGUGUGAAACAACCUUGUAUCACAGACUCCACAACUAAAACUGAAAAUGUGGCUGCAUCUGAAGCUGCAAAAGAAACUGUAUGGCUCCGCAAGUUCCUAUAAGAUCUUAAGGUGAUACUUGUUGUAACUGCACCAUUAAAUUAUUUUGUGAUUAUGGUAGUGCGGUAGCUCAAUCUAUGGAACCAAAAAACCACAAGAAACAAAACAUAUUGAGAGGAAGUAUCAUCUUAUAAGAGAAUAGUAUAGAAAUGCUAUAUGACAGUACCCCAAAUGGCAUUAGAUGCUAAAUGGUAGAUCUUAUUUAAAUGGCCAUAAGUGGGAAAUCUUUAUAAUAUGCACUUAGAGUCCUAGAGCAUGUGCAAUAUGCCAGAUAUGCUUUAAGAGCUAGUGGGAGAUUGCUGGGAUUAUAUGCUCUUCUAAAGCAUAUUAAUUUAUUUUCUGAUUAAUAAAAUAUUUGAGAUAUUUUCAAUUGCAUAAAUAUAUAUUGAAUAAGGUCCGUUUAAUCAUAUUAUAUGUAUUUAUGUGAUCAUCAUAUGGAUUCACAGAAGACAUAAAUACAAGUUAUCUUAUGAUUAAAUAAAUUUAGUUCGCAAUUGAUAAAUAGAGUUGGGCGCUCUAUUAUGCUUAGACUGUAGUAAAUUUAUUGAAUGAUUUGUCUUAAUCAUAUAUGAAUUUACUGAUGUAGUUUGACUACAUUCAGCUGGAUCACAUAUGAGAUUUAAUUAACCUUGAAAUGACUAUCAGACUUAUUAAAUCUUAUAGGCAUUGAUUUUACUGUAAUCUUAAUCUUGAGUUAAUUAUGAUUUCAUGAUUAUAAUUGUUAUUCCAUUUGAGUUACCAAUGGUCACAACACACAAUUGUGGUCAAGAUUACCCGGUAUUUUGGUGGGAGCAAUUAUGAGUAUUGGAGUUAUAGACUAACAAUAUAGAAUUUGUACGACGCAUCUCUUGUGGGUUUUCGGCACUUGAUCAUAGAAUUCUCUAGCCAGAGUGUGUCAACAUAUUUAGUAUGUUAAAAAUGAUCAUUAGAGAAAACCAGUAAGUAUCAAUGAACAAGAUGUAAUUAAAUUGAUUAGACAGUUGAGAUAUCGAUUUAAUUAACGAUGUGGUACAAAGGAUUGAGCAGUAAAGAAAUCAGUGUGGCUUGGGACGAAUUAUAAUUUGAACAUACAAUUAUGGAAGUCAGUUCCAAUCUUAUAGUAAAGUAGAGUUGGAAUUAAAUGAUUAGGUUUGUUUAAUUACAGGCUUAAUUGUUGCAGCCACUAUUGUAUGUUCCCAAAUGAUCCCCGGGUUAGCUCAUUUAAUUGACUGCGCCACUACUAGAUUAAUAAACAAGAUAACUAGUCAUUUGGGUUAAAAGCCUAAAUACAUUAUUUAGUGGGAGUCUCCAUAUAAUGUACUUGUGUCUAAGGGGCCUUGUGUUAUUUUACAAUGUGGGCCCCUAUACGACAAGAACAAGUAACGUGACUUUUGUUUUAAUUAUUUUUUUAAUUUAAAUCAAAAGGGAUUUAAUAGAAUUAAAAAAUAAAUAAAUAUGGAGCCUAGGGUUUCCACUAAAUAGAAAUAUAAAAGGGCUUAUUUUCUCCCAAAAGAAAGAGGCAGUCACUUUAUACAGAUCAGAGAAACAAAUUUUUCUCUCUGUUGUUGAGAGAAAAAAUUUCUUGUGCUAGUUGCUUUGGCAAUGAUAAAAGCGCCCACACGUUAAGUGCAAAUCAAACCUGAGUCAUAACCUAGAAGAUCAUUGGUGACAGUUCGUGAUCUAACAAGCGUGGUGGUGACGGAUCGUGAUCUGGGAGCCUAAAUCACUUCAGCGAAAAAAGCCAAAUCGAAUUUUCAAGAUACGAUUUCUAGAUUACGUAUUCCUAUAUAUUGUAUGAGAUUGGUCGUAAAAAGUUUUAAAAAAAUUUAAAAAACAGAUUUUUCUCCAACAGUAAAAAUGUCCUUGAUUUUAAUAAAGUCUGAGAUUUCUGGAUUAAAAGAUGACUCAUUGAUUACAUGUCUAAUUAAUAAUGUAGAAGAUAAAGAAGAAUGAGGAACAGAGCACAUGAUCACCUGGAGCAAGGUAUUCAUAGGUACCUGCUAGCAUAGUUAUAUUGGAGGAGUUUGGAGUUAGAAGUCUAGCCACGCCAAAGUCAGCAACAAAUGCCUCCAAUUCUAUACUUAAAAGCACGUUGUUGCUUGAUAUGUUGCGGUGAACAAUCGGCGGUGUGCGGUUAUGAUGCAAACAAGACAAAGCAUGUGCUGCAUUCUUUAUCACAUUCACCCUCUUAGCCUAAUCAAACUCAACAGCUUCAUCAUCAUUGCGUAGAACACACAACAAGCUGCCCCUCUCCAUGCACUCAUAUAUCAUAAACAUGCAUUUCUUGUGCAAACAAAAGCCAUAAAGCUUCACAAUAUUUUGAUGCCAUAUAUUAGAUAAUACACAAGCCUUAUUUUGAAAACUCUUGAUGAAAAAUAACUCCUCAGAACUGUGAAGCUUCUUCAAAGCAAUUAUUUUACCACUGGCUAGCUCUGCUUUAUAGACACUGCCGUAGCUUCCGGUUCCAAUGCAGUAUUUGAUGUCAAAGUCCUCGGUGGCUUCAACCAACUCUUCAAAUGCAGUUUUACCAUUAAAGUUCCACACGAAGAAGAUAUCCAAGCUCUUGGUUGCUUCUUUUGCCUGUUCAGAAUCAUUCUUAUUUCUUGUAAAGAGAUAAAUGAUGCCAAUGAGUAAGAUGACCAGAAGCACAACUAUAGGAAGAAACACUUUAAUUACUAGCCUAAUGGAAACGUUCCGGGUUUUCUUCUUAGAGUCAUAACUAGAAGGUGUAUCAAUUCUACAAGGAGGCAAACCACUAAGCUUGCUGCACAAAACUUUGUUGCCAAUAAAUGCCUCUGCUGAGUAUGUAGUUAGUAUAGAAUCCGAAUUUCUCCUUCGAAAUUAUUAUAUGAAAAGUUGAUGAAAUUCAUAAAUUUUAUACCAUUAAGAAAAUCAGAAAUGGUACCAGAGAGGUGAUUGUGGGAUACAUCCAGGUAUUAUAAGGUUUCUAUUGAAUUAAGUUGGGACGGUAUCGUCCCAUUGACGAGGUUAUACUUUAACUCAAGAAAAGACAAGCUUGAGAGUUUUCCCAUCUCUAAUGGAAUUCUUCCGCUUAAACUAUUGUUACUCAGUAUCAAUAUUUGCAACUCCGAGCAGUCCCCGAUUCCAGUUUGAAUGGGACCACCAAGUUUAUUAUUGGAGAGGUCUAAUCGUUGAAGGCGAAAGAGUCCUCCAAUUACAUGUGGUAUUUGCCUAUUUGGCCAAAGAGUAAAUUUGAGAAAAGAUUGAGAAAAGUAAGUUUAGUUAACUUUGUGAGCUCAAGUGGGAUGCAACUAUGCAUUUUGUUCCCUGGCAAUUGCACCAGAAGUAGAUGACACAUAUUCCAAUUUCUGGAGGGAGAGUUUCUACAUUCAAAGGGAAAGGGAUUAAUGUUAAUAAGUUAUGGCCCUGUUUGAUAUUGUGGCUGGCUGGUCGUUGUUUAAAAGAUAAAAUAUUAAAGUAUUUAAUAAACACUUAUUGUGGUUUGAAAACUAAGUUAAUUUUUUUUAUACUUAUAUGAUAAAAAAUCUACAGUAAUUUCACUCUUUUUGUUAAAACUAUUACUUAAAAUUAUAUAAAAACACAUUAUCAACUUUUAUUUUCGUUACAGUUUCUUUUUCAUAGCAAUUAUAUCUUAAAAGUCACAACCACAACCACAAUAGCUAUAGCUUAAGAGCAACUAGUAAUAUUGUUGGCAUACUUGUAAGAUUAUUUUAGGCUAGGCUAAGACAUCUGAGCUUGGAAAGGAUACAAAUUUGUGAUGGAAUGCUUCCAUUUUAAGCUAUUGAUCUCUAGACUCAGAAUUUCCAUGUUUGGCAUGUAAGAGAAUUUGAGUCUACCAAAUUUCCCCUUCAAUUGUUUAUUUCUCAAAAUUAUCUUAGUGAUGCGUACUGCAGUAUUGCAAGUUACACCAGCCCAACGGCAAUGAUCUGAAGUAGUAUUGUUGACAAUUCUUUGGCUCCACCAACCAGUUUUAAGUAAAGCUUUCCUUUCUAAUUGUAUGGAUGAUAAUUGCAGCAAAUAUACCAAUAUUAUUAGUAACAAGGCACAUUAAAAUGGCAGCCCAUAUGAUCGCUACCCUAGAAAGGGAGGACAAAGGCAUCAUGCUUGAAAUCUUUUGGUUGGUUCUGCUAUUAACAGCAAUAAGCUUUUAUAAACGGUUAAGCCAAAGCUCAUUUAAGCAUAUAUUAAUUUCUUUUCCCCCGUCUGCUCUUCUUAGUAUAGACUUUGACCUUCAUAAAAUUUCAAAGCAAUAUUUUCUUUGCCAUCUUCACCAACUUGAACUUGUCAGUCAAUACGACUGAAUUCAACCUAAGGUUUGAAGUUUCAACAUUCCAUUAUUAUUAAUUUAUUAUUAUUGUUUAAAGAAAGAGAUCAGAAAAAUCAAGUAAUGACAUCAAAACAUUUGGGUACUUUUUAUGACAUUAAUUUAAUUAAUAAAUUACACUCCUUGGUAUUGUUAAAAAAAGUUUGGGCCAGGUCACAUAUAUACUUGGUUUAAUAUACUGGAUCAAUCAAAUAGUUAAUAAAAGAGUAGAAAAAAAUGUUUGGUCCAAGUCAGAUAACUUGGAAGUCACUUAAGUUCGGAUGGUAUUGUGUACCUUUUAUCAUUCCUCAUAAAAGGUGAAAGUAACCAACAAAGUGUUGGCUCCACUGGCAAUAGAGUCCCCUUAAGUGGCUUGACUGGGUUUGCUCCCCAGUUUGAGUCGCAUGGAAGUCGCCUUUGUUGGGAGAAUCUGUGCCUCCCGGUUCGAGCGGGGACUUCUAGUCUGGGUUGUGGUACGGGCUUAAAGGUGCCUCCCACAGUUGGGGCCCUCCCCAGGAUACCUCGUGAUUAAUAUAAAAAAAAAAAAAAAAUAAAAGGUGAAAGUAGCGGUGGCCAAUGGGAUAGGCUGGCUAAGGGGCUAAGGUUUGUGAAAGUUCAACCCAAUCUACUAUUAAAUAAGUUGAGAUAAAAUCAAUCAAAUUUAAUUAAAUAAAUAUUUUUAACUUAAUUCAACAAAAUCCUUAACUCAUCGGAUUAGGUUGGGUUGGAUUAAUUUGGUUGAAGAUUAAAUUAAAAUUAAAUAAAGAAAAAUAUAUGAAACUUAAAAUGAAACUUAUUAAAACUAAAUAUAAAUAUAUUAUAACAAAAAAAUUUUGUGCACUGUCGUGUACAAUAAAAAAAGCUAAAAAACCAACUAUCUGAGAUUAAGAAAAUUUCGACAACGCACUUCUAGAUUUUAUUCCCGGCUUCCCCCAUCUCUUUUUCAAUUCUAAAUUCAAACCUUUUAGAUAAAUAACUAACAUCAUGUCCAGUAACAAAAUGAAAGUGAUAUAUAAUUACGUACUGUUAAGUAUUUACUAAAAAUAAAAAAGAAAUUGAAAUCAAUUUACUUUUAGAAUUAAACUUAUAAGAAAUAAAUUAACUAAUAUGAGACAGUAAUUUAGUUUUGGAUCUAGAGUCUAUAGCAGUAGAUACGAGAAUGAAAUAAUCUCUUCCAUAAAACAAUAAAAAGAAUUAAAAAUGAAGUUUGUUGUUUAAAUCUUUAGGAUUUUACAAUUGAGGAUAAACAUAUUAUUAUUAUUAUUAUUAUUAUUAUAGGUUGGGUUAGGCUAGAUGGAUUCAUCAUAAUUAACUCAACCUAAUCUAAUUAUUAAUUGGGUUUGAAAAAAUUGAUGCAAUUAAUCUACAACAAUCCAUUUAACCCAUCAAAAUUAGAUUGGGCUGGAUUAGACUGGACCACCCUAGCAAAGAAAGUCCUUAAAAAACUCCUAUAAACUCCACCAAAAAUUUUAACAAUUAAAUGAAUUUCUUAGGAGACCCUUUCUCAUUCCAAAAAUAACGCUUAAUGACUAUCUCAAUUGUUGCUGAAAAUCAAAUCCCCUACAAGGAUGUUCUUGUUGCUCAUAAAUUGAUUUUUACGUCUUGUUUUUCAACUUUUCGUUGAUAUUAGAAAUCGUAAUUCUUGUUGCUAGAAGAAUAUUUUUAUUUUUUAAAUUAAAAAAAAAAAGACAUCUAACAAGUUAGGCCUAAAGUGAAUUAAAACAAAAUUUGUAAAAAAGUCCGAAUUAUUGCGUUGCAAUUUAUGUUGGCCUCUGUUUUUUGAUGGCUAUGGAAUCCGUACACAAUUUUGUUAUCUUGGUUUUUCUACGUCGAAAUUCAAUCACCAUAAAUGCGUCUCUAUGAUUUAAGAAGCAAAGAAGAAAUUUUUUUUUUUCUUUUAGGUAAUUUAAAUUACGGUUAAAAUAAUAAGAGUAUAGAAGGGGUUUCAAGAAGACUUUAAGAUGGUGUUUGGUUGGGAGGAGAAUGGAGGAGAGGAAAGUAAUUUAAAUAUCUUUUUAUUUCUAUUGUUUGGUUUGAUAAAAUAUAUAAAAAUUUAAUUUCCAUUAAAAUUUAAUAUUCAUCAUAAUAUAGAAUUUUGAUUCCACACCAAGUAGUGAAGAAUUUAAAUUCCUCUUAUGUUGGAAACUAAAAUUUUCAAAAUUACCCUUCAACUUUUUAACUUGUUUAAUACCAUUAAUAAUUAUUAUCUAUAAUUUUAUUUUAUUGAUUUAAUAUUAUAAAUGAACUUUCGCCGGAAAGUCGCUGGACCGCCGUUGUACUUCACCGGAAAGUCGAUGGAUCUCCGUCAAACGUCGCCAGAAAGUCAUCGGACUUCACUGAAAAGUCGUCGGACCACCACCGGAACUUCGCCGAAAAGUCACUGGACUUCCACCGAACCAUCAAUUUAUUUUAUAUUAUAUAUAUAUAUAUUUCAUUAUUAAUAUAAAUAAUUUAAUAUCUAAGGUAAAAAAUAAAUUUGUCUAAAUAAAAAAAUUAUAAUUCAUUUCCUUAUUAAAUUUUAUAUCAAACCAAAUAAUAGAAUUUAAUUUCACUACUCUUCUUCAUUCGUUUCUUCUCCAUUUCUCUCCAUUCCACUCUUUUCCUCUCCUCAUUUUUCUUCAAACCAAACACUACCUAAAGGGUUGGCCAAAGCUUCACUAAUGAUGGUGAAAAUAUCUGCUGGACCCGAAUUGAACCUGUGGGGCCAGCGCAUUCAAGUUGGCUACAGACAAUUGAGAAGCUUCAAAAAAAUUUUCGGGCCUAAUUUGGGGGCUAGGCCCAAAGCCCAUAAUUAAUUCGGAUUAAAACUGCUUGAUAAGGUGGUUAUUAUUUAAUCCUCCUGCCAUGUGUACAUUUGAAUAUGUAGACAUGUCAUAUAUUUUGAAAACUGAUUGACAAGUAUUAUUACAACAGAAAUGGCACAAUUUUCUCUUUUAUUCCUCCUCACAAACCUUCUCUUGUUUUCCCCCCUACUGCACAAGAUACAAAGCCUCAGGAGCUUGCAACGAAAAGACUACAACACAAGAAAUUGUUGAUGACGAAAUCCACUGAGAGAACAGACAAACAAUUCUUAAUUAGCCAUAUAACAUAACUAAAAUCCCAUACCUUUUAUACUAUUUAUUGAUGAUCAGCCUAUGGUUUCUAAAUAUUUAAUCUGAAAAAUUAGUUUAUUGGAUGGAUGUGGAGGGACCUUUCCUACGAUGUAUUUAAAUAACUCCCCUCUACUAGUCAAUAUGAUACAUAACUCAACAAAAACAUCUGAACUUAAAUUAUAGAAUCAGUAGAAUAUAAAAGGAAAUUGGCGAUUACUCUUCUGCAUGAGGAUAUUUUGACCUCCAUUUUGAUGAUAAAUCUAAUAAUCAUGAUCUUCCUCAACAAGAUGCUAGCAAAAAGCUGCGUUGACUCACAUCCUAAACCACAUAUCACGGCAACCUUGGAGGACGAACCUCAAGUUAAUGAUAGGGUCAAUUUCCAGUUGUCCAAAUUCGAAAAACGUAACAAUGUUUCUAAGGACUCAACAACCCUAUGACACCUUUGUCUACCACGCGUGAGGAGGCCCCAGUUCUCUUGUCCCUUGAUUGUUAGGAAAUUGGUGCGUGAAGCAGACACGCAGCUAAAGUAAAAUUGGUAGAAAAAUAAACAACGAGCACAAUAGAGGACACCAAAAAAUUACGUGGUUCGGCUUUUAGCCUACGUCCACGGGCAAAGACAGAAUGAAAUAUUUUACUAGUGAAAAGGAGUUACAAGUAUUGUAGUAUUUUAGCUCACUUCCCAAAACCCCAAUACACCCAAACUCUCUCAAUCACUGUAACAAGAGCUUAUAAAUGCAAGCUCUCUAAAUUCUCUCUCAACUCCCUAAAUUGCUCUCUGAAAUGGAAUUAAAUGCACUCUUCAUCUGUACUUCUAUUUAUAGCAAACUAGUGGCCAAGAAAAUCAAAACCGUGUUCACCAAAUUCUUCAUCAAAACCGUGUGCAGCAAAUUCAAUCUUCAAACUUUGAACAACUUGUUGUUGACCAUCUAGAUGGCUGCUUCAAACCAUCUAGAUGGCUGGCUGCUUUUGACAUUGAUGGCCAACGAACUAGAAAAGAAGACAAUGUGCAAGAAAAAAUGGAGAUAAUAAGCAAAGAACUAGUGGGGAGCAGAUUAUUCUUCAUCCAUUUUCCGAGUUGCCAUGCACAUGAUGAAUUUCUUGCUUUUACUUCUUGUGUCCGUCAAAGUGUACUAAGGGUGUGUUUGGUAUUGAGGUUGGAUAGCUGUAAUUUUUAAGUUACAGUGUUAAAGUAUUUGGUAAACACUGCUGUACUUUGAAAACUAUAUUGAUAUGAUUUUUCACUUGUAUAAUAGAAAAUCUAUUAUAUAUUUAAUAAUUUUGAUAAAAUUAUAUUUACUAUAUAUUAUUAACUUUGUUUAAUAAGUAUAGUUUUUUUUUUCCUCAGCAGCUGUAACUUAAAAGGUACAGCACCUUAAUCCCAAAUAAGACCUACAUAGUAAUGACACUUUAGUAGUGGAUUUGACACAAAUUUCCAUGUCUUCACGCGACACUACUCACUUUACCCUGUAGACUAGUGAAUUGAUGCUAUUGAGUUUUAAAGACAACACAUUGUUUCCGUUCUUCCAACUUCUUCACUCUCGCGACUGCUAUGCCUAAAACUCAAAUUGGCUCUGUGAUCUCAUCUUGAAACUCUUAUUUAAAUCCACCAAUAUAUUUUGUGAGUAUUCUAAAUUCUGGCUCGAUCAUAUUAUUUCUCGCAUAUAGACGAUAAAAUUAUCUUGUGUAGUCAUUGACACUGUGAUUUGCUAGUUGGCAGUUAUGAUAUUUUAAAUACAACUAUUGCUUGUAAUAUGCUGACAACAAAUACUCUUCCAUCAUCCUCUGCAAUCUAGCCCACAGUCUGAUCAUUGGCUUUCCAAUAACUUCUUCGAUUCUGCAUGUUUGGCCACCAUGUGGAUGUCGCAACCUUCAACUUAAAUAGGGGCCGGCUUUAGAGUUUUUGGGGCCUUAGGCGAUUUUUUUUUUUUAUGAGGCCUCUUUUUAUUCUGUAACUUCAAUACUCUAAGAAACAUAAAAUAUCUCAAAGUUCGUUCUAUAUUUAGUUCUUGAAUUUCAACAAUAAUUAUGAAGAUCUUAAAAAAAAUUUAAAAAUAGAACUUAAAAAAUAGUGAAGAAGAUUUCUUUUACUUCCAUUAGAACCAUUACAAAAAUAAAAAAACAAAUAAAUAGAAAAAUACUAUUUUAAAAUAAAAUAUCUAGAAUUGCAGUACAUAGAAAGUUAAGAAGAUAAUUGAUAAUCAGAUAAUGGAUAUAGACUUUAUAUUUUAAGAAAUUAAGUUUUUCUUUUUUAAAUGAACUAAUGAAUGUAAUAAUUUUCUUUGUAGAUGAGACAUCAAGAAAUUGUUUCAUCUAUUGAUUUUUGAAAUUAUAAGAUUUUUAAUAGAAAUUAAAAGGAAUACAAAAAGUCAAAGAUUCUAAUGUUGAAUAUUUAAGUUUUCUUAGAAAACUGACAAGGUAAAAAAUUUAAUUUUUUUUCUUGGGAUUAAUAGUGAAUGAAUUAAUGGUUAGAUAAUAUUAUUAAGUUUAUCUCUUUAACACUAAGAUUAACAAAUAUAGAUAGCCUUUCGUACAAUACAUAAUUAAAAAAAAAACUCAUUAAUUAAAAAAUUAUUAAGGACAUACUCAAAAGAUGAGGCCUUCCCAAAAUAUGGGGUCUUAUACGACUGCCUUGUUUACCUAUACUUAAAGCCACCACUGACUUAAAUGCCGCUAGCUUAACCCAGUUCUCUUGAAAAAUCUCCAUAUGCUCCAAGAAAUUCUCUACUUCUGUUAUCUAGUUUAAAAAUUCUACAAUAUGCAUCCUACCAUAGAAUUUUGGAAGAUCUACAUUAAUCUUGUAAUCUGAAUUCCUUCCGCCUUUUCUUUCGUAAUCUACAUAUUCAUCCUCCUCCAAAUUGCUUACUAGGGCCUCAUCCAUGUGCGCAGGCAUUCGUCUCGCAGGCCUGGGUAUUAAGGCACUACCUAGCUGUUGGCACUUUGAGGAACUACCUCAUAAUUAUAUCCCUGAGGUAUCCCCUCAUGAUUAUAAUCUUAAGAUUGUUCUUCACAUAUGCUUGUUCCAUGGUGACAAGAAAACUUGCUCUAAUACCAAUCGACAAUGCAGAAACAUAAAAAAUUGGUAGAUAAGAGAAACUAAGUUUCUUAAUAAAAAAAAUUUUGUUAAAAAAGCCUCGAUGAUCAAAACUCGGAUUUUAGAUCCCUUUUAUAUUAACCCUAAAUAUUGCGAAUUGACGAAAAUAAACAAACCUAAAAUAUUAUUUUCUAAUCAAAUUCUCCUAAGCUAAAUAGGAAGAACAAAACAAACGACACCCAAAUCCGUCAUCUAGAAAAAUAGAUAAAAAUCAUGAAAAUAAUAGGAAAAAUAAAAAAUAACUUAAAAGUAAAAAACAUCUAGAAAAGAAGUAAAAUUUCUUGUUCGACCAUGGGCAGCCAUUUUGCGCUUGAUUCAUCUCGUCGCAAACUAAAAUGGUAUAUGAUAUGCCUAAAACAGCAUAUGUAGCUCAUGUUAUGACCUUUGAAAAGUACUUUGCUCAUCAUAUGCAACCAUCUUACAUCAAUAUGCUCCAAUGUAUUCCAAGUGGUUAAAUGGUCUAAUCAAAUUCAGGACUUUUUAUGUAUUCCAAGUGGUUAAAUGGUCUAAUCAAAUUCAGGACCAAAAAGUCUAGGAUUUAUUAGAUACCUUUAUUAUUCAGCCAUUCAAUUCAUGAUGCAUGCUUCCUCUUCAAAGUUCAGUCUUCAAAGUAAGUGAAUAAAAAGUUUGAUAUAUCAUCAAACUAUGUACUAAUCAUUCAUGAUAUUUGUACUUCCGUGAAUGACACACAAGAUCAGAAUUAAUUCAAUAUAUAGAGCGUAGGGCGUGGUUUUGUUAUCGGGAACUGCUAUAAAAUAUUACGGAAAAUUUUAAAAUACAUCAAAAAUAUUAUAUCCAAAUAAUACAUUUAUAGCAUUUGUAGUUAAAUCAAAUACAACUACAUGAUGCUUGUUUUUAAACAAUUACACAUGUUACAUACAAGCACUAAUUGAGUGUGGUAUUACUGAUGUGCUCUAAAAUCUCUCCUCUAUUAUUGUACUAGUAAGAGUAGUAAAACAAUAAAAGGCUUAAACAAGCUAUAUAUAUAUAUUCUUCAAACCUUAAUUUAAAACACUGCAAACGUUUCAGACCUUCUGUCAAAAUUUUGGAACAUUUCUUUUGCCAAAUAGCAUUGCUGAAAUUCAAACUAACGGAAGUUUAAAUUUAUUUCUCAGCCUCUGAGUUUAUCACUUCUCAAACUCCAAUGUUCUGAUUCUUAAAAAAGAAAAAGUCCGGCCAGUUAGAUCAUUAUUCUAAAAAAGAAAAAACUUGUAUAUCUCGAGUCCUUAAAAAUAAAAAACAAGUCAAACCAAGAAGAUGGAAUAAAGGACGUGUGGUUAACAAUUUAGAUUUGAAGAUAGAUUUUUUUCCCCCCCCAAAAUGAAGGUGCAGUGAUAUUUAAGACUUGAGAUAUUAGUUUCGUUGAGAUAUUCAAUUCAACAGUCAAUCUUAAACACUACAAUAAACCCAAUAGGUUAAGUGGCAUUUUCAAGCGUAUAAGAACUGAACUACGGGGACUACAACACCAGCAAAUAUUGAACUUUCGGAAACAUGCAACAACAUCGAGGAGGCAGGAAUCAGGAUGCUGAUCAGACACUCCGGGCAGGAAUCAGGAUCCGAGAAAAGAAUUUCGAGUUGAUGGAUUCUCUUUACAAGGCUGCAGUAGAAGGUCAUAUCGAUCAAUUCAGGGCACACGCAACGACCCUUGAUCAAAUAUUGACACCCAAGGAGAACACAAUCCUCCAUAUUCACAUCACAGCCCGACCUCCAACAAAGCUUAACAGCUUCUGGAAGAUCGGUCUUAACAGGAAAUCUGCAGAGAACGAAGGAAAUUUUGUGAGAAAGAUUCUAGACAUGUGUCCUGAUCUGCUGUGGAAAGCCAAUACCAAAGGGGAAACUCUGCUGCACAUCGCCGCCAGGCACGGGCAUGCUGAUAUAGCGAAGGAUCUAAUUGAUGAAUGCAAAAGGCCUUACCAGAACGACCCAGAGAAAUGUGUUGAAGCUGCGAGGAUGAUGCUGCUGGCGGUGACGAAUGAAUCCAAAGACACAGCCUUGCACGAGGCUGUCCGGCAUAAUCAAGUUGACGUGGUGAAGCUGUUGACCAAAGAGGAUCCCAGGGUACCGUAUGAUGCCAAUAAAGCCGGCGAGACUCCCUUGUACUUGGCUGCGGAGAGAGGAUACAAAGAUGUCAUGAAAGACAUUUUAUCGACUUGCAAAUCCCCAGCUGACCAUGGACCAAUGGGAAGAACGGCUUUACACGCAGCUGUAUUUUGCGAAGAUGAAGGUAAACCUACAAUUAUUAUUAUUAUUAUUAAUUUUUUUUAAUAAGAGUGGGACUAUUGGCACCCCUCCAAAUACCUUUUAAAAUUUCUUUAAUUAUUUUACGAUUUUAACUUUUAUUAAAAUUAUAUAAUAGGACAAUUUUUAAUUAAACUUCACUAAAAAAUUAAAUAAUUUUUCCCUUAAAAAUUCUUUAUACAGCAUAUUUUCGUAUAACAGUUUUAAAUUCUAGUGGCGGCCACAUCGAGUGUAGGAUUUUACAAAUACCCAGCCAUGAGUGUCACAAUCUCAUACCACCACCACUCUAAACAAAUUCCCAAGUAGCUGGGCAUAGCCAACUUCAUUAAUGACCCUAUCCCACCAUACACUCCUCUAAAUCCAAUCCCAGCCAUGGUCUAUGUCCAUCUCAUCAAAAUAAAUUAGCUCUAAUGAAUGCCAUUGAAAAGUAAUUUCCAAAUGCAACUAAUUCAUUUUGUGCAAAAACGGGUAUUACAACAUCUCACGUUUCAAGAUUUCCCUUCAUCUAAAAUUAAUUUUCAUGUUGCUUAAGAGUUUAGACAGUAAAAGUUGCUAAGGAAGGUGAAGACAAGCAGCAAAUGAAGAUUGAAACCUCUGAAAUUUCAGACUAUAAUGAAGAACAGCUCUUUGAAACUUGUUUAUUACUCAAGUUCUUAUGCCCAAAAUAAAAUAUAUAAAGAAAAUAAUUUAUUACUACUGCAACGGAGAGAAGAAACCGUUGUUUUUUUUUUUAAUUUAAGAAAUCCUUUUGUUGAAAUGGAGUUUCAUAAUAAAAGUAAAUAAAAAUUAAAGAAUGAGUUUACACUAAUAAGUUUUAAUUAAGGGUAUUUUUUUCAUUUAAGGAGGUGAUAAAAAAAUUGUAUAAUAUUUUUAAAUAUUUUAAUGGGGUUAAUAAAUAAAUGGAGUGUUACGAGGUAUUUAGAGGGGUGCCAAUAGCCCCACCUUUAAUAAACCUCGUCAUGUGGAGAAAUUUUAUUAUAAAAAAAAAGAGUAAUUGAAAUAUUUAUUUAGAGAUAUAAUGCGGCUUAUCCUAACAACAAAACCUACAAUUAAUUUUAUAUUACACACACACACAGACACACACAUAUAUAUAUAUAUAUAUAUUAUUGUUGAAAGUUAAUUGGUAAUAUAAGAAGAAUUAGGUUCCAGAAAUUUUUAAGUUAAAAUCUAAAGUUAGUUCUCUUGAAUUGUAAAAAUCAAGUGGGCAACUGUAGAAUAUGGUUAAAAAUAUAAUCCAAGCAAUACAUGUUGGUGGCUGUUUAAAAAUGUGUGGUAUAACCAACAAACGCGUACAUCAACUGGCAUGUGGUUGUUCUAUCUUAACCAAGGUCCUCAGUUUGAGAUUUGGGAAUGCAGCUGCGUUAAAUACUUGUUGGGAGAACUUUGCCGCCCUAGUGGUCCUACCCGGCUUGAAUCUGGAUUAGUCGGGACCCAAUAUGAUCUUUGAAUACCAGAUGAUUUAAUACACCGAAAAAAAAAAUGUAUGGUAUAAAUUAAAGUCAAGUAAAUCGUGUGGUCGAAAAAUAGGUUAGCAAAAUGAGUGAUCCUAGUGUGUUCGUCGGUUGGCACAGCCUAUAAAUACAUGGCCAUGUCGGCAAUUAUAGUAGUGAAGUGGUAAGCAUAACAAAAAGGACCCAAAUUAAAAUAAAUGCUCUCUCUUUAGUCAAAUAAUCUUAACUACAAGUGUUUCCACCUCACUCAUUCUAGCCCACUACCUUCCUCUGUUCCAGCAUUUAUAACAUGCAUGGUUGUUAUUAUAUAAAUCCGUAAGUAUUUGAGUGCCUCUAUUUUAAAGACCAUUUUAUGUCGUGACAAGUUUCCGUCAAUACAUUCAAUAAAUAUUUGUUUUACACUUUUAGAUACCAAGCACACUCUCACUCAACCCUCUAAUUAGAAUGUAUUCUCUUGGACUUCAACCAUGCGCCUUUCGCUUUCAGUGCAAGAAGCAAACUCACUAAGUAGACUACGCAUCCUGGAAUAGUUAUGGGCUAGACUUUCUAUGGACUACAACUUGACAAAUUUAGUCAGCAAUGUAAUAUUGUAUGCAAAAUUCACAUUUUUAUAAAAUGACAGUCGUAGGACUUACACAAUUUGAGAGCGUUUCUAAUAAUUCCUUCUUUGACAAUUUGUGUUUUGUUGUUAUUUUCUAUAGAAAUGACAAAAAUGUUACUGGACUUCAAAAAAACUCUGACCAGCAAACCGGAUCAGCGAGGAUGGCUCCCACUUCACUUGGCUGCACACCUGGGAUGCUAUAAGGUUUUGAAGGAAUUACUUAAUGCUGAUAAAUCUGCAGCCUACAAAGUUAAUAAUGAAGGAAAUAUAGCUCUUCAUCUUGCAGCUGGUAGAGGCAAAGUAUAUUCAAUGCUAGAGCUUAUACAGAGUUGUCCAAGUUGCUGUGAAAUUACUGAUAACGAAGGGUGGAAUGUUUUUCACUUUGCCGUGCAUAGCGAAAGUAGAAAGGCGGUCCAAUUUCUCUUAAACAAUCACUCUCUUGGAAACCUUGUAAACGAGAAAAAUCACCAAGGAAAAACACCUCUCCUAGAACAUGCUGCUUCUGAUUCUUAUAUGAAGUCUUUCAUAUGUCACCCUAAAGUGGAUAAGCUGGCGUUCGACAAUGAAAACCAUAAUGCUAUAGAUACGAUCUUGUUGGACAUGUUUUAUUUUUCUCCCAAUCAGGUAAGGCAAUUGAUUCAUAUACAAAUAAUUUCAUUAGGUGCUAAAAGCUAAUUUCUUUUGGCACGAUAAAUACAUUAUUAAAGGUGAUAGUAUAUAUAUAUAUAUUUUUUGGUGAGUUAAUAACUGUUGGAUAGGGAUAUUUCCACCCCACUAUUUUUAUAAAUCUACCCCACUUCUAGAAAAUAAUUACAAUGAGUUCACAAUAUUCUUAAAAAAUACAAAUCAAUAAAAAUUUUGUAUAGUUAAUCAAUUAAAUCUUUCUAUUAGUUUUUUUUUCUUAGGUUCGUUGACCAUCUUUAAUCAUAAAUUUUAAUAUAAGUUUUAUUUUACUAUUUUAUUAUUAUGAUUUAUUAUUCUGAUAUAAAAAGAUAAAAUUGCCCCAUAGAACAUGAGUUAUUAUAUCUAAUAAUUUAGGUAUUUAAUUUUGCAACUUAUAAUCUAAUAUUUUUAAAUGAAACCUAAUCAUUAUUUCACUACCCUUACAUAUAAAUAACAUAAAUUUGACAGCCUAAUAAUUUACAUGAGAAUUGUGCUGUCAAGAAACUAUGUUAAUUUAAUUAAAAAAUAAUAAUCACACUAAUAAAGUAGUAUUAGAAACAAUGAGUUUGGUAUAAAUUAGAAAAAUAUUGAAGUUAAAGCAAAUUCUUGAUAAUUUUACUUUAUAAGGGUAAAAUAAUCAAUUUAAACUUAUGUCAAAACAAUAUUUGUAAUCAAGCAUACUAAAUAAAUCUAAGUCACAAAAAAGUGAAUUAACCUAGAUUUAAUUAAUUAAUUUUCCAAAACUCUUCUUAAUUUGAAAAUUUUAAAAGUAAUGUGCAACUUCUAUAAUUAUUUUUUGAAAAUAGUGUGGAUUCACAAAAAUGUGGGGUGGAGAUAUCACAUUCAUAACUGUUUGUACAAUGAGUUCAUGAUUCUAUCUAAAAAAGCAUAUGCUUUAUGUAUAUUGUUCACACCAAAGGGGGAUGUUAUAUAUUUUUCUCAAGCUACAAGAUUAAAAAAAUGUCAUGAAUUCGAGUAGGUUAAAAAAAUACUGCAUUGAAAUUUAUAUUUUUCUUAUCUUUUACCUUAAUUUUCACUUUAUUAAAAAGAAUAUUUUUAAGAAUUAAUUUUUAUGUGGCUAAUUUUUUUUUCCUAAGUAACAUCUCAAUAUUUUUUCUUCACAAGUACUAGGUAGCACUCACUCAUUAUAGGGUAAAUUGUAAAAUUAGUAAAAUUAUUUAUUAUUUUAUUUUACCAUUUAAUAUAUGAAUGUCAUAUCACUUAAGAUAAUAGUAAUUUAAAUACUAUUUAAGAAAUAUAGCAUUACUCUUCUAUUUACGUGCAGGGUUGCAGUCAGGUAUGUGUUUAGCGUAAAUUUUUUUUUUCAAUUACCUAUGUAAAAAUUUUUAUAAUUUUUCUGUCUAAAUUUGAUUUUUUUAAUGAAUUGGCACUCUAUAACUUUUACAUUUUGACAGUUACCCAUUUUUUCAAAUCUUUUUACCCUUAAAUGUUUAUAUUAUCAUUUUUGGCCCCCUAAACUUUAAAUUCUGCUCCCCUGAGUGUAUGAUGAUCAUUUUACCAAUCGUUUCCUCUGCAUGCUCGUGACUUUUAAUGUGAACCUGUGGAUAUCGAUUAUAUAAAUUAUUUAGGAAACUAGUUGUACCGUCGUUAUAAAUAUUUCAACACAUUGUCGCAGCUAUCCUUCGUAUGGUGCUUGCUUAGACAAAACGGUUUUCGGGGUCGCCGACACAUAGAGGAUGGAGGCGGGGAAAUAAUGGAUAAUGAAGGUAACAUAGUGAGAAAUAAGAGUGAUUAUAGAAAAGAAAAGAAAAAAUUAAUAGACAAAGCCUUAGAGGAAUUUCUAAAGAAAGGAAAGGAAGGACAUCUAGUCGUGGCUGGACUUAUAGCCACUGUUACAUUCACCGCAGGUAUUACCAUGCCGGGUGGUUACAUUGAUGAGAAGGGCCCAGACCAGGGGACAGCAGUUCUAACAAGAAGUAGAGCUUUCCAAGGAUUUGUUAUAUCGAAUAGCGCGGCGAUGGUUUUCUCCAGCUGUGCGGUUUUUGCUCACCUUUUUGUGUCACUAUUACCAGACAAGAGCUUCGAAUUCUUGAUAUGGAAUCUGGGCCAAGUACUUAUAGUUGCUGCCAUGUUUGCGAUGGUGUUAGCAUUCCUUUUAGGCGCAUACGCAGUUCUAUAUUGCAGUGCCAAAGUACUUGCGGUUAUUGCUUGUGUCAUUGUUGGCUUCUUCUUUUCUGUCUAUGUGUAUUUCCUACCACUUGGGUUUUUGCUGAGACUGGUGAUAAGAUUGGUCUACACUACCUUAAAGAUGUUGAUGUCUGAGUCCAGACGAAUUUACCUUCGUGUUCUUCGAUGACUUGGGCACAUCUUUUUGUGGCGAAAAAUUACUCACUGUUAACGGUUCGACACUAGAUAGCCACAUGUCUUUUACGGCUCUAUUUGUGUUGUAUUGAACUGUUGUUCUACGCCUGUACGUGCGCUGCUGGAGAACUAUCAACAUGUUCUAGUAUUCAGAAAGAACUGUGUGUCGCGUUUUUCAUUCUGUCUUCAUUAAUUUGAUCAUUAUCAUCUCUACUUCGUUUCAUAUUGUUUUUGCCCUUUUUAUGUUAGGCUAAAACAUUAAAAGUAUUGUUUGGGGAAUGAAAUAGGGUGACCAAGAUAAGGUGUUUGCUCAUACAUUAUAUAUUAUCAUGCUCUCCUCAAAGUCAAAAGUGAGUAAAUAGUUGAUAGGCUACCAGGAGAUUAUUUGGUCACCUUGAGCAUAUCAUCUCGACCAGGAUGUUAUUUGGUGACCUCGAGCACAUCACCUCGACCAGGAUGUGAUUUGCUUACCUCGAGCACAUCAUCUCGACUAAGAGAUUAUUUGGUCACCUUGAGCAUAUUACCUCGACUAGGAGAUUAUUUGGUGACCGCGAAUAGAUUAUCUCGACAAAGAGGUUACCGGGAAGCACGACUCAGUUAAAACAAAUCUCACUUAUUUUUUCUGAAAUAUUAGGGACCAUAAUCUUAGUGGGUUGAAAAUUAGUAGUCUUCUUGGGAGUUUUAGGAGAGAGGAUAAAAACUGCUAUAAUUUCCUAUAAAUACUCUUGGAAAGGGAGGGAAAGGGGGAUUCUUUUUCUCUCUCUCUCUGGGCGAUUGAACCCAUGUGAUCUUUUUCUCUCACUACCACUGGGAAACUUCUCUUUCUCUCAUGAUUUAUUUUUCUUCAAGAUUGAUUAUUUUCUAUUAUUUUCCUAUAAAUUUACUUAAAAGCUUUUGUAUUCAUAAUUAAGCCAUGUGAAUUGUGGUACGAGUUUUUCCAAGUAGACCUAAAUCGCUGACUUGAGUGUCGGAGGAUUUUCGCCAAAAAAACUUCCCGCGCCUCCUAACUGUUCUUUGUGCUCACAAGCUCGCGGGUUAUCUGCUCAUGGCUCAUCUGGUCAUUGGUUAUCUGCUCAUAGAACAUCUGCUCAUGGUGCUCACUGAUCAGCAGCUCGUGAAUUAUCUGCUCAUGAAUUAUCUGCUCGCGGUGCUCACUGAUCAGCAGUUCAUAGAUUAUCGGCUCAUGAAUUAUCUGCUCAUGGUCAGAGAAUUUUCUUAGAGAUUAACAAGCCGCUUCUCCACCAAACAAAUUUAAUCUGACGCGGGGAUGUGGUUAUUGAGUCAACCGACUCAACUAGAUUUCUGCAUCAACAAGCACUAUUGUCUUUGUGGUGCUUAAGAAGGCCUAAGAAAUCGAUCUUUAGGCCACCAUGGGCGAGGAACGUGUUUUGGACAAUAACUGUGAGUGUUGAAAGAACCAGAGGGAAGGCUAGAAGGUGGCCUUUGAGCUUCUCAGGACGGACAGGAUCUUCUCAGGAAGAACAUUGAACCUGGAGAAAAGAGGAAAAGCCGAUAGGAUGCGGCACCACGGUUUCCGUCGACGGCACUCCGACGUCAAUGGGGUGGUGAUAAAUGGAGAAGGCCUCGUGUGGAAGCCAUGAAACUCAAAGAAGAUGAAAAUGGUUGAGAAAGUUGAAGAGUGAGAGAGAGCAUGUAAAUUUUACCGAAUGGAAGAUGAAAAUAAAUAAUGCUUAAGUUCUAAAUUUUAUGUAAGGAUGAUACUCUGGAGUUUGGGGCGGGUGUUACGCACAACCUUACCAAGUGGAAGUUAAAUUCGAAACUGACUGUCAGUAGGAUAAGUUUAAAAUUUAAUAACCAUAUCAUCUAGAAAUUCAUUACAAAAUUGUCGUCAUCUUAACUACCUUGAACAAAUAAUCAAAGAUAAACUGUCAACAAUUUACCAACUAAACAACCAAACCAAUCCCCAGUAGUUUCUGCUAGACAGGUUGGAUAUUUCUUGAAAGACUAAGUUUAAUUGACUAAGUUGACACUUAACUACAUCUUUUAAUCUUCCCAAGUUUGUAAGGAAAACCCUAGCUGUUGGUGCUUGACAAGUUAGUUAAUAAUUAAUAAAAGAAAAGAGCACAAUUUUCUCCUUUAUUUCGCCUCAUUGGAUCGAGACGUUUGUUAUAAUUUUUCUGCUGGUCACCCAUCAUUGAAUUGUUACCGCUUCAGUACGCUUAAUUUUUUGAGUUUUGAAGUAACGAUUUCCAUAACACUUUUAAAAGAGUUUUGAAGUAAAGGUUGUCGUAUUUUUUUAAAAAUCAAUUGGUGUUCAGAGAAUAACUGCCAUCCACGAUGCUACCACACUGCCGACUAUUGAUGCGGUGUCAUAAAACUUGACAUAACCAGCAUCCACGAUGCUAGUAUACCGCCGACUGUUGAUAUGAUGUCAUCCCGCCUAUCGAAUAUAUAAUUAGACCCUGCUACCACGUAUUGGAUCGAGGUGCUUGUUACAACUUCCCAACAAGUCACCCAUUAUUAAAUUGCUCUAGCUUCAACAUUACUUUAGUACAACUUGUUGGAUCGAGGUGCUGGUUGAAACUUCCCAACAAAUCACCUAUUAUUGAAUUACCCUAACUUGAACAAGCUUAACUGUAGAAUUUUGUAGUAAAAGUUGUAGAUUAGUUUAAAAACCAAUUAGUGGUCAGAGAACAUACAUUAAAUCGUUUAACUUCAUUCCCUUCGUAGUCUUAAGAAAGGGGGCAGUUGACCCCUGUAAUGCCAGCACUCCUCACAAGCCCUCUCUCGUUUUCGUCCUACGGUUCAAGAUACAUAGCAUUAUGAGCAUAGAAUGAAAAGAGUACAAUAUAACAAAUUGUAGGUGAUAUAUCAAAAGAAGUUAAAUGCUACAUCAGUCUCAUGCAAAAUCAAAAGUCAAAUUCAAAUAAAUUCUAGCUAGCAUUUAGAAAAAAGAAUUAAACAAUACUUAUUGGAUUGUCAUAUUUUUUAAUUACAGAAAUUUAGUGCAUGAAUGGUAUUGGUAAAAUAACUAUUGCGGAAGUUAUUUUUAACCAAUUAAUUAUCUUUUGAAUUUAUGGUUAAAUUUGAAGGUUUACACUUCAAUGCAACUGUUACGAUGAAUUAAAAUAAUGGAAAUGGAUUAGUUCAUCGACGCAAGGGAGGGAAGACGAUUAUUCUAAGGCAAUAAUCUAUGUAUUUUGGGCCCUCAAAGCAAGGCUGGGCACGGCCAUGUGGGCCCGGCGGACAUCUUUAGCAAGUAUAUUUUCAGAAUGUCUUUCAUUUUUAUUUUUAUUUUUAUCAUAUAUAGCAAAAUAUAUUUUUAGAACGUCUUUUAUUUUUAUUUUUAAUUUUACUCUUAAAAUAUUUUAUUACAUGUGAUCUCUUGAUAGAUAUAGUGCAUGGUAGUCGUAGCCUUGAGUUCAUAUAUCUUUUAUUAAUUAGCUUGGAGAAAGUUCAUUAUCAAGCUGUUGGUCCAAGAGUUUCAUUUAAUAAUAAGAAUAACUGGAGCAUCAUCUACUUUAGGGUUUAAUAUUGGCGACAGAGUUUUACGGUUUUACCUAAUGCUUUGGAUUCGGGUAACGUUGUUGGAGCCACUUACUUUACUUUUAGCUUUAGAUUUUUUUUUUAUAAAUAUUAUAUAUAAUACAACUAAAGCCGAAUAUUAAUAUAAAUAAAUGCACAAUUAAAGUUCAACAUAUCGAAACUCAAUACAACUAAAGUCCACUAAAGUUCAACAGAAAAAGUCAAAAAAAAGAAAUUUUUAUAUCUAUUAGGAAGAAUUAAAUUUUACAUUCAAAAUAAAAAAAGAGUACCAUCCAACUCAAUGGAGAAUUUCUUAACUUACCCAUCGUAAUACGUGGAUGCUUAGAAAUUAUUAAAACGACAUACUUUAUUUCAAAACACCAUUUGAAAAAUUACGAUGGAUUUCAAUUUAGUCAAGGGCUAUGUCGGGAGCUAGCUUUGGAUUAGCCAUUCAUUGAAUGUAAGCAGUGAUAUCAUAAUUUACGUGACAAGACUCUAUGACUUUGUUGAGUUUGUAAAUAUCAAUUAUCAAAUCAAUCACUAUGUCCUCCAUCACGACCAAAUAUUGGUCCAUAACGGAAUCCAUUUGAGAAAAUGCUUAACAAUUGUUAAUUAAGUACAUAACAUCACUAAAUUAAAAUUCACUUAAGAAUUCACGAAAAACGAAAAACGAAAAACGAUACACGAAAAACGAAACCUGUUUGAAGUCAUCUACAACCCAAAGCAAUGCAAAGCUUAAAAACAAUAUUUGUAGAACUGCAGAUGAAAGGUUUUUAGAACUGCUGAUCAUCAGUCAUCCCAAAGCUCCUCCAGCGUCUUGAAUGGCCCCUGAGGGGAGACCCAGAAAUCACUAGGUAUCAAUCUAUGCUGCGAGAUUUGAUUAAUCUUAUCAUAAUCGUCAUCAGUUAAUUUCCAGUCAAAGAUCCCCAGGUUCUGCUUCAUUCUCUCCAGGUUGAGGCUCUUAACAACAACAGUGGCCCCUUGCUCAACUAUCCAUCGUAGAGAAACCUGAGCCACAGUCUUGCCAUGGGCCUUUGCAAUCUCCUUCAAUGUUUCAUUCUCCAGGACUUGAUUGCUGCCGUAUAUUUUUCCUACCGCUCCCAAAGGAGAGUAAGCAGUGACAAUUAUGCCCUUGGCCUUGCAAAAUUCUAUGAGCUUCCUCUGUUGCCAGACAGGAUGCAUCUCCACUUGAUUAAUUGAAGGAGGGAUGGUAGCGAAGGUGAGUAUGGUCUCAAUCUUCUUGCAGGAGAAGUUGCUGAGACCAAUGGACUUGGUGAGGCCAAGCAUUUGAGAUUCUUCCAUGGCUUCCCACACACCUCUGUAGUCCAUAGGUAAAAGGUCCUCUUUAGGUACAGGGAAUCCAACCUCCCCUGGCUUAGAGCUAAUGGGCCAGUGAACGAGAUAGAGGUCUAAAUAUUCCAUUUGAAGAGCACUAAGAGACUUCUUUAGAGCUGGGAUAACGUGGUCACGAUGGGCGUUCUGGCACCAGAGCUUGGAAGUAAUGAAGAGUUGUUCACGAGAACUGACAAGACCAAGUCUGAGUGCUUCAGCUAUUGCUUCUCCCAGAGCCUUCUCUGUUCCAUACAUUGCGGCCGUAUCAAAAUGUCUGUAACCCAGCUUGAUAGCUUCCAGGACCGCCAGCUUCAAUGCGUCUGUGUCUGAUUUGUCAACUGCACAGCCCAGGCCGAUCACCGGCAUAUUCAGGUGGCCGGAGGAGGAGCUGAGUUUCAGUUUCGGGAUAUUGAACACCGUUGACUGUGUAGAGCUAUCCAUUCUGUUCAAACCUUUAUUACAAACGCACUCUUCAAAAUUAAUCGAUUAUUUUAAUUUUUAGCAACCCAAUGCAGCAUUCCCAAAAUCAUAUUGAGGAUAUAUAUAUACAUAGAGUCUCCAUAUAUUAUAUAAUAUCUUGUUCUGUAGCUGCUUAAGUUGUUUGACUGCCCAUGUUUGACUGCCACAACCUUAUCCAAUGAAAAUUGCGAAGAAAUCUGAUCAGAGGGAUAUGUUCAAAAUUUAAUAACCAUAUCAGGACCUGUCUAUGGUACAGAUUCUGUGACAAACAUCUCCCGUCAUCCCACCAUCCGAUUUUCUAUUGUUCAGUUUCUCACUCCACAUCCAACCACAUCCAACGGCUGAUGCUGCAGUCUGUAGCUUACAGAUUCUGUAAGCUAGUCGAGUCCACCAUAUCAUCUAGAAAUUCAAUACGAAUUGUCAUCAUCUUACCAACCUUUGACAAAAUAAUUAAGAUAAAUUGUCAAGCUUUUACCAACUAAACAACCAAACCAAUCACCGGUUGACAAAUUGGCUAUUACUUGAAAGAAACACUAGGUUUAAUUGACCGUUACUUGGAAGAAAGACUUAAGUUUAAUUGACCAAGUGAUACUUGAAUUACGAUCUUUGCGCUAUCUUCCUUCCCAAGUUUGUAAAGAAAUAGAGGUUACUGCUUGGCACGUCGGUUAUUAAAACAAAAAAGCACAAUUUUUCUUUUUUAUUUCUCCUCGCAAUCCCUCUCUAUUUUUACUCCUAAAAUUCAAGGUGCAUGGCCAGCCGCCAGCCUCAUGGAUGACCUUACGAUGAAAGAAUACAGUACGGUAAAUUGUUGUUGACAUGUUAAAAAAGUAAAAUGCUACCUCAGUUUCAUGCAAUUUCAAAGGCCGAGUUGAAAUAAAUUCAAGCGUUGAGAAGAAGAUUAAUCAUUGUUUAUCGAAUUGUCAGAUUUUCGAAUUACAUGCAAGAAUUUGGUGUAUGGAUAGUAUUGGGAAAACAAAUAUUGCUGAAGCUAUUUUAAAACCAAUUAUCUUGUGAAUUAAAGGUUAAAUUUGAUAGCUUCACUUCAAUGCAAUGCAAGUGUUACGAUGGACUAGAAGAAUAAAAUUGGAAUAGUUUAUCAACACAAGCGGGGAAAAGGCAGUAUUUUUACUACUGCAUAAUCUAUGUACAUUGGGCACUCAAAACAACAUGAAAGUUUCUGUGAAAUUUAUUGUGACUUGCAACUCUGGAAGUCUCGGCACCGGCCGUGUGGGUCCGGUGGACAUCUUUAGCAAACUACAUUUUUAAAUGUCCUUUAUUGAUUUAUAUUUACUUUUUUAAGUUUACCCCAACAACUAUAGAAAGACUUUAAUUAAAAUUCUUUUAUCCAUAAAUUUUGGAUGACAAACUCGAAAUUAUAGGGGAGUAUUUCUUAGUUAUACAUCGAGUAAAUAAUGUUAUAUCAUAUGUGAAUUACUUUAAAUAAUCAUUAUACAAGUUGUAAUUAAAUUAUUCUCAAUCAUACAUCAAUCAUUUGAUAAUUAAUUGUUUUACUUGAUGUACCAUAGAAUUCAGUAAUUAGUUUAUUACAUCGUAUUCAUACUUAGAUAAUACAAGUUUAAUAAUUAGAUAAUACGAGCAUCAUGUGUUGUAAUUUUAUUGUACCUAAUUUAUGAUUUAAUUAAUGAUGAUAGAGUUUACUUUUACUGUAUGACAUACUUAAAAAUAGGUAACGCUGGUUUUAAAGCAAUUAUUUUUGUCGCAAGACUUCAAUGGCUGCUAUCAUAAAACUAAAAUAUUGCUUUAAUCACGAACUAGCAAAUCUGUAAAAACUUUUCUUGUCUAUGAAUACAAAAAUUAUCUGGAGACUUGUCGGUGAACCAGGUCUUGCCCGGAAUUUUUUAUUUUUUAAUGCAGUAUUUAGUGGUCAUUUGUUGGGUGAGGCUAUUUACUACAAGAAAAAUAGUAUAUGACAACAGGCAAAGAGUGUUGUAGAAGGGAUAUCACAACAAGCAUCUGAGCGUUGCGGUUCUUGAUGUAGCGAAAAGUAGGUAACUUUCGACUACGCGCAAUUCACGUUGUUGAAAAGGAUAUGAACGUUGUUAAAUAUCAUAUGACAACUUACAAUGAUUGUGGUUAAAAAGAUCAUGUGCUUCCAAACUUUCGACUACAAGCCUAUGAAUGUGGCUAUAAAUUAUAUAGCAACAAGCAACUAAAUGUCGCCGUUAAUUCUAAUUUUUAUUUACAAUAAACCACACAUCCUGCAUGUUGUCAAAAAAACAACAAUAUAUUAUUAAUAAUUAUUAUUAUCAUUAUUAUGACUACUAAUAUUAUCAUUUUUAUUACACUAUUGCUGCCGCCAUAUGUAAAAUUCAUGCGAACUAAUUCUACAAUUUGACUUGUUAUAAUAAGUUUUCAUAAACUUAGUAAUAAGCACACAUCACAGCUAAGGGUCACACCAACAUUUUUGUAUUCAUACAAAUUCUAUUACAUAGCAAAUAUGAAAAACACCAUAUAACAAUUAAUCCAUAGAAAUUUACAACAUCAGUUUAAAUUUCAUCUAGCCAAACACCCGAAAAAUUAGUAAAAAAACACAUUAGUGGCUGUUGCAAUUCCAUAAAUAUCAACUUAAAAAAAACCAUCUCCAACGAAAGCUUCUUCAAUUUAGCAAUUCCAUCAAAAACUUGUUCAGGGCAUAUAUACACUCCAACAAAAACAUCUUCAAGGCACAAACUCCUACAAAAAGAUUAACUGAAUCAAUAUUCAUUUGUUGCAUUUGGAAUAUAAUUAUACACACACACACCCCCAAGAAGAAUAUUUUAUGCCUACAUACCUUUUUUAAAACAAUUUGAUACAACUUCCUGAUUAUUUCUCAUUUCUCUAAACUUCUUGCUUAUUGCCUGUCCAGCAAAUAUUAAAAUGUAUAAUUUUCAUAUACAUGAAACUUAACAUGGAUACUAUAAGUGCAAUGCAACGGACUAGCUUACUUUAAAUUCUGGAGACAAUCUUUACUUGACAAUAUUAGCCCAAUCUUCUUUGAAAAUUAUACUUUUUUGGCCUAAUAAGAGCAACCAGCUCUGUCAUGUACUUUUUUGGUUUCCUUUAUCUUAGUUGUUAGCUCUGAUUUGUAUUGUCUCCAACAGUCACCCAUCGUUCUUAAUGCCAAGCAUUCAAGAUAAAUAAUGCAUUUCUAAAUAAAGAUAAUUACUAUGUAAUUCCAUAAACAUGCACCAAUGGCCAAUAGUUCGCCGUCAACUAAAAGCUAAUUUUCAAUGCACACAAGCACAUGCUCUCAUGUUAUAACUCUAAUAAAAGUGCAUAUUUGUAAGAAUUUACACCUAUUGGCUGGCCAUAGUCGUUAAAUUCAAUGCUUAAUGAUGGAGAACAAUCUUGAAUCAUUCCAAGUUUGGUUGGACCUCUUUUGUCUUUUGGUGCAUCUAUCAUCAGAUUGAGGUUUGUGUGCAUUUUCCCUAUUGCUAGUUGCUAAUGAUCCAUUCUCCUCUUGAAUAGUUGCAUUUUCUCUAAAUUUAUCUCGACUUGCCUAGAAGACUUUGUAACACAUAGCAAAAUUAAUGUAGGAAUAAACAUACUAGAAAAAAGUAUAUGAACAUGAAAAAGUAUAAUUUAAAGUUGAACCAAAAAAAAAAAAUUUCUUACUUAUACUAAACAAAAUGUAAUCACUCUCACUAGCCAAUAAUAAAUCUUGGAACCCUCUUUGUGGUUUUUUCAAUACUAAAUACUAAUUUGAUUUUUCAUUAUCCUUAGAAUAAAUCCAAAUUGGCUUUGUCCCUCGUGAAGGUUAACCAAAGUGAAUCCUUCGUCAACUUUAACACCAUUAACUAUAUUAGUUCAGUCACAUUUGAAAAUAGGGAACUAAAAGUAUUGUAAUCAAGCACUAAUAUAUCUCUCAAAACUCCAUAGUAAGUAACUUUUCCAAAAGAGAAAUCCAUUUUGAAUUUUAAUUAUACAAGGGGGAAACAGUACCUCAAGUUUGCUCUAUAAUCAGAUCCUAAAAUGUCACAGCUGAUUCAGGAGAUUAAUGGCAUUAACAUAAGUAACUAGUCAACAACGCCAAUAAGAGAUUAAAAUUGUGCCUUUCAAUUGAAAAAAAAAAUCAUUAUCCAUCUCACUAGUAAUAUUUACUCAUUUAAAUUAUUUUUACCGAAAUCAAUUUAUCUUGAAAAUAAAAUUUAAUCUUCAAAAUUAUCUUUUCCAUGUAAAAUAUUUAGCUUCAGGCGUUUCAAAAGAAAAUAAUCUUUUGGUUUCAAUCACCCACCACAAAAAAAGUAACAUUUAUUUUAUUCAUGCAUAACAGAUAAACCCCACAAGCAAUAAAGAAUUGUGCCGCUUACCAAACAAUGAAUCUACAAUGGGACGAUGUCGAGCGAUUUUGAGUGAGAAGAAGUAUAGGGUGAAGACCCAAAUCUUCUAAAAACAAAAUAGGUGGAAAGAGUAAAUUAUUAAUUAAAUGGAAUUAGGGAAGUGAAAGUGAGCUUUAUCAAUAAAAUUGAAAAGAAGAGUACCUGAUACACUCAUUUCCUUGGGUGGGCAGCCGCCGUUACGAUGAAGAUUGAGAGGCUUGCUUUGCUUUAGUGGCAGAGAAAGAGUAAAGUGGUACUGCAAAGAGAACCGAGGGUUUCACUAAGUCAAUUUGUCUCUUUUUUUUCCCCCCUUUUUACCGCGCUUUAACCCGUGCGCGCAAAAUGAAAUUUUUUAUUUAUUGCACAUUAUUUUCUAUUACUUUACUUUUAAAAAAUAUUGUAGUUAAUGAUACCCUCAAAAAAUUUAUUUGUUAUAAUUUACUUCUAAAAAAUAUUGUAGUUAAUGAUACCCUCAAAAAAUUUAUUUGUUAUAAUACUUUUAUGCAUAAAUUCCAUGAGCACCUAUUUAUGUUUUAAUUUUCACCAAUUUCAUAUUAAAUUGAGUUAACAAAGAAUUUUACAAAAAAAAAUAUUUUCAACAACAUGCAACAUAUAAACGUUCUUAUUUAAAUAAUAAUUUUUGCAACAGGCAAUUCAUUGUUGCCUUAAAUAACUAAUUGCAACAUGCAAAUUAUGAAUGUUGUUAUUACAUACUCCUAUACCGCAACAAAUAGUCGCUCGUUGUCGUAAGGUUUUAGACCACAGUCACUUUUUGCGUGUUGCUAAAACUUUAUAUUUACCAACAUGCAGUUUAUGACUGUUGUUAAUUAUAAAUUUGACAACAUUCCAUAUGUGCAUGUUGUUAAAAUGAUGUUGCCUUAUCCCAAUUUUCUUGUAGUAUUAUAAUUAAGCUCAUAAAAUUUUUCAGUAAACCCAUUUACUUUAUACACCCAUUAUCAAAAUUUAAAAAUUAUAAUUUUACUUUAAUCAAACCUCUCGAAAUUUCCAAAUUAACCUCAAUAAAAGAUUCAUUCCCUUAUUUUUAUUUUCUUUCUAAACCCAUAAAAUUUGCUUAUGCAAUAAUCAAGCUCACACUUCUUUUUCUCUUUAUGUGUCUUCAUUUCAACAAUAUUUUUCUAAAGAAACCAGAUAACAAAUUUCGUUUCCUUUUUUUUUUAAUUCCUUUCUCAAAACUUUAAACCUAAAAGUAUAAAAGAGGACAAUGCAUUUCCAUAGAAAAAGUACCCCUAAUGAAUCAUUCAUUACAUUUUUUUCUAGAACAUGAAUUUUAUUCUUUUUUUUUUAGGGUUAAUUCGGCCUACCCCACUCAUGAAGUGACAAUAUUUAAAUUGUCCCCCUCAUUAUUGAAAACAUUAGGCUACCACUAAAAUUAUUAUCUCUCCAUUAAUUUAAAUGGCAAAAAAGGUAUGAUGGUACCUACGUAAAUCUAUAACGAUCGUUAAGCGUAGAGCCACAUGGAUGAGGACAACAUGAGUUAACAACAUCAAAUUACUCAGUAUUUUUAUGUAACCCACAUUUUCUUAUCCAAGUAAAUGUAUGGUGUAGAUGUAAAAGGAAAAAAAAAAAUCACAAUGUGGUAUAAAAAAUGGAUGAUUUGCUUUCGCACCAAAGCAAGCAAAGCGUCUGCACCUACAGUUAUAAGACUUCACUAAAACAAAAACAGACACCAUCGAAAGACAUUGUAAAGACAAAAUUAGAAGGAGCAUGAUGAACUUCAGCAGCAGCAAUGGAGAUUUUGAGUUUGAAGAGUCUCCUUCGACUACGAAGGUAAGAAAAAUAGAGAUUUGGUAACAUUUUACUAUCAUUUUUUGUUUUGAUUGUAUGUUGGUAUUUAUGUAAUUUCUAGGCUCAAUAAUGUUAGGUUAAUAACAUUGCAUUAGGGUGUUAAUAAUUAAUUUUGAAAUGUUGUUCGGAACAUUAGGUUUUUAUGAAUUUGGGGAUUUUUUGUUUGUAGUAAAAGAAACAUAAGAAAUUGUUGCUUGUUUUUGUUUCACUUGGAAGAUUGAAAACAUCAUAAGCAAACUAGGGAUUUCAUUUUUUAUGUAGGUUUUAAUGAGCAUUAAAAGUUAUUACCAUUGGUUAUGGCUGUAAGGCUCAGUAUAGGUGAUGAUUAUAAAAUUUGAGUGGGUGGAUUGUUGCUGAACAUUGUUUUUGUUUCAUUGUGCUAACCAUUUAAUUACCUUAACACUUGUAAUGAAUGAUUUUUGCCUAAUGAAGUUGUACAUGCUUGUUAUGGGCAUAAUUUUACAUAUACAUGUAUAACUAGUUCCCAAAAUUUAUUGUUUGCUUCUCUUGUGUGUUACAAUUUUUAUUUUGUUGCAAAUUAUUUGAAUAGUACUAGUAUAUGUGUGGAAUAUAGAUUUUGAAGCUUGUUUGUGUGUUGUGAUAUAUAGAAAACAAAAUUUAAAGUGUCAGCUUUUGUUAACUUUAUGGAUGUAACGUGAAAUGCUGGCCUAAUAAACCCAAAUUUUUUAAGUCGAGUAAUCUUUAUCAAUUGUGUAUUGAGACAAGCUUUUCAUAGAAACAACUAGCCUAUUGAGAGGUUUGUCAUUGAGGUUACAAAGUUCUGAAAUUGAAAAAAUAGGGCAAUAGAAAAUGAAAUGAAGCAAAUUAGGUGCGGCAAUUAUUUAAUGAGAAGAAGUACAUAGAGAUCGACUUUCAUAUGGAAUUGCUACCACUGAAUUUGAUGAAUGUGAAUAGGAAGAGAUUAUUCGAUGAUGACAUUCAGACUAUUGUCACAUAAGCACCAAAACCUUUUGAACAAGCACCUGUUAAGAAGAGUGGUAGAAAUAUUAAGAGUAGGAAAAGAAAUGGCAAGACACCUACCCUUGCCCCUGAACUUGAACCUAUCAUUCCAUCACCCCCUUGCACUUGAGCCUGUUGUUCUAUCACCCCCUAAAUAUAAGCUUAUACAUGAAACUGAAAUUGAACUUCAACAUGAAGCUCAACAAGUCGACUGUUAAUCCCACAUGAUCCCACAUGAUCCUAAGCACUCACAACAACAAUAGUUAAUGCAGUCACCACAGAAGAGCUUCUUGGAAAAUUAGGCCACUAAAAGAAGCUAAUAUAUAAAAAAAAUCAACCUUUGACACCUGUAAAAGAUUUUACAACAACUGUAAUGCAUACACUAGGCCGAUGAACAAAUUUCGAUUUUACAACAACUGUAAUGACAUACACCAGGCUAAUGAACAAAUUUCAUUGGUUAUUCUAACAAUUAAUCCAAAAAUUGGCAAAACACCAGAUCAUACAACUACCUAUAUAGAUCAACCUUUCAAAUUGUAAUGACAAUUUCAGUGACUUUGAUGUUAUUGAUGAUUUCUAUAAUUUUGUGAUAGUAGAUGAAAACAAUAAUGAUGACAUUGGGCUAGAUGCUGAUUAUGUAAAUCCACCAUUGUCUCAACUUUAUAAAGACAAUACUUUAUGGAAUGAUCAAUCCAUCUCGCAUUCUGCCACAGUACUAGUGCCUCCUGCAAUAUAACACCUUUUUAACUAAUCUUUGAACCUAUACAACUAACAACAACUCUACAAUAAUUACCAAGUCUUGAUUGUGAGCCUGCAUUGCCUCUUGAAUUUCUGUCUCAAGUUGACCAAGCUAAACCUCGACAACUAUAAGAAAGUUAAACAAUGGUAAAGAGAGAAGUAGUAAAGCAGAGCUGAUACGUGCAUAUUUUCACUAUAUUUUACUAAUAAUUUCUCUAUCUUUUACUUGUUUUGGUCUUAAAUAUUCUAAUUAUUUAAGUUAAUUUUUAAUUUAGUAAAUCCUAUUUUAUUAUGUUAAUUUUUAUCUCAGUUUUUAUAUUUCGUUAUUUUAGGUAUAUUAUGAGAUUAAAGAAAAAUUAAAUCAUGACAUUCAAGAAACAAAUCUGCUUGAAAGAAUCAAAAAGGGAAAUAAAUGAAGAUUUUUAAAAACCAAGAAAACCAAAGCCAAUAAAAUUAAUUUAUGCACAUUUAGAAGAUUUACUCAAACUUUUAUGUUAUUAUUUUACUUUUACAAUUAAUUUGAUAAAUUAAUUUUUAUAAAAUAACUAUUAGUAAGAUUGUUGUAAAGGUACAAAAAUACUAGUUAUUUCACACAGAUAUUUAUCAGUUAAUUUGCUAAUUAAUUUUUUUACAAAUAAAUUAAUUAAAUUUGGACUUCAAAUAUAAGUGAAAAAUGCACUUUGACAAAACAAACACAAUAACUAAAGUCCAUGUCACCGAUUUGGACUUUUGUGGGGUUGAGCUUGCCUCCUGGAAAUGGUGGGAUUCUUUUAUGGCUUGAAUGUCAAUUAUUUAUUUUGGUGCUUCAUCUUUUCAAUAACCGUCGUUACAAAAAUAAUGAAUUAUGAUGUUUGAUAAAUUUCUACAAGUCAUGAGAAGUCCAGAAGCUAAAAUUCUCCAACCACCAAGAAAUUUUUCUACAGCCACAAAACUAUAAAGAAGAUUAAGGAAAGUGACUUUGUAAGGAAGGCCCACCACUAAUAAAUAAAAACCAAAUUUAACUCAAAAAUUCAAGCCAACAAGUUUGACAAUAAUUUGUAGCAAACCAAUUUAAUUCAACUGUCCAGUAGCUUCACUUUUCCUCAGUUCAUCAACUCUUCGAACAAUCCAAUUAAUAAAUGUAGAAGCUGCAAAAUAAUAGUUAAUAGACACAAACACAGAAAGUGAUGAAAUUAGAAAGACAAGGCAUGCCAAUGAAGCACUGUCCUUAAAGAACAGAUUCUGCUAUUUCUCGGAUAAUUUUUCGGGUGCGUAAAGAGUCUAAGACAGUCUGAUCUUCCAGGAUUCAAUGGCGUUCCAACUGUAAUGGUACACUCCAAACUAUAGUUGAUUAUAACAGCUGAUUUAAUUUGAUUUUCCAGGUAAAGUGUGUAUCAUUAAUGAAGAUGAGGAUGAUAAGAUUUUUUUUUUUUUGCCCCACUCAAAUCAGUCACAGCAACUGGCUUUUUAUAGCCUUGAAUUACAAUAGUCAUCUCCUUGAUUUUUUCCACGAAUCAGUGCAUGAACUGAUUUAAAAACCGGAUAUCAAUCAUCUAAGGUGCUAAAACAAAGGCACGUCCUCUGACAUGUAGAUAUGCUCAGCUUGAACAAUUCAAAUCAGUUGAAAACUGAUUUACCAAUCCAAAGUAAUGAAUAUAUAAGUUUUCAUCAAGUGGCUAGUAAAUGGGCUAAGCCCGUGAAAGCUAUAUGUGCAUUAUUAAUUUUUGUAUUUUGAAAUACCUCACAAUUUCCAAAAAUCCCCCACAUAUUUCAAAAUACACAUAUGACGCUUGUAAACACUUUACUGGAAUAUUAGAAUUUAAUGCUCAUGAGUUGGUGCCUUUUGGGCUAUGAACCAAUCAUUGAACAACUAAUCGUAUCUCACAGGAAUUUGGUGAAACAUACAGUCUCUAUGAACCAAAAUUCCUAUUUUGUGAGUCAUAGGAUUAGAAGCUCACAUUAAAUUCUUUCAACACAUUGCUGCAGUGAUUUGGCACUUUAAUAGCCCUGUGCCUUCCUGGUUUUCAUGAGUGCUCUAGAGAUACUUGUCUAACUCUCAUAGGAAUCGACCCAAUUCCACACUCAUAUAGGUGAACCUCCAUCAAGUGUGUCCUGCAGUUUAAACACACCAACAUAUAAAAGGUAGGCUAUAGAGUUCAUUAAGAAUAUAACAGCUCAACUUAAAUCACUACAAUUACCAACUAUCUCGCCACAGGGAGGACUCAAAUAUAUAAAUCGAUAGUGCCACCAGACAACAAGUGAUUUGUUAUUACCCUUAUGAACCUACUUCAUGAGAUCUCCAAUCACUUAGGUAGGGUUACUAUCACUCGUGUCUUCUCUUUUAGACAGAAGUCUCAUCCCCCUCCAAGUAUUUACCACUAACCUCUUAUUUAGUGGGUUUGUUAGAGGAUCGGCCAAAUUUGACUCUGACCUCACAAAAUCUAGGCUCACUACCUUAGAUUCUAACAAUUGUUUUAUAAUAUUGUGUCUCAGAAGUAUGUAUCUGCUUUUCCCAUUAUAGAUUUUACUCUUUGCCUUACCAAUAGCGGCCUGACAAUCACAGAGUAUAGACACUGAAGUAGGAGGGUGAGUACAAAUGGGAAUAUCUACUAAAAGGUUUCUUAACCACUCAGCCUCAGUACAUGCCUUUUCUAAGGCAAUUAGCUCGGACUUCAUAGUAGAACGAGCUAUACAUGUUUUCUUAAAGUAUUUCCAAGACACAACACCUCCACCAAGAGUAAAUAUAUAACCACUAGUGGAUUUGAUUUCAUCAGAUCCUGAAAUCCAAUUUGCAUCACUAUACCCUUCUAGCACUGGUGGAGCGCUACUAUAGUUAAGUCCAUAAUCAAUGGUGCCUCUCAAAUACCUUUCAAGUCUAUCUAUGGCAGUCCAAUGAUCCUUAUUUGGAUUUUGAGUAUAUCUACUUAAUUUGCUAACUGCAUAUGCAAUAUCAGGCAUUGUACUAUUCAUUAAGUAAAUUAGGCUACCAAUGAUUUGAGCAUAUCUCAAUUGAUCAACACUAUACUUUAAAUUUUUCUUAAGGCGGGUAUUUGCAUCAUAAGGUGUAGAGACAUGUUUUCUUUCAUAAUACCUAAAUCUUCUCAACAUUUUCUCAACAUAGUGUUCUUGUGAUAACCGGAGACCAUCACUAGUUUUAGUGAUUUUGAUGCCUAAUAUAACAUUUGCUUCUCCCAUAUCCUUCAUAUCGAAGUUAGAAGUAAGCAUCCACUUGGUCUCAUUUAUCGUUCCAAGAUUAGGACUUAGGAUGAGCAUGUCAUUAGCAUAGAGACAAAUGAUCACAUAUGUAGUAGGAUCAAUGGAUUUAAAGUAAAUAAAUUUGUCUGAAUCAUUGAUCACAUAUCCAUUUGACAGUAGUACUUAAUCAAAUUUCUCAUGCCAUUGUUUUGAUACUUGUUUUGAGCCAUAUAAUGACUUAACCAAUUUACAUACCUUAUGCUCAGUGACUGGUACUACACAGCCCUCAGGUUGGCUCAUGUAAAUUUCUCCAUCCAGGUCUCCAUUUAGAAAAGCAGUUUUGACAUCCAUUUGAUGAACAUGUAAAUUAUGAAUUACAGCAAGUGCAAUCAAAACUCUAAUGGAUGUAAUCCGCGUCAUAUGAGCAUAUAUAUCAAUACCUUAUGUCUUUCUUUUGUGAGACCCCUUUGGCAACUAAUCUUGCCUUGUACUUAUCAAUUGAUCCAUCAGCUUUCAAUUUUCUUUUAAAAAUCCAUUUGCACCCUAUAGCUUUCGUACCUGGAGGCAAAUCAACCAACUCCCAUACAUGAUUGCUCAUGAUAGAAUCCAACUCGUUAUUAAUUGCCUCUCUCCAUUGAGGUGCAUCGCGAGAAGCCAUUACUUCUUUAAAAGUCUGAGGAUCAUUUUUAGCCAAAAAAAACAUAGUAGUCUUCACCAAAACCUGUGAUCGUUCUCAUCCUUUUACAUUUCCUUGGUUUAACGAACUCUCAAGAGGAUCACCAAUUGAUUCAUUUUGGGGUAAAUAAGUAAUAUUAGUUUUCUUAGGAAAAAUAUAUUCAAAGAACUCAGUAUUCUUAGACUCAAUGAUGGUAUCCGCCUCAAACGAAUAUCCCUCAUCUCUUAGUACUAAGAAUCUAUAAGUAGCACUGUUCUGAGCAUACCCUAUAAAUAAACAGUCUAUAGUUUUAGGUCCCAACCUAGUUCUUUUAGGAACUAGCUUAAGAACCUUCGCUAGGCACCCCCACACUUUGAGGUAUGAUAAGUUUGGCUUAUAACCCCUCCAUAACUCAUAGGGUGUCUUUCUUGUUUUCUUAUAGGGUACUGUAUUUUGAAUGUGGCAAGCUGAUAACAUAACUUCCCCUUACAAAUUCAACAGUGCUCUAGAACUUAUUAACAUGGCAUUUACCAUUUCUUUUAAUGUUUUAUUUUUCCUUUCAAUCACACCAUUCGAUUCAAGUGAAUAAGGAGGUGUCACUUCAUGGAUGAUAUCAUGAUUCUCACAAUAAGUAUUUAACAUGCUUGAAUCAUAUUCACCUCCUCUAUCAGUUCUUAAUUUUUUGAUUUUUUUAUUAAGUUGAUUUUCAACUUUACUUUCAUAAAUUAAGUACUUUUCACUUGGUUCAUCUUUAUUUCUCAAUAGAUAUAUUUUUGUAUAUCUUGAGAAAUCAUCAAUAAAGGUAAUAUAAUACCUUUUACCCCCUCUGGUCAUGGUCUUUUUUAAGUCACCAAGAUCACUGUGAAUUAAACUGAAAAUUUCAGUUUCUCUAUUUUGAAUUGGUUUAUGUCUUCUUUGUGGAUUUAGAUUCCACACACACAUCAUAUUUGUCAUUUGACAAGUUCAAUUUAGACAGUAAACCAAGUUCUUUCAUUUUCUUAAUGUAAGAAAAAUUCACAUGACCAAGCCUUCCAUGCCAUAAAUUAAUGGAGUCAACAAUAUUAGCAGAACAAUAAAUAUAAGCAGAAGAAGAAACAUUUUCAUUAAUGAUAACAUUCAGUACAUUGAGCUUGAAUAGUUCCCCAGAACAGUAACCUUUCCCAACAAAAACUCCAUUCUUAGUCAUUGCAAUUUUGUCACCCUCAAAAGACACUUUAACCCCAGCCUUGCCCAGUACAAAAAUAGAUAUCAAGUUGUAUCGAAUUUCUGAAACAUGUAGAACAUUACUCAGUGAGAGGGUUUUCCUAGAAGUAAGUUUGAGAAGAACUUUUCCCUUGCCUAAGACCGGUGUUGACCGGGAAUCAUCAAGGAAAAUAAAUUAUUCUCAUUCCCUCACUAGAGUAUACUUAAAAAAUGAAUUUCUGUUACCACAAAUAUGUUUAGUGGCUCCAGAAUCAAUCACUCAAUCAUUAUAUUCAGCAACCAUGUUCACUUCAGAGACAACCACAGCAAUAAUUUCAUCUCCUUCAGUUAGGUUAGCUUUAAGAGGAUUUUUGUUGUCUCCUUUUCUCUGAGCUUUAUUUCUACAUUGAUAGACAUAGUGUUCAAUUUUUGCACAAACAUAAUAGUUACCUUUCUUUUUAGCUAUGGGAUUUUUACCUUUAUUCAAAAAUUUCUUGUUGGGGUUUUUCUGUCUCUAAUCAGAUUGAGGCUUAGUCUCAAUUACAUUUACAUUAGAAUGAAAGUUUCGGGCCAUGUCUCUAAGCCUAUUCUGAUCUUUAAUCUUAAUAUGCACAAUCACAUCUUGAAGGCUCAUAGGUUUCUUCUUAUGCUUCGCAGUUUUAAUGUAGUCAUUCCAUGAUUCUGGAAGUUUUUCAAUCAAGUAACCAUCCAAAAAUCUUGUAGGAAGUAUAAUACCGUCAUUUUUAAGAUUAUCAACUAAUCAAUGGUAGUCAUGGAUUUGAUCUGUAACAGACUUAUUAUCUACCAUCCUAAAAUGUAGAAAGUCACCAAUAAAGUAUUGUUGGGAUCCAGCCUCCUAUCUAAUAUAUUUUUUACUAAGCAGGUUCCAUAUUUCAUCGGUAUUCUUAUAAGUGUAGUAUGUCAUAAAGGUUGCUGGAAAGAGCACUUAAAAUCGUGUACCUGCAGAUCUUGUUAUUUGCAGUCCAAGUCUUCAUUUUGUUGUUAAAGUCUUCACAGCCUUCUUCUGGGGGAGAUAAGGUUAGAUAUUCAGCCAAGUUGUGCACAUCCAGAAUGUCAUGAAUUUUAUCUUGCCAACGCUUGAAAUGUUCUCCAUUAAAGGGUUCUAUUUUUGACACAUCUGGCAAAUUCUUGGCAGUGGUAAGUGCAGCAGCAAUGGAAGCGGAUGAGGAAGCCAUGGCUGGAGUUGUUGUAGGAGCUGGAACAUUUUCAAAACUCAUUUUGAUGUUAGCUCUGUUCUUUAAGCUAUUACAAAAAUAAUGAAUUCUGAUAUUUGAUAAAUUUCUGCAAGUCACGAGAAGUCCAGAAGCUAAAAUUCUCCAGCCAUCAAGAAAUCUUUCUACAUCCACAAAACUAUAAAGAAAAUUAAGGAAAGUGACUUUGUAAGGAAGGCCCACCACUAAUAAAUAAAAGCCAAAUUUAACUCAAAAAUUCAAGCCACCAAGUUUGACAAUAAUCUGCAGCAAACCAAUUUAAUUCAAUUGUCCAGUAGCUUCACUUUUCCUCAGUUCAUCAACUCUUCGAACAAUCCAAUUAAUAAAUGUAGAAGCUGCAAAACAAUAGUUAAUAGACACAAACACAGAAAGCGAUGAUAUUAGAAAGCCAAGGCGUGCCAAUGAAGUAGUGUUCUUAAAGAAUAGAUUAUGCCCCUUCUCGGAUUAUUUUCCAGGUGCGUAAAGGAGUCCAAGACAGUAUGAUCUUCCAGGAUUCAAUGGCGUUCCAACUGUAACGGCACACUUCAAACUAUAGUUGAUUAUAACAGUUGAUUUAAUUUGAUUUUCCAGGUAAAGUGUGUAUCUUUAAUGAAGAUGAGGAUGAUAAGAUUUUUUUUUUUUGCCCCACUCAAAUCAGUCACAGCAGCUGGCUUUUUAUAGCCUUGAAUUACAAUAGUCAUCUCCUUGAUUUUUUCCACGAAUCAGUGCAUGAACUGAUUUAAAAACCGAAUAUCAAUCAUCUAAGGUGCUAAAACAAAGCCACGUCCUCUGACAUGUAGAUAUGCUCAGCUUGAACAAUUCAAAUCAGUUGAAAACUGAUUUUCCAAUCCAAAGUAAUGAAUUUAUAAGCUUUCAUCAAGUGGCUAGGAAAUGGGCCAAGCCCGUGAAGGCUAUAUGUGCAUUAUUAAUUUUUGUAUUUUGAAAUACCUCACAAUUUCCAACAACCGUGUAUUUGGAUGAUCCUGAAUUUUGAAAAGGGUAGGGCUAUUUGCACCACCAAAAGGGAGGCCCUACUCAUUAUAAGCUCUAUUUUGUCAUAUAUAUAUUUAAGGGAAAUUAUCCACCAUUCACUUGUUUUUUUACCGUUUUUAAAAAAUACACAAAUCUUUUUUUUUUUGCAGUACUCCACCUGAAAUUAAUAAUUUUUUCAUUGGUCCACUCUAGUUAUAAUACCAUUAUAACUUUGCUGACAUCAUAAGGGUAAAAUUGUGAUUUCACAAUGACACAUUGGUGGAUAGGUGCAAAACAAUAUAAUUUCAAAUGGAGUUCAGUAAAAAAAAUUAAGAAUUUUGCAUUUUUGAAAAAAUGCGAAAAAAAAGUGGUCGGUGGAUGAUUUAUCUUUUACAUUUAAGGGUAAAAAAGUCAUUUAAAUAAUAUUCCGUUAGUUUUCUUAACGGUCUCCAAACAAAAGUGAAAAGGUAAAAAGAAAUGUAACUUCAGGUGGAUUCCAGCAAAAAAAAAAAGAAUUGUGUAUUUUUAAAAAAGUUAGAAAAAACAGAUGGAUGGUGGAUAAUUUCCCUAGAUUUAAUCACUAUAAAAUUUUAACAUGUUUUUUGCAUUACCUUUGUUUUACUUUGUCACGAGCAAAUGACUAUUUUACCCCUAAAUAUAUUUAAAAACUCACUUUAUUUUACAAAAUUUUAAAAAAUAAAAAUGUUAUAAUACAAGAAUAUUCAUAAAUUUAAUUAAACAAAUAAAUCCAAAAUCGAAAUGUUAAUUUUUUACAAUUAUAAUUUUAUUUGAAAAUUAUAAUGCUAAUUUUUUGUAAUUAUAAUCUCAUUUAAUUUUUGUAAUUAAAUUAAAUAUAGGAUGUUUACAAAAAUAAACAUGGAGAGAAAAGCUCCAUAUAAUUAUUGCAAACUUCCCUAUAAUUAAAGUUAAGAAACUUUCCUAUACUUAAUUUAAUUGUAAAAAUUAAAUGAAAUUAUAAUUACAGAAAAUUAACAUGAUAAUUUUUAAAUGAACUUAGAAUUAUAAAAAAAAAUACAUUAGAUUUUGGGAUUUAUUUGUUUCAUUAAAUUCAUGGGUAUUCUUGUAAUUAUAAUAUUUUUAUUUUUCAAAAUUUUGUAGAAUAAAAUGGUCUUUUAAUUCAUGUUGAGGUAAAAUGGUCAUUUGCUAGUGCCAAAGUUGUUGAUUGAUAUAAGUUUAAAAGUAAAAGUGAUGUAAAGAACAUGUCAAAAUUUUAUAAUGAUUAUAUAUAUAUAUAUAUAUAUAUAUAAACAGAGGUAGUGUAGAGAUAAUUUUCCUAUAAUUUAAUUAAUGUUAUUUUUGAAAUAUAGAUUAUAUGGGAUAAAAGUUAAAAUUUCAAAUUUUAAUGAUGUGUGUAUUAAGAAUGUGCGUUUAAGAGGAAAAUUAUAAGUUCAAAAAGUUAGACGCCCAAUUUUUUUAUGAAACUUUAUAUUACUAAUUUACCAAUGAGUUAAUUUACCAUUAAUGAUUUUUUUUGUGCGUUUAAAGUACUAUUUAAUUUUAAACUUUUCUUAUAUAAUGUCCGAUAUAAAAAAAUGUCCAAAUAACUUUUUAGAGUUAAAAUAAUUCCAUCUUUCUAAAAAUCGUUGGAUUAAUUAAUUGUCUUUUGCUGGAAUCAAGUGCCACCACAUAGUGCUGUGUCUUCAUUGUAGUCGUGAACUUUUUUUGAGUCAAUAUAGCACUGCAAUAGAUAACUAAUAAAAAUACUUUAAUAUAUGGCUAGUGGCAUGAUAGUAUUACAUAUUGUUUUCUAAUAUGCUCUUACUAUCAUAUUCAGGGUAACAGACAGAUAUCUGGAUUGAAAUCUGCUAAAAGUGUCUUAAAAAUCAACAUUUAAUUUAAUUUGAAUUUUAAAGGUUGCUUACAAAUCAAUAACAUUUAAUUUAUUUUUAAAAGGUUGCCUUUUGUUGACAGGAUGAUACUAUUAACUUUUUUUUAGUUAGGCUAUUGAGUGCUGCCUUUUUAUCUUUUUCUUUUCUAUUCUUUUCUCUGUGGUAAGUGGAGUAUUGUUGCCUUCACGUAGUUUAAAUACUGAAAUACACACACUUGGGAGCUUGUAAUUUUAUCUUCCAUAAAUUGUUAGCCUUAAAGAAUUUUUGAAGCUGAAGUGCUCAUCAUAGAUAAAAAGAAAAUGGCUGAUCAUUCAAUAGUAAAUGGAUCAGAAAUCCCAGUGUACAACCUUAAAUGCAUCGAUCUCGCCAACCCAGAUAUUCAUCAAACAGGUGAACUCCCAACUAUAUAUCUAUAGGGCCAUUUUGAUGUUGUUAAUACACUUCAUUAAAAUUUUAGCGUUAUUUAACAUGAAAAAUACUUUUUUCGAGAUAGCCCCUCCAAUUUUAAAAUUUCAUCGUUUUGUUCCCAAAUGUGCUCGGUUAUGCUUUGUUUGGUUCAGGCGUGCAUGGAGAGUGGAAUUUUUUACGUAAUAAAUCACGGACUAAGCGAGGAACUCACGAAUGAGUUUUUCGGCCAAAUGAAAAAAUUCUUUGCGCUGCCAAGGAUGAAAAAAAGAAACUUUUCUGGAACCAAAGUCUCCGAGGCUACAGACCACCUGCUCAAGCAGUAAUUGAUAAUAAGACUCAACAAAAAGGUUAGCAUUAAUUUCCUUUGGUCAUAUUUAUUUGGCAUUCUUGUCCAAGUUUAUAAGUAUCAAUUUUUUUCUUUUUUUAAAUAAAGGAGACAUGUUAAAGUGUGGCAAAACUCAUAGAAAUUAGAAAAAAAAUAUUAUAACGAACUGUCUGCACAAAGUGAUUAAUAUCAACUUAGUUAUUAAGUCCGGAUUAUUAUAUUUAUUCUUUUAAUUUUCUUUCCCAAAGAUUUUGGGGAGGCGUAUCAUAUUGGUGUUGAUGUAGCUAAAGAUGAUCCAAAUUGUGAAAAGUUUUUCUAUGGCCCGAAUAUUUGGCCUCCAGCAGGUAAUUCAAGAUAAUAACUUUUCCUCCAACCGUUCAAAUUAAUGCAUUUGUUAAAUAUAUAUAUUUCUAUCUCCCCAACUUUUUAACAUUUUGUGAGUUGCGUUGUAUAAUUAUUAGAUAUUUUGCCUGGAUGGAAAGAAACCAUGAUGAGAUAUCAAGAAGAGACGAUGUAAGUUUUGAUGAGCCAUUGCUUUCACACUAAUGUCGUCUAAAAUUCAUGUUUGUUUCGAAUAGGACUGACCAGAAAAAAGAAAAAAAAAAAAAAGGGUCCGGACGCAGUUGGGCCCUACCAGCCCAUCCCACUAGGACUUGAGCCCGGCCCUAUGCCAAAGGGCGGGCCAGGGUCUACCUAGGCCUUGAUUUUUCAGUUCCUUCUCGGGACGGCUCCGUCCUGCAAUCUUUAAAAGUGAUUUUUAAAAUUAAACUUAAUUUUAAAAUCACAAAUUCUUAAAUUUAUUAGACUCACUAUAAAAUUAAGUUGGCCUCAGUUUUCUGGUUUUAGAGCUUUUAAAAGAAAUUAAAAAAUCCAAUUAUUAAAAAUACCGAAAAUAUGCGUCUGGCCCGGCCCGGUUCCCAAUAAGGAUUGGGCUUUCAAGGGCAAGGGUUUCUUGAAAAGCUUUACAUCGGGUCUUGCUCAUUUGCCCCAUCACUAAUUUUGAACCUAUAAUACCCUCACACAACAAGGUUUACGCAUAUAUUGAUGCCACAAGAUAUUUUUUAAUUAAAAAAGGAGAAAGAUUACAAAUUAUUUGGAGGAAAAGGUAAUAAGUUUUAAAGAAAUAUUGCAUCAAAGCUUAAAAUAAAGACGUAUACAGUAAAAUUUCUAUAAAUUAAUAAUGUUGGGACCAUGCAAAAUCUAUUAAUUGAAAGAGUUAUUAAUUAGUAGAUAAAUUAAUAAUUUAUUACUUUACAGAGUGUGUGUAUAUAUAAAAUUCAAUGAAAACACAUUUUAACCAACUAGAAAUUUAUUGUUUACCAAUCUAAUCAAUUAAAAAUGAAUAAAUCCAUUAAAUAUAAAUUAAAUUAACAAAAAAGUCUCAAAAUUCCCGCAGUUUUAGAAUUCACCCUGGAUCUUCUAGAAGAAAUAAGCCAAAAAAAAAAGAAGAUUAGAUCAAAUUUUAUUUAAAUUUCAAUAAAAAAAAAGUAAAAAUAGAGUAAAAUAAGUAACAAUAGAGUAGUAAAAUAGAGUAAAAUAAGUAACAAUUGAGUGACAUUUUAUUUAAUGAAAUAUUACAAUGGUUAUAUUUGUAAUUUUGGUAAAUUAUUAAUUUAUAUACGAAUACGAUCACAAAGUUGUUAAUAUAUAUCGAAAUUAUUAAUUUAAUCUUUUGCCCUAAGUUGGGGCUGCAGAAAAGUAUUAUAUAAUAGAAGUUAUUAAUUUAUUGAGUAUUAAUUUAUAGAGGUUAUACUGUUGACGACAACUUAAGUUAUUUAUUAAAUUAAAAAAAAAUAUUACAAAUUAAUUGAAGGGUAAUGUAACGACCUUACAUCUUAGAAACGAGCAAAACAAUCUAAUUGGAUCGAUAUUCGGGCAAGGGAUUAGAUGAAUUUAUAUUUAUUUAUUACUAGAAAAAUGUUACAACUUAAAGACUUUAAUAACUAUUUCUGUUAUUUUUAAUAUUAUCAGAAAUGUUGGAAGAGCAAUUGGGAGAAUAAUAGCCCUUGCUCUUGAUCUCAAUGUUGAUUUCUUCGAUCAACCAGAAAUACUUGGCAACAAAACUGCAAGCUACUCCAAUAUGUUUCAUUACGGAGGUAAUUAUUAACAAUACUAAAUAUUACAAAAGAUUCAUUUCAAAUUUCUCUUACUGUUGUGUAUAUAUGUGUAUAUGUGUAUAUGUGUAUCUGAUCACAUUCCAUAUAUAUUCUUUAUAUGUGCAUGUGUUUUUGCUUUUGAAUAUUUAGUUCCCGGUACCGAUUUUUCCAAGGAAAUUGUUGGAGCUCCACCACAUUGUGACUUGAAUUUUAUUACACUCUUGGCAACAGAUGAAAUAUGGGGGCUUCAAGUAAGAAAACAUCGAUUAAUCAAUCAUUCUACUAAAAUAUAUAUUACUUACAUUUAUCAUUAGCUAUUAUCAUCUUAUUUGUUUUACUAAAAUUUUUAUUAUAUAAUAAUAUUGCAGAUUUGCAGGGAGAAAAAUGCUCAACCUCAACUAUGGGAAGCCAUACCACCUGUCAAAGGGUGAGUUAAUUAAGUUUCAAGUUUCAUUUUGUUCUGAUAUCCUAUAUAUUCAAAACAAACAAAUCAUGUAUAAACUGGAUUCUUGACGUUGCCUUUCUUAUUAAAUUGAUUUUGUAGAGCAUUUAUAGUGAAUGUUGGUGACAUGUUGGAAAUGCUCAGCAAUGGUGCUUUCAGGUUAUGCCUCAAUUACUGGGAUGAAUUCUAGAUUUCUUAAGAGCUUGAUCAGAUAUUUCUAUUUCAAUUCAUUGACCCAGGUCAAAUUCUUAUAUCAUUUCUUUUACAAGCCCUUAUUUUAUAAUCCAUAUUUCACAUAAGAGGAUCGGUUGAGAUUUAUUUUUAAAUACUAUUUGUUUAUUUGAAAAGUAUUUGUUGUUACAACAAUACAAUUUUUCAUCAUCGGAUUUAAUUUAAUUUAAUGUAAUUUCUAUCUUUUCUUUCUUUUCUUUUUUUCAGAUACCCUACAAUCAAAACCGGAGAUUAUAUUCUUUCUCGCUUUAGGCAACUUGCUGCUGAUACAGUGAAAGACAACAAAGCUGUUUAAGUAAAUAAAAAAAAAGUUAAAAAACUUUGGAUGAAUCAAUUGUAUCAGAAUAGCUGAAAAAUCAUAUGUCCUACUUAAAUUUGUGUCUUGUAAUUUCAUUUUUAUUGAAAUGCAGACAUAUAAGGUGAUGUAAUAAAACUAUCUUUACAGAAAUUUGGAAUCGCCUUAUGAGUGAUGCUUUUAACAUUCUUGUUAUUUAAUAUUUUAUCGUUCAUCUUUGCUCAUCAGUAUUAUUAGUUUUUGGUUUCUUCGUAGCUCGUAGCCUUUUGGUGAAAAAUAAGAGUACACAGAAAUACUACGACCACGAUCCAAAUUAUUUUUUUUAAACAUGAUAUAUAAAAAGUGAUUAAUUUUUAUGAACUUGCCUUUAAUUUUAAUGAUAAUGAUCAUCUCACCAUCAUUCUUUUACUCAGAUUAGUCAUUCCGAAGAUAACGGACUACUGCAAUUAGAAUUAAAUUUUCUCAUCCUCUUUUUUAAUGUAGAAUUUUACAGGGUGUUUAUGCUGAGUUUUAGUCCUGAUAAAAAGGAAAAAAAAAUUACCAGAUUUUAUUACGGAAAAUUGGAAAGUGGCAUAUUAGAGAAAUCUGGAACAAUAAAUUUUCAUAGUCUACAAAUAUUCAAACAGAAAAAAUUGCUGAAAUCAAGAGAUUUUUUUGUAGCCAUUCGUGAUCAGAAAUAGGGGUCUUGUUAAGCACGUACCAUAACAAGAAUUACUAUGCUGCUUGUAACAAAUUAUUUGUUAACAGUCACUUUAUUAUCGUUAUAUGAAACAACUUCACAUAACUUAUAUGGUUAAAAAAAAAAGGAAGAUUGUACAUACAACGAAACGUUGCACCAAUAAUAAAAAAAUAAAUGUACGUAUGGUGCAACUGAUGUCAUACCCUCAAAAUUGGUGACGAUCUCUUGCUGAUCCUGGGCUGUCAUGGCUUGAUGGAUGCGCCUUUGUGGGAUAGUCCUUACUCUGUCAUGUCGUGGGACCAACAGUUUAGGAUCCACUAAACUUAAUAGGACUCAACUAUCUUGCAACAGUUGUAAGGUACCACUUGAUUUUGUUUUAUUAUAGUUUCAAUUAUUGGUCGUUGGAUUCAAUGAAAAUGAAGAUUUAAAGGUAGAGAUUCAUUUAUUUGAAUAUUAAUAUUAUGGUCCCUACUAUUUAUCAAAAACGCAAAAGAGCUGAAAAAUUAAAAAUGUUAGCACAUACGUCCAAAUUAUUUAAAAUUUUAUGUUGUUUAAUUAGUAGCGAGUCUUAAAAAUAAAUUUUAUUUUAAUAUUAUAUAUUAUAUUUAAAAUUUUAUUUAUUAAAAAUAUUAUUUAAUAUUAUUUAUUCUCAUUUCAUUUAAUAUUAUUUAUUUACAGGCUUAUUGUUGUAUUUAAUCUUUUAAAAAACUAAAAAUUUUAAAUAAAAUAAAAUAAUCAGUAGCGAGCAUUAAAAAAUAAAUAUAAUUUUUAAUAUUAAUUAUUUUUAUUUUAUUUAAUAUUAUUUAUAGUAUUUUUUUGUUUUAUUUAAUGUUAUUUAGUUAUAGACUUAUUAUUAUAUUUAUUCUUUAAAAAACUAAAUAAUAUUAAAUAAAAUAAAUAAUCAGUUCUGAGUCUUAAAAAAAUAUAAUUUUUAAUUAAUAUUAAUUAUUUUAUUCAAAAGGAUAAAAUUUUUAAUAUUAUUUAUUUUAUUAAAAAUAAAUAUUUUUUAAUAUUAUUUAUUUAAUUUUAUUUAACGUUAUAUAGUCAUAGACUUAUUAUUAUAUUUAUUCUUUCAUGAAACUAAAUAAUUUUAAAUAAAAUGAAAUAAUCAGUAGUGAGUCUCAAAAAAUUAAUAAUAUUUAUUUUAUUUUAUUAAAUAUUAUUUAGUCAUAGCUUAUUAUUAUAUUUAUUUUCAAAAUUAAAUAAUAUUUAAUAAAAUAGAAUAAGCAAUUGUGAGUCCUAAAAAAUAAAUAUUAUUUUUUAAUAUUAUUUAUUUUAUUUAAAAGAAUAAAUUUUUAAUAUUUUUAUUGUAUUAAAAAUAUUAUUUAAUAUUAUCUAGUCAUAGGCUUAUUGUUAUAUUUAUUCUUUUAGAAAGUUAAAUAAUAUUAAAUAAAAUAAAAUUACAUUUUAGCAUAUCACCAGCCAAAGCACAUAAAGUUAUAAAUAAAAAUUAAAUAAUAUUAAAUAAAAUAAAAUUACAUUUUAAAAAGUCACUUACCAAAACAUAUAAUGUUAUAAAUAAACGGUAAAUAAAAAGAAAGGGAAGGGGUUAAAUGAAAUUUGACAUCACAAAAGACAAAAAUGGAUGGUACCUUGCAACCGUUGCAAGGUAGCUGGACCCAACUUAAUAUUAAAAUAUUAGUAGAUUCCGUCGUAGAUUUUGUCAAUGGGUAACUUUGUUUGAAGAGUGUGUUGUCAUCAGCCACAAGUGACUGUUUGAUUGAUGAUUGUUAAUAGAAUACAACGAAAUUUUUUUUUUUUUUUAAAUGAGAACUAUUGUUCGUGAUGAUAUUUAUAAUUAUAUAUUUACUAAGACCCAUUUACAUUAAUUUUGAUAUGGCACCACUCAGAUUUAUAAUCCUCUCAAAUAUUCGAGGGACGUCAACUCCCAUCCCGGGCCCUCUCAAAUAUUCGAGGGACGUCAACUCCCAUCCUGGGAGAAAGACUGCCUUCACUCAAGCUCUGCGGCUCCAAGGAAGGAAAUUUAAAUAAAACUCCUGCAAUGCGUCUGCGGAGGCUCGAACCCCUUCCCUCACAUUUGUGUUGGAAUGGUUCUAGCCACUUGGGCUAAGCCGAAGUGGUUAGAAUACAACGACUUUGUAUCCAUAAAUUAAGACCACUGUUAAGUAUCCAACAUUUUUAAGUUUUAAUUUCAGUAUGAAUGAUAUAGCAUCCAUUCAUUAGGUGAUGGUUAAAUAAUUUUAUAAAUUAUAAAAUCAAUCAUUUAAUAGAUAAGUAAUCCAUAAUAUUAAAACUCAAAUUAAAACUCAAAUAUUGAGAUCGCUAAUAUUAUUGAUAAAUGGAAAAAGGACAAACACACCCUCAACGUUUAGGCAAAGGGACAAAAAUCCCCUAACGUUUCAAAAAAAAUAUUUACACCCCAAUUUAUUAUAAUUUUACCAUUAUACCCUUCUACCAUAUAAAAAAAUUAUUAGAUUAUCCAAUUCGUCUACAUAUUAUUAAUAAAAUUAUAAAUAUACCCUCAUUGCAUCAUUUCUCUAUUUAAAUUUUUAUCAAUAGCCAAUUUUAAAAAAAAAUCUAUACACCUAAAGAAAUUGUAAAUAAAUUAUAAUUUUAAAAAUAAAAUUGGUUAUUAAUACCAUAAUAAAUAACAUAGAAAAUUAGUUAUAAAUAUACAAGUUUAAAUAAUUGACAUGUGGAGAAUUAUUAAAUAUACAAGUUUAAAUAAAAUUGGUUAUUAAUAACCAAUUUUAUUUUUAAAAUUAUAAUUUCUGUACAAUUUUUUUAAGUGUGUAGAUGUCUUUUUUGAAAAUUGGUUAUUGAUAAAAAUUUAAAUAGAAGAAUGAUGCAAUGAGGGUAUAUUUAUAAUUUUAUUAACAAUAUAUAGACAAAUUGGAUAAUUUAAUAAUUUUUUUUUAUAUGCUAGAAGCGUAUAAUGAUAAAAUUAUAAUAAAUUGAUGUGCAAAUGUCUUUUUUAAAACGUCAGGGGGGUUUUUUGUCCCUUUGCCUAAACUUGGAGGUGUGUUUGUUCUUUUCCCUAAAACUUAUUCAUGGCAAUAUAAAUUAAAUAAUUAAAAAUAUCCUACAUAAAUAUUUUUCUUUAAAAAACUUAUAUAUUUAAUUUGAUAACUAUAAAUUUUAAUCUUUGAUAUUUUAUGGAAGUUUCAGUCUUUAUUUUACUUGCUGAGUUUACUGUUAAAUAAAGAUGAAAUUUAUCUUUUUGGUCUUAUAAUAUAUAAAUUUACUUUUAUUAUCUCAUUAAUUAUAUUAUCAAAAUUAAUUAUGUUGUUAAAAUUUAUAAUCAAUGAAUUUAUUAAAAUUUUAAAUGAAAGAGUUUAUGAUUAAUCUAGGACGGGUCUGGUUCUCUUUGUUUAUUUUGAAUCUAGCAGGUAAGGGCGAAAAGCAUAGACACCAUGGAUUUGGAGCAUAUUUGAGUCUACAUUUUUGUCAAAUGGAUCUAAAUGUAAAAUUGGAAAGAUUACACAAUACCUCUAUUGUACUACAUCCAUUUAAUACGUGUAUGAUAUGUGUGCAUUUAUUUUGAAAAAUCAUCAUAAAAUUAGUAAUUAUAUUUAAUUCAUUAAAAAUCAUCAUAUAAUUGAUAAUUAUAUUUAAUUCAUGCAUUCAUAUCAUACAUAUAUUAAGUAAAUAUAAUAAAAUAGAAGUAUUGUAAAAUCUCUCGUAAAAUAAAGCAGUGAGGAUCCGAUCUAGGCCCACUCCAUUGUCAUUCUACAAAUAUAUUUUGGAAAAAGAGUUUAGUGUUUGCUAGUAGGCUGCCGUUCAACUCAGAUCUUUUUGCCCUUUUUUUUUCAGUUGUUAUGUUCAUUUUCUUAGUUUUAUUUUUAAUUAAAAUGGUUUGAAUUUUGCUGUGAAACCAACAAAAACUGCUUUAAUGAAGAAGAAAUAAUAUAAUUAUAGGGUCCAGCCAGCUUUCAAUCAUGAUCUCGUACCCCAUUUUUUGUCAUUUGUGAUCUAACCAUCAAAUAUAACCAAAGAGUUACAAAAGCUAUUUAAACAGCAAGGAUGUAAUUAUAUGGUUAUUAACGUUGCAGACCCUUUUGUUUCUUAAAAAAUAAGAACAAGUUAGGUUUCCUAAAAAAUCUUUAUAUGGGUUAAUAGUAAUUCAAUAAAUGAACAUAUUUAAAUAUUAAAAAUAUAGAUGGAUUAUCUGUAUUUACUAAAAUACUCUUCAUACUCAUUUAUGUAAAAUACCUUUUUAAAAAAUCAUUUUUAAUAUAAUUUUUUAUCAAUAAAAUACUCAUUUAAUGUUUUACCAUUUAAGACGAUAUUACCUAUAAGGUAAAAAAUUAUUUUAAUUAAAUAAAUCAAAGUUAACUUUUACUUCUAUACACUUGCUCAACAUCAAAUAAUCUUACAAUUCUCAUCUCUUUCAUACUUUUUAUUGAAGAUUUUUCUUUUUUAAAUCACCAUAAAAUGUUUAAGACCUUAAUCCUCGACAAAAUUAAGAUAGUAUGGCGCUAGCUAAUAAUUUCAAUAGAAUACAAUAGUUUAUUUGAAUAAAUUUAGCUUUCAUCCUUCAUGAUGUAUUUGAUCAAUAGUAAUUUUUAUCAUUUAUGGUGUCUCCAUUUCUACAUUUAUGUGAUUAAUCUAUGCAAUAUUCACAUGCGAAAUGAAAUAUUUUGGUAGUGAUUGAUGAAUUUGUGAAUCAAAUUUUUUUUAUGGCAAUUUUUUUCCUUCUAGAGAGAUGAAUUUUGAGACAAACAUUGAACUUCCAUGAAUGUUAUGAUCUUAAUUUUUUUUUGUAUUAUGCUAGAAAGAUCCGUUGAUGGAGAACAAGAAGAUGGAGAGAAAAAAAAAGGAGACAUUUAUCGAUCUAACCACUUCGACAAAAUAAUAAUAAUAAUAAUAAUUGGUAGGUGUGUAGAAAAAACUAAGGUCUAAUAAAAUUCUUAAUUAAGGUUACUUUUUUGUAUUUUUAGAGAUGAAUAGGAAAAAAAUUAGGAUUUCAAAAUUUUAUUUGUUGGGUAUAUUUAGCAAAUGGGAAUAUAGAAAAUUUUUGCGGGUUCCAAUAGAAAAUUUACACUCUACGCAUGUUCAAAUACUAAAUAUGCGUUUAUAGAUAAAAAAUUUUAUGUUAACAUUUUUAAUUAGAAAAUCCCUUUAAUUUGGAAUUCUUAGCAUAAAUCUAAAAAUUGGUACAGAAAGCUUCCCUUCUCUCUCAAUUGCCUCACUCAAGUAAGCCAUACACUAUGACUGGAAUGCAAAUUUUUGUGAUUGGAUUAUGCAGUAUCUUGCCAAUAAAUUUCUUGAUCAUGUUUAGAAUACAGAAAGUAGACCGUAAAUAUUAACAGUUUUUUAAAAGACUAACUAGAUUAGUGAAAUAACAAUUCUUUUGCAUGUUGGCAAAAGUACUCUUAAGGGCUUGUUUAGUACACAUGAUGGAAUAUGAUAGAAUGGGGUGUGAUAAGAUAAGAUUAUAUUUCUUGCUAUCAAAUGUUUGGUGACUGAACUAGAUCAGAUUAAAAUAACGUUGUCUUGUGCUUGGUGUAACAUAGGAUUGGAAAAAGUAUUAUAUAAAAGGAAGAUUGUACAUACAACGAAACGUUGCACCAAUAAUAAAAAAAUAAAUGUACGUAUGGUGCAACUGAUGUCAUACCCUCAAAAUUGGUGACGAUCUCUUGCUGAUCCUGGGCUGUCAUGGCUUGAUGGAUGCGCCUUUGGCUAAUGCUCUAGGAGGACUUUUGUGGGAUAGUCCUUGCUGUGUCAUGUCGUGGGACCAACAGUUUAGGAUCCACUAAACUUAAUAUUAAAAUAUUAGUAGAUUCCGUCGUAGAUUUUGUCAAUGGGUAACUUUGUUUGAAGAGUGUGUGUUGUCAUCAGCCACAGGUGAUUGUUUGAUUGAUGAUUGUUAAUAGAAUACAACGACUUUGUAUCCAUAAAUUAAGACCACUGUUAAGUAUCCAACAUUUUUAAGUUUUAAUUUCAGUCUGAAUGAUAUAGCAUCCAUUCAUUAGGUGAUGGUUAAAUAAUUUUAUAAAUUAUAAAAUCAAUCAUUUAAUAGAUAAGUAAUCCAUAAUAUUAAAACUCAAAUUAAAAAACUCAAAUUAAAACUCAAAUAUUGAGAUCGCUAAUAUUAUUGAUAAAUGAAAAAAGGACAAACACACCCUCAACGUUUAGGCAAAGGGACAAAAAUCCCCUAACGUUUCAAAAAAAAAAUUUACACCCCAAUUUAUUAUAAUUUUAUCAUUAUACCCUUCUACCAUAUAAAAAAAUUAUUAAAUUAUCUAAUUUAUCUACAUAUUAUUAAUAAAAUUAUAAAUAUACCCUCAUGAGUGCGGUUGGUUUCUUCACAGUCAUUACAUCCGAUUUACUCAGGAGCUUGAAUGACUGGUUGAAGUUGGUGCCUUUGCCUUCAGGAUUGAGGGACAAGCUAUUGAUAUGGGCUGGUCUCAUGUUCUUGGGCUGCUAUUCGUGGGAGAGAUUUUUGAGGUGGGCAUUCCCUGGUAAAGUUCCAGCUUGGAGAAAACGACAACGGUUGGCUGCAGCUAAUUUGGAGAAGAAGCACGUCUGAGCAAACAGAAACUUAUAUGAAAAAUGAUAAUAGAAUUUUGUCCGGCACUCUGGCAAUGGCUAUCGAAAGUAGCACUGAUGGUGCAUCAAAAGUGUUGCUGGAUAAUUGUGGAGGAUAUAGCUGAGUAGAUUGGGUUACAUAACAGGUCUGAUAGUUUCUGCCCCCCGGAUAGUUUCUACCCCCUGUGUAGGGGGAAUUAGAUUUUUUUUUUUUCCUCCCAUCUGAUAUUCAAUAUACGCUUAAAGGAAAAACGAGAUGAAUUUUGACCUGAAUAUUCGUAUUUUGAUGCUUAAAGUAACCCAGGAAGAUAAAUGUUUGUCAUAAUCGAAAGAAUUGUAUUUGAACUCGAAUCCCUUAAUUGAUGAAGAGAAUUAGUUUGGUUCCUUUUUAUGUGCAAUGUGGUUGUUAUUUCUA